UGAGGAGGAUCCGGCAGUUGAGAGGCAACGGUAGGAGGCCCGAAGGCGACAGCAGCAUCGGCGGGCGAGGCGAAGGGGGAGGCUGACGCGGCGGAGGAGGAGGGCCAACGGGUAGCACACGCACAGCACGCACACCCCUGCCGCGCACUCCGCAGCCGCCUGCCCGCACUGAACCGCCGCCCUCGGCAAAGACGCUGCCGACGGCGGCGGCAGCGGAGGACGGAGCGGUCGACGCCGGCGUCGGAUCCGCAUGUAUUCAAGUAUCCUCGUGCAAAAAUGUCCCCCCAUAAAAUUUUCAAUGAUUAUAUCUUCUUCCCUAUCUUCUUUCUUUCUAAAAUUCAAUUCAUUCUACCGUUGUUGCAACCUCUCUUCUCAUUCAUUUUUUUAAAAAUCUUUUCUUUUGAGAAAAAAAAAUCAUGGAGAAAAUUGAAUAAAAAUAAUACGCGUUUGAUAUGGGUGAAGCAACACGCGUUGCAGAUGAAUGAAGACAGAGAAAUUUUAGUUAUGGAUUCGAAACUAGCAGAAAGAAGAGAUAGGAAGUGAAAAAGAAAGAGGAAGAGGAAGAAGAAAAUAAAGAAGAAUUUUGAUUGAGAGAAGAAAAUGUAAUAUAAGAGGGACAAAAAUAUUAAGUUACCUUAUUGACUAACAAGGGUAAAGCAUUUAACUUAUUUUUCUAACGGAUUCGAAUAGUAGAGACAUAUUUGAAAAUAGGGUUAAAUGCAUUCAUGUCCUUGCAAACAUAGUAAAUUACAAAUAUGUCCCUACAAAGUUCAACUUUCAUAUGUUGCCCAUUCAAUAGUUCUAAUAUUUUCAAAUACGUCCAUCUGGUUUGUUAUCGUUAUAGAACUGUUUAUAUUUUAAGUAAAAUAUCAAUUUUGCCAUCACAAUUAUGUCCUUUCAAAAACCACAACAGUAUAAUAUAAGAAGGGUAAAAUUAUUAAGUUAUCUCAUAAAUUAACUAGAGUUAAGUAUUUAAUCUAUGGUUAAUUAAAGUUUUCUAAUAGUAGGGAUAUAUUUGAAAAUAUUAGAAUUUUUACAUGAACAACAUAUGAAAGUUUAACUUUGUAGGGAUAUAUUUACAAUUCACUAUAUUUGCAGGAACCUGUAUGAAAUUAACUCUUGAAAACAUUAAUACCUUUGCAGGAACAAUAUAUGAAAAUUGAAACUUUAUAAGAAUAUAUUUGUAAUUUACUAUAUUUACAGAGACCUAUAUGUAAUUAACCUAAAUUUUAAAAAACAAAAUGAAGCUCCACUAAAGACCUGUUUGGUAUUCAGACCAUCAAAUGCUAGAAGACAAAAUAAAAUUCGAGAAAAAGCAUAUAGAAAUAUAUAUUUUUUUAUUUUUCAGUAAGACAAUAAAAAUAUAUUGUAACCAACUAAGUAGGUGAUUAGCUAAAUUUCGAAAAUUAAUUUUGAGUCCAAAAGUAAUUUUCGACUCAAUAGAGCAUUUGGCAAUCUCAUUUCCGAAAUCUAAUUUUGACUUAGAGUACGUUUUCUAAUUUUCAAAGCCCAAAAUAAGUAGUUAAAACCUGUUUUCUAAUAUUUAAUUCUGAUUUUAAACUCAAAUUUAAAUUUAAAAUUUUGUUUUAAACACAAAUUUAAAAUUUAAAUUCAAAUUUUAAUUUAAAAUUUUGUUUUAAACACAAAUUUAAAAUUUAAAUUCAAAUUUUAAUUUCUAAUUUUAUAUUUUAUAUUUAAAUUUUAAAUUUUUAACUUUUAAUUUUAAAUUUUAAAUUUUAAAAUUUUAAACAUAUAUAUUAAAUUUUAGAUUUUAAAUUGCAAAUCAAAUUUUAAGUUUCAAAAUUCAAGAUUUUAAAUUUCAAAUUUUAAAUUUAAGAUAAAAUUUAAAUUUUGAAAUUUAGAAUUUAGAAUUUAAAAUUUAAAAUUAUAAGUUUUAAUUUUCAAAUUACAAAUUAUAAAUUUUAAAUUUUCAAUUUUAAUUUUUAAAAUUUUUAAAUUUUAAGUUUGAAAUUUAUUUUAAAAUUUUACGUUCUAAAUUUUAAAUAUUCAAGUUUUAAAUUUUAAAUUUUGAAUUUCAAAUUUAGGUUUUAAAUUUGAAAUUAAAAAAUUUUAAUUUAUCAAAUUUUAAGUUUUGAAAUUUCAAAUUGUAAUUUUAAAUUCAAAUUUCCAUUUCAAAUUUGAAUUUUUUAAAAUAUUUUAAAAUAAUAUUCAGUAAAAAAAAUUAUUAUUUAUAAACAUCAAAAUGUUUUGCCAAACAGCUUAAUAAAAUCUCUUCAGAAAAAUCAAUUUUUAUCUAAACUCAGCCAAAUACUUUACAGCUUUUAACAAAAAUAUUUUUCAAAUCAAAAUAAAUUAUGGAGAAAUUAAUUUUUCAAAAUUUCGGCCAAACGGAUCCUAAUUAUGAUAUAUGAAUGUUAUACAAAAUAAUAUACUUUUUUUCAUCAUAUAUUUUGUUUUACCAUACCACACAUGACGUAAAUUCUUCAUAACUCGAAAAUAAAGCCUCAAAGUGCAGGAACUAGCGGUGCAAUUUACUCAACAAAUAAUAAUAAGAUAAAGAAUAUUUCUCGCCCUUCUUACUAACUUGGAACUAAAGUAAUAUAAAAUUCCUUUCUUGCAGCGAAAACACCACCAAUCCGAAAAAAAUUAUACAGAUUAUAAAUGAAAAAUUACAAUAAAAUAUUGGCUAGAUUUCAAUGCUUCUAAUGGCAUAUAAAUAAUGUAUGGUACUAACUUUUUAUCUUCUGAUGUCUAAAAUUCACUGUUUGAAUAUAACUCUAUACAAAUUUAAUAGUUAAAAAGUUUAUAGCAUGCACUGCUUACAUGCCAUUAAAAAUAUUACAACUAAACUCAUAAAAAGUAACCAAAAUCAAACAAAAUGGCAACUUCAACUAACACACAUGGGCGGCCACCCUUAGAAUUUAGAGCACUAAUUUUUUAGUAAUAAAACACCAUAUUCUGUCGAAGGAUUUGUGCAUGAAUUGGAUGAAACCUUCAUUUCUAUUUUACUUUAAUAUUAAAGUAAAAUAGAAAAGCUUCUCAGUGAGAUCUCCUCAUCCGAAACACCCCGUGCUCGAAUUUUUAAGAUCUCCCUCAAAUUUAAAGGCUUUGCGUUGGUGCACUGCAGAGUGGACGGAAUUAGGCGAUGCAGCAGCGAGUGAGAAUGAGUUGCUCGUCAUCAAGACCAUUUUUUUCUUUUUUUUCUUUUUCCCUUCUUAAGCCCAUAUACCGCGAAUAUACGGCAAACUUCAUCUUGCACGAAUUUUAAAGGGUCGCAUGGUAAACUCAAAGUUCGGGAAGGGGUGCCUCUCGAAAGGACUUCUCUUUAUCAAGCCGCCGACACGCGCCGCCGCUCCCGAGGGCUCUUCCAGCAUUGAAAUGGGUGUCGAAGAACGAGGACGAUCCGGCGGCGGCAGCGACAGAGAGGUCCUGACACCGAGGAUGAUCCAGCGGCAGCGGCAGACAGGCCGCGACAGAAGAAGCGCCGAAAAAGAUCUCUAUGCCAGCAUCUUUUCAGGCACAUCACAUCAUGCUUUACCUCGUUAAAUUUUACUAACGUACGUCAGUCAGAGUGAAAUCCAACUAGUGAAAAAAAGGGAGCGCGUAAAAUUUUGUUUUCCUACCUUCUUCUCGUCCUCUUCACUUUUGGGCUCGGGUUUCGCGGAACUUCUGCCGCGGAUUCUAAUCGGAGGAGGCGGUGCGGCGUCGAAAUCGAUGUCCGAAAACGAGGAGGAUCCGGCGGGCGAGAGGCGCCGGCGGGAGGCCCGAAGGCGCCGGCAGCAGCAUCGGCGGGCGAGGCGGAGGGGCAGGCUGACGAGGCAGAGGAGGAGGGCCAGCGGGCAGCACGCGCACAGCAGGCACGCCCCCGCCGCGCACUCCGCAGCCGCCUGCCCGCACCGAACCGCCGGCGCCGACGGCAGCGGCGCUGCCGGCGGCGGCGGCAGCGGUUGCCGCCGGCGCUUUCGGAUCCGCAUGCUUAAUUUCAAGUCUCCUCCUGCCGCAUGUAGUCAGUCGUCCAUCGCUUCUUUUUCUUAUUUUUAUUAUUUUUUUGGGGGGGAUCUCUUUUGCGGUUACAUCAAUGAAGGUUCUGGAAGAAACUUACUCGGGGGUGGGGUUUCGAAUUGAUUGGUGUGUCGUGUGUUGUGUGUGUGGUUUGUCGCAAAAGAGCGUGGGAAUCGAUCGUUUGCUUCGUUUCUGUUUCCACGGUGCCUUGCCNCGUUUGCGCCCUUAGCUUGAGAUUAUUUGUUGUACGCACUAUUUAAUGAAGCGGUAAAGCUCGCUUGAUUAUUUAAUUUAAUGUGUGAGUUAGUGGUACAGUUUUUUUUUUUUUUUUUUUUUUUUUAGAAACGUAAAAUUUUUAAGAUUGGUGUGUAAUUUAAUUUAUUAGUUCGCUCGAAAUGGCGAAGUAAUUUAUCACGCAUGUUGUUUAUUAGAGUUCGAUUCCCGCGUUUGCUGCUACAGACACGAUCUUUUGGAUGCUGAUUUAGAUCCGGGGUAUGAGCUCUGUUGACACCGAAAGUAAGCGCUGAUGCGACGAGGCGCCGAAAGGAAUUUCGGCAAAAGAAAUAUGCCAAAGAGCGCCCGACUAGUGUGGGUUAUAAUUUUACUGCUACGCUAAAUCUAAAAACCAUCUUUUCCCAACAACUCCUAUCAUUUUCCUCUUCUUUUUCUUUUUCUUUUUCUUUUUUUUCUUUUUUUCCGACUUCAAUCUAAAAAUCCUCGGAUGUGAAGGUUAUUAGCUUAAAAGGGUCAGCAUUCUAUUUCAUAAUGGAAGACUAAAUUGAAUUCAGUUACGUUCGAAAUAACGAAAUGUCAAGUUGAAUCGAGUCAUAUUCGAAAUAACAUGAGACUGAUACGGCCGGGUCAUAAUCGGAAACCGUAAACGCUGUGUCUAUACGUUUAAGUGAAUUAAUUAUAUAUUUCUAACGGCUGAAGCUUUUGAAAUUAAUGAUGGUUAGCACCAACGAUCCCUCCUUCUUAGCACCUGCACAAAUUCAGAGCAUGCGAGAAUCGAAUUCGCGACCUUCCAACAAAUGGUAAGAAAUAAAAUCUCACAAGUUGUUUAUGGCACAGUUUAUAAUAUUUUAAAGGCUAAAUUACAGAAAACCCCCCUGUAAUAACCCGCUUUUUCACUUUCCCCCCUGAAAUUUAAAAACCUACACUUUGCCCCCUUGUAAAAUGAAAAAUGUGCACUUCACUCCUACCGUUAGGGUUCCAUUAGGGGUUCUGUUAAAAAAUAUUUUUUUAUACCGAAAAUACCCCUCUGCCUCUUCUCUGAUGCUUCGCUCCCUCCGGCUCGCCGCUUCGCCGCCUCGCCGCCUCGCCGUCCUCCACUGCUUCGCCCUCGCCCACAUCCCUUUCGUCCUCCUCCGCCACCUCGCCUUCGCCCUCGUUGUCCCUGCCUACCUCUCCAUCAACACCCAUCUUAGUAUCCUCCCUACUGUUGCCGAAAUCGAUGGGCGGCGACGGUGUAGGAGGAGAAGGGGAGCAGGUGGAGAAAAAAAUGGAGAGGAAUCGUGGCCGAUUGAGGUGGAAAUAGCGGCGGAUCGAAGGGGCGGCUGAGGAAGCUCAGGAAGAAGACAACAAUGGCGAGGGGCAAAAUGGUCAUUUUACACACCGUGACCCCCCUGUGAACAUUUUUUAUUUUACAAGGGGGCAAAGUGUAGGUUUUUAAAUGUUAGGGGGGGAAGUGAAAAAGCAGGUUAUUACAGAGGAAUUUUCUAUAAUUUAGCCUAUUUUAAAAUAUUCAAAUUGACACCAUACAACUCAAAUUGAUUAGUUGUAAGAGGCGCCGAUGAAGUUACGAAAUAAUGGUAUGUUUCCAACUCGGUAAGAAUAUUAUAAUAUCACGGGUUAGAAGAUUUUGUGAUUUUUGUGCUUAGAUGAGAAUCACAAUUGGUCCAUUAACAAGAACAUAUACGUUUUUGUUUUUUAAUAACCUUCCAAUCUAAUUGGUGUCGUUAGUUGGUAACUGUUUAGGCCAAAAAUUGCUUAACCAGCAAGAUAGAAAUUCAGAUUAUUGUUAACUGAAUAACCGACAUUCGGCUACUAUCUGUUCACAGAGUGCAGGUAUUUUGCAAAAUCUAACGCUUAGUAGAGAGUUUGGCAAAAAAGAGUAGCAGAAUGUUGUAAUGCGAACACCCUAAAGUUUAGUGUAGUGAAGUGUAAUAAAAGGGCUCAAAUUGCGCCUGAAAUGCCGUUUCUGUCGACAGGAGAAAUUAAUCACUCAAAAAGAAUGGAUGAUACUAUGUUUUUCUGAAAGGGAAAGGAACAACUGUACAGACAGAGAGAGAACACAGGGAGGGUUAUCUGAGUUUCUACCAGCAUUACAGUAGCAGCAGUCUGCCCGCUUCUUUUUAAGUUUUGGAGACAGCAGCCUUGCAGACAGGACAAGCAUUCUUCUGAAAAAGCCACUGCUUAAUGCAGUACACAUGAAAGCUGUGGCCACAACCCAGCCUCCCCAUCUCAUCCUCCUCUUCAUAUUCUUCCUACAAACACACAAUAAAAGAUACUAUCCUCUUUUAAUUAUAGAGAUAAAUAAAUAUCACAUGAAAAAAGGAAAAGAAAACGAAAAAAAGGAAAGAAGGUGAUUCCAGGGCGCAAGGACAAUUGGGAUACUCCAUACUUGGCAAAUGCUACAUUUCCUUUCUGUCCCAGAGGAGAACGGCAGUGGCGAAGUGUCGAAAGCCGAGGGCUUGACUUUCCUAAGGCUGCGGACGAUCUCAUCCUCCCUCAGCCCGGUGCUAACGUACCCGAUCCUAUCUUCGAGCUCGAGCAGUUCCUGUAGAAAGAAUGGACUCGUAGAGUCAGGAUGAUUUUGGAUAACACAGGAUGACCGGGAGAGAGAGAGAUCAAGAAGAAGAGAUCAAGUUACCUCGUAUGUCAUACUAUCGACAUCGAGACGCCAAUCUUGGUACCGAUCAUAAACAUCCAUGCCUCCCAACAACACUCUAGUCUGGAACAUCAUGAUCUGCAAAUCCCACAGUUCACUUAGCAUAUCCACACUCUUACAGUGAUUCUCUUAACUAUCACAGAAGUAAUGCCUAAAACCAAAAAAAAAAAAAAAAAAGAAAAAAAAAAUGAGACCAUAUUUGGUGUCACAAUGUCAUCUAGAACCAUUUAAAAAGUAAAAAGACCAAAAUUGUGUAAUCAUAUGUCAUUUAUGGAUGGUUUUGCAAUUGAAGUUGCACCAUACAUAAGUGAUGUUCACAGUGUUUAAUGCACCAGAAAAAACUUGGAAAAGUUUGGACCACCAAGAUGAAUAGGCCCCUUUCUCAGAGAGAGAGAGAGAGAGAGAGAGAGAGAGAGAGAGCGAGCAGAGGCAGAUUCUCGCUAAGCACAGCAGAGCCUGCACAAUCUGCCUCUGCAGGCUGCCACCCUGGAAAGACACCUAGCCAUAAAACAGAACAAAGACUGCAUUGGGUGACCUGGGCAGUGGUGAUGGUGGUGGUCACGAUUAUCUAAUACGACGCAAUUGUAAAUAAUAAAGCACGUUUGUUUUGUUUGUUAUGUGAAAUAUCAGCUUUACGAGAUCAGGGGAAUAUUAUAGAAUAGAAUAUUUUCGAGCCCAUAGAUUUGACAAAUAUUUAUACAAUUGCUUGUUUUUUAGCACAUCAGCCCAUAAAUUCAACAAAUACCAAAAUUUCUCCAUCACACAUCCAUUCUAGAAAAUUCGGUGCAGACUUCUCCGCCAAACUCAAAUGCAACACCUAUAACUUACACCUUUACCCCUCAAUUAGGUGAUAACUAAUAACUGAGAUAUAUCACCUACUUCAUGCAACUUAUUUUCUCCUACCAUCUUAAGAUAGUGACUGACACUACUGAAGUUCAGAACCCAGUUAGCCUCUUACGUCAUCCUUAAUCCUUCUUAGCCCACUUAUUAACAUAUAAUAGAGUACGACUCAAAAUUUGUUAGUACGGACCAUUUAUACAUAACCAUUAUUCUGUCCCAAAACUAUGUAACUCAGUUGUUUCUAGCUGAAAUUCUUUAUCUCAUCUUGCUUAAGAAACUUAGAGAAAGCCAUAAUGCACAAUCUAAAUUCAGGUUAAAUCCACUGUUUGGCGCUAAUCCAACCUGAUAGCUCACUAACUAUGUCCCCUACAAAUGCCUCAAUCCAAUCUAUUGGAUUAGGUUUUUGGGUGAUUGAAACAUAUUUAAAGAUUAUCAGCUGUGACUACGGAAUCAAAACAGCAUAAAAUUCCGCUCCCUACUAUGCCUGCUUUCCAUAAAGAAGCACAAGAUCUCACUAAAAGCUUUCUAAAACAUAACUGUAUCACCGGAACAUGUGAGAUUCCAAAUUGACUUGGACAAAAUAACUAUAUACGCUUAUCUAUUUUCACUCCACUUGGCUAUUUAUUUCCUAAUCAAUUGUUCUUUCAUCAUGGCAUUCUCCUAUACUCUCAAUAAAACCACACAAACUGUAUUAUCAACGCCGAUUUUGAUUUACAAUCGAUUACCGUGAAGCUACAAAGGUGUAGUAACACUUUUUGGAUCCUCUUCGAGUCAUCUUAAUCUCCACAGCAGAGUGAGAUUUUAUCACGAACCUUGCAAAUGAACACACAGCCACAGAGAGCCAGAUAGCUACUACUCCCAGGAACCCCUCUUAUCGAACUAAAGCCUAGUUUAGGAAUGCAUUCUUCAAAUGCACCCGCUUUAAUACUCUAGAGCUCCAAACAACCAAAAAACACGCGAGAGCUCGACUCUUUACAUGCUAUGAAACUUGUGGCGAAAACAUUGACGAAUGCUUCUCCGUUGCAGAUUCCCACCACCACUCCGUACACCAAAUUGGUGAAGUUAACGAGCUUUCCAGUUUUUUCAGAUCUCUAAAGCACAAAAGCGGGUGCAUUUGGAGAACGCGUUCCCAAACCAAUCCAAUUAUAAUCUACUUUUGAUCUAUAAUUUCAAACUCCCAGAACCAGUUUCAUCCAAUGGAAUGAGUUGAAACAGAAAAGCAAGAGAGAUUUUAAGAAACAUGCCUCUUCAAUCCCUCCCGGAGAACGGCGAUACCCUCGCAAAUUACGGCCCCUUCCGCCGGACGGAAGAAGCUCAGAUCCGAGGAAAGGCUCCUCGAGAUCCGACGGCGAAUCCAUCAACGACGAGAUCUCUUCCUGAAUUGUUGCCGCCGCCCUUCUCGAAACAUAAGCCCGCUGCAAUGACAAAGCAACACAAUUAUUAGAGAUCAAAGAAAUGGAGAAGAAUCGAUGGCGGCGCUGGGCGGGGGAAUGAGAAUGGGGGAACCUCUCGGCGAGGCCGAUCGAGGGGCUCCGGCCUGCGGCGCGCGGCGGGAGCGGUAGGGUGGUGGGAGUCGACGACGCAGUCGACGGAGGCGUCGGCGGCGAAGGGCAUGACGGGGGCGCACCAAACGUCGCCGGCGGCGGCGGCGGCGGCGGCGGCGGAGGAGGAGGAGGAGCUCCGGUCCUUGCGCUUGUGGUGGGGCGGCGGCUUCGGGCGGCGGCGGCGGGGGCGCUUCUGGUGCCAGUCGGCGGAGGAUCGGACGGCGGCGGCGGCGGCGGCGGAGGGGGAGAAGGCUUGGGAGGAGGAGGAGGAGGAGCAGCCGAGGCCGCGGAGGACGACGCUGGGCUUUUUGAUCCGCGGCGGAGGGGGAGGGGGAGGGAUGAGGGGCCGAGAUCGGGGGGGUGGAGCGCCGGAGGAGGGGGAAGGGGGAGAAGGAGGCCCCCGGCGUCGGAGGUCACCGUGGUCGGCGGCGGCGGCGGCGGCGGGGCGCGCCCGCCGGGAGAGGCAUUCGAUCGAGAAGAGAGAGAGAGAGAGAGAGAGGAGGGGGGGGGGGGGGGGGGGGGGGGGCGCUGGGGGGUAAAUGGGGAAUAGGGAGAGGUAAUGGGAAUGGGAUGAGGAGUAGAAUAAAAGAGGGGGGAGGGGAGUGGGUUUUGUAGUUUAGUAAGGAGAAGGGAGUGAGGAGUAGAAGAAAGAGGAGGACAAAGAGGGAAAAUGAAUGGGUGAAUACGGAAGAGAGAGAGAGAGAGAGAGAGAGAGAGAGAGAGAGAGGGGGUGGCGAGAUGGAGAGUCAGAGAGUCAAGAAUGGUAAGUGGGGGAGUAAAUGGGCCGGCAGUUUGACAAAAGCAAGAAAAAUGCCAGAUUUAAGGCUUACAUCCUGCAGUCCUCCUAUCAAGGACAAGCGUGUCAACCAUCCCGAACACGAAACACGAGCUGGGCCCCGCGUUAAAAUAUCAUAGCCGAGAAUUUUAGUUCAUGUUUGGCGUCUUUAUUAACGAGUGGAACAAGAACUAACUCAUAAAUAAUAAAUUAAAAAAAUAAAUUUAUAAAAUUUUAUUUAUUUGAUUUUAAUCUAAUAGUUAAAAUUUUACAUAUAAAUAAUUUUUUUAUAAUUAAGUUGGGCUAUAUAUUUACAUUAAUGUGAGAUCCCUGGUGUUUAGCUGUGGGGGCUUGUCGACAGCUCUGGAGAGUGUCGGGAUAAGUCCGAGUUGCGUUGGCGUCAAAUAGACGCAAAACGGACUCCGUGCGACGCGAGGGCAGCAUUCAGCGAAGGAAUCUGCGAAACAGCAGAAUUUUCCUGCUUGCUGUACCGGUACAAGUGUAUGCUGUACCGGUACAACCAGCGCGGGGAAUGCUUGCUGUACCGGUACAAGGGUUUACUGUACCGGUACAAGCUACGCGCACAGAUUUAGCUGCUCUCGGGUUGGCUCUUGUACCGGUACAGGAGCCCGUGUACCGGUACAAGGGAGUAGGUAAAGGGCUAAAACGGUAAAAUCUCACCUCGUUUGUAUCUCCCUCACCUCCCCUCUCCUUUUAAGUGUCCGAGCAGAGAGAGAGAGUGAGAGAGAGUACUUCCUGCUCUUCUCCAUCUUCUUCUUCUCCUCUCUCUCUCUAGGUGUUGGUGGAGAGUCCGGUUGGGGAUUCCGUCGCCGACGUCGCGCCGCGAGCCGUUCGAGCGCGCUUGCUGCCGGAGCUUUGCGAGGAGGCCGGGCGGGGGAGCGUCUUCACUGUUCUUGACGUCGCGCCGAGGUUCGACGCUGUCGAGGUGGGUGAUUCGGCGUCUUUUCUGGAUUUUGGGCAAGUAUUAUUAUUUCUACUCGGUUAGUAGCUGUUUUGCUGAAAUCCGCCGUCGACUGUUCGUAUUUCAGCUCGUUCUCCGCGUAGGAACGUCGGAUAGCGACGAGCCUUGGUUCGUUGGAUUCGGGACUUCGAGAGAAAUCCACGAAGCCCUCACUUGCCAGAUUUGGUGAAGGUUAGCUCGGUCGAAUCCCAUUCCUACUCAGCUGCUGUGAAUUUCUGGACUGAAUAGAGGAUCCUUAAUUGUUUAGCUUGGCGUUAGCUCGUCCACCGGACUUGGAGGUCCCCAGUUGAUCCAGCAGAGGUUGUCCUGGUUCGAGGCUUCGUUCACUGCCUGGAUUUAGCUUUUGAGGUGGGUUACAUCGGCUUUACUCCUAAGUUCUUAUUGGUCGACAUGUAUAGAUCUUGAUUUCGGUAAUUAAUUAUAACUCAAAUUCAUUGACUAUAUGUAGAUUAUGAAAUCUGAAUUUUGGAGCAUGUUGUUUUAAAUUAAGUAGAUUAUACAUGUUGGACUUGGAAAUUGAAUUAGGAGAAAACCUGCGAUUUGGACCUGUCACCUGUAUAAACUGCCUGAUUUAGCUCUAGGAGCCGUUAGAAAAUUGUACUGUCGCAGUACUGUCGAGACGAAUACUCCAGGUAGUUUAGAAUAUAUUUACACUCAUGCUGGUUCGCCGAGUGGAUUUUUACUAGGUCGUUCAGAUUAUUUCGGACUGUUGGGUGCCGUCAGAGUUGACGGUGGACCCGUAUCGCCUUUUUGGCGUCAGAUUGUGCCGAGGGCACGUUACCUGUUGGUUGUUAGACCAGUUUAGAGUCGAUUUCUUGACUUUGGCUUUCCAGAGCCUGUUUGANNNNNNNNNNNNNNNNNNNNNNNNNNNNNNNNNNNNNNNNNNNNNNNNNNNNNNNNNNNNNNNNNNNNNNNNNNNNNNNNNNNNNNNNNNNNNNNNNNNNGGCCAAGUCUGAGCACGUGGGCCUAGUAGUACCUCAAGGUGAGGUAGGCGGUUGUGCUCGUGCGGCCGGUGUGCAUAGGCAAGAGUUGCCUAACACUGGACUUAGUGUGGAACGCUAUAGAGGCGUAUGACGUUCGAAUAUAGAUACCCGUAGAGUGUGGAUGUGAAUUCAGCCGAGAGAGUGUAUUGGCAGUAGCACUUGAGCAUUGCUAGGUGUGAAGCGUGCCAUGGAUCACUCGUGGGACUGGUGACUCGCAUUAGGUGCAUAGUAGCCGGUAGUGAUACGUGUGACUCGGUAGAGCAUGUCGUGUAGGACGACGACGGCGGGUAGUGCUUGGGGACGACCCGUGCCUGGACCAUUUGUGGACUGUGGAGCUUGGACCCAUUGGGCAGGCGCAGUCAGCUGUGAGUGACAGCGGCCCGGUACCUACGGGUAGGGCGGAGUUCUGGUCAGGACGGUAGUCCGAGUUUAGGCCCGGGAGCGUGGAAUGCCACGUGAUAAAUUGUGUGACCGAUGGUACACCGAGUAUGAUUGUGACCCAACCCGAGGACCUGACGUGGUUUGGGGUCUUAGUUGCUCCUGGUUGGAGUGUGUGCGAAUUCCCAAGUGAGAAUUUCGCCCGAUCAAGAUUGGGUCUGCAUUUGCGAGCGAGAGACGCUGCGUAUUGAGACAGGUUUAAGCUGUAGGCCUACGUAGGAUUGGUGGCCUUUGGUCCACCUGGGGAGACCGAAGAGAGCGAUUUGGCGGGUGGCCUUAUCGAGGAGUUUGACUCGAAUUUACGAACGAAGCGCUCGUGUGAGCUCGUUGCGGAAAUAGUUUGAUGUUAAUCGUGGCAUAUGAUAUCAGAUGAUGAAGUAUUCAUUGUGAGACAUCAAACUAGCAGAAAGCCACAUGAUGUUGGACACUAUGUUCAUGAACGAACUAAAGCUUGAGAUGUACCGAAGUGGGCCAUCUCACGUUAACGUUUAGGGUCAGUGCCAAGUUAGAGCACUCACGACGGAGCGAUACACCGGUGAUAUUGCUUCUGAGCAAUAUCGGUGAUCGAAUUGGAAUGUAUUCCCAAAAGGGAAGGCCAGUGCAAAGAAGAGUUCUUUGUGUACCGAAUGGCGAGUGGUGUUGGAGCGCGUAAAGUUGUCGAGUAUCGACUUGCGCUGCCUUUAUGACUUGCAAAAUCCGUGAUGCACUUUUGUAUCACAUUUUGGAAAUGUGUUUAGGAUUAAACCCACAUCCUUCAGUAUGAGCCGCUUCUGGAAUCACGAUUGUGUGAAGCCGGUUUGGAGUGGGAGAAUGAGUUGGUACCCUCAAUUGCUCAUGGAGCUGAAUUGAGGCGUGAUUUGAAUUUCGCGGACGAAAUUCUUUUAAGGGGUGGAAAAUGUAACAUACCAGAUUUUGGUAUAAAAAUAAAAAUAAAUAAAAAUAGUGUGAGAAACUAUUUUUAUUGGAUUUGUAGGAGUAAAACAUAAAUGACUAGUAACCUUAGGUAUAGUUUGUCAAAUUAAGGAGAAAAAGGAAAUUUCAUGCACAACUGCACAAGGAGCAAUGCUAAGUUGGCGGCUAAUAAUGUACGGAGUUAAAUUAGUGGCUAUAAUAUAAUAGCUAAUUACGGCAUGAUUUUUUAUUAGUUAAAAUUUUACAAAACCCCGUCAACUGUAUGUUAUUCUCAAAUAGUACCCAGUUGUUUUUUCUAAUUAUGGCCCUUCGUUUUCUAUCUUUUUAAAUUAAUUGAGUUUAGUCAAAAAAAAAGUUUAUUUAAUGAUGUUAUCUAAUUCAGAGAUGAUCUUAAAAAAAUUAAAUAAAUGUAUUGUUUUUGGUGCGUUUGGAUUUUCGUAAAAAUAGAGCGAAAAUACUUUUCGUACUGAAAUGCAAUUUUCGUUCGUUUGUUUACCAAUAAAAGCCCUUUCUUCGUAAGACAAUUUUAUAGAUGGAUAAGAAUGCAAUUUUAAUUGAUAUUUGUUCAUAGAAUUAGAUUUAUAGAUGGAUAAGAAUGCUAUUUUUUAACAGAUUAAUCAUAACCGUUCAUUCUUAUUUGAGAUUUUUUUUAAUUAAGUGAUCAUACCUGUUGGUAGAAAAUAUAGAAAAUAUUUUUUAUUCCNUAUAGAUGGAUAAGAAUGCAAUUUUAAUUGAUAUUUGUUCAUAGAAUUAGAUUUAUAGAUGGAUAAGAAUGCUAUUUUUUAACAGAUUAAUCAUAACCGUUCAUUCUUAUUUGAGAUUUUUUUUAAUUAAGUGAUCAUACCUGUUGGUAGAAAAUAUAGAAAAUAUUUUUUAUUCCUUUUUGGAUUCCUUUAUAGAUGGAUAAGAAUAUUAUUUUUUAACAGAUUAAUUAUAACCGUUCAUUUUUAUUUGAGAUUUUUUUUUUUAUUAACGGAUCAUACCUGCUAGUACCUAUUCGUAGGAAAUAUAUAGAAUAUUAUUUUAUUCUUUUUUCGAUUCUGUCUGUCAUUGUCAGAAUUUCUAUACACUUUUAUAUAUAGUAUAGAUAUAGAUAUAUAUGGCUAAAUUGCAGAAAACUCCCUUGUCAAUACCCGCUUUUUUACUUUUCCCCCCUGUCAUUUAAAAACCUACACUUUGCCCCCUUGAAAAAUGAGAAAUGUUUACAAAGGGGUAAACCGUGACAAAAUGAUCAAAAUGUCGUUACCAUCUUCGUUUUCUGCCCUAACCUCUCUCAGCCGUCGCCCCUCCUCUUCCGUUCUUCGCGCCUUGCUCAACCACAGCUCCGACUCUAUUUUCCUCCACAUGCUCGCUCGCUCUUCCUGCACUCGCGUUGCCCCCCAUUUCGGCGACGAUAGGGAGGAUAUCGGAGUGGGCAUGGAUGAAGAGGCAUGCAAGGGCGAGCGGCGGAGAAGGGCGAAGGGGAUGUAACGUAUCAAAACCUCUAACCCGCCUUACGCACAAAGGGGUGAAGUAUGUUUGGAGCCCCGGAUAUGAGCGAAGCUUUGAGGAGCUCAAGACGAGACUGACAUCUACUCCGGUGCUUGCCUUGCCGACGCCGGGGGAGAGUUAUGUCAUUUUCAGUGAUGCCUCUUAUGUCGGACUCGGGUGUGUAUUGAUGCAAAAUGGCCGAGUGAUAGCUUAUGCCUCGCGCCAAUUGAAGACAUACGAGAAGAACUACCCGACACAUGAUCUCGAGUUAGCGGCGGUUAUUUUCGCGCUAAAGCUUUGGAGGCAUUACUUGUACGGGGAACAUUGUGAGAUCUACAUCGAUCACAAGAGUCUCAAAUAUUUGUUCACCCAGAAGGAGCUAAAUUUGCGACAGCGGCAGUCGGCGGAUAAUUUGGCGAUGGUGGUUACACCUCAACCGGCUUUGCAAAAGGAGAUGCAACGAUUUGGGUUAGAGGUUGUGGCGCCGGGAGUGCCGGCAACAAUUGCCACGUUGAUAGUGCAACCAACCUUAUUGGAGAAGAUUAAAGAAUUGCAAAUUUUCGAUGAAUUUCUCUAAAAGGUGCGGAGCAAAGUAGAGAGCGGUAGCGCCGAUGAAUUCGGCAUUGGGACCGAUGGUGCAAUACGGUUUCAGAACCGUUGGUGUGUGCCCAAGGAUAAGGAUCUUAGGCGGGCAAUUAUGCAAGAAGCACACCAAUCUCCCUAUAGCAUUCACUCGGGCUGCACCAAAAUAUACCAAGACCUAAAGUUGCAUUAUUGGUGGCCGGGCAUAAAAAGGGACAUCGGGGAAUUUGUGGCACAAUGCCUCACGUGUCAACAGGUGAAGGCAGAACGUCGAUUUCUGGCGGGAAAACUACAAAGUCUACCUAUACCCGUAUGAAAGUGGGAAAACAUAGCGAUGGAUUUUGUGACGGGUUUGCCUAGGUCACAAGGUGGACACGAUACGAUAUGGGUAGUUGUGGACCGAUUGACCAAAUCGGCACACUUUUUGCCGAUCCACACUACUUGGUCGGAAGACAAACUAGCUCAAGUAUAUAUCGACGAGGUGGUGAGACUACAUGGGGUUUCGGUAUCUAUCAUAUCGAAUCGGGACCCGAGGUUCACUUCGCAUUUUUGGAAGAGCUUACAAGAUGCAUUAGGCACACGGCUCGACUUUUCGACGGCAUUUCAUCUUCAAAGUGAUGGUCAAUCGGAGAGAACAAUUCAAAUACUUGAGAAUAUGCUCCGAGCGUAUGUACUUGACUACAAGGGCGGAUGGCACGAUCAUUUACCAAUGGCGAAAUUCGCAUACAAUAAUAGCUACCAAGAAAGUAUUGCGAUGGCGCCAUUCAAGGCCCUUUACGGAAGGAAAUGUCGCUCGCCGAUUCAUUAGAGCGACAUGGGCGAGAGAAUUGCUCUUGGCCCCGAUGUGGUUCGGGAGGCGGAGGAGAAAGUUUGUCUCGCCCGACAACGGUUAGCGAAGGCGCAAUCAAGGCACAAAAGCUAUGCCGACAAGCGGCGAAAGGACAUUGAGUUCGCGGUUGGAGACCGCGUAUUUCUCAAAAUGUCGCCGACCCGGGGAGUAAAGCGGUUCGGUAUUCGCGGAAAGUUAAGUCCCCGCUAUAUCAGACCCUUUGAGAUCUUAGAACGAAUCUGUGUGAUGGCUUACAAGUUGGCGUUACCACCACAACUUGCGGGAGUACACGACGUAUUUCAUGUAUCCCAACUCCGCAAGUAUGUUCACGACCCCGAGCAUGUUCUCGCAUAUGUGCCGGCUGAGCUUCAAGAGGACAUGACUUAUGAGGAGUUCCCGGCGUGUAUUAUUGAUCGGGAAGUGAGAAAGUUAUGGACCCGAGAGAUUCCGUAUGUUAAAGUUCGUUGGUGCGAACACGGCGAUCAGGAAGCAACGUAGGAGCUCGAAAGUGAGAUGAAGGAGCACUAUCCACACCUCUUCGGGAAUCUGUAUUGAGUUAUGAAAUCUAGAUUUCAAUUUGGUAGUUUCGCGGACGAAACUAAAUUUAAGGUGUGGAGAAUGUAACAUAUCGAAAUCCCGAGGCGAUAAUCGAACUUUAAUCAAAUUGGUUGAAGUGUCGAGAGCGAGUGACGGACAAGUUCCAAUUUACAUUCCAACAUGUUUGGGAGGGCAAAAAAAAUGAGCAAAUGAGAUGUUAGAAUGGUUUUGGCAUCUUGCGACGCGAAGUAGAGUCGAACAGAGUCAAAACCCGCAGUCUGGAGCCUGGUGUACCGGUACACCAUGAUGGUUGUACCGGUACAGCCAUCGACCCGAGCCCAGACAGCUCUCGGGUUUGGGCAGAAUACGUGGUGUACCGAUACGCGGCCCCGUGUACCGGUACGCACCUUGCGAAACCGAGCGAGGCUGCUCUCGGGUUUGGGCUUCUGCGCAGGGCUGUACUGGUACGGGACCCCGUGUACCGGUACGCAGGGCCUCUGGCAGCAGGGGUAAGUUUGCUGCAGAGAUGAAGUUGAGGGGCCUAAAUGCAAUUAUUACAACACUCCAUAGGGCCCAUUCUUCUCUCCCCUUCACAGCAAACACAACCAAACUCCUUCCCUCACAUUUCUUUCUUUCUCUCUCUAGAAACCCUAGCUCCAAAGGCUUGGAGGUGGUGGAAAAGAAGGAGAAGAAGGUGAUUUGGAGGCUUUGGAGGCUUGGGUGACUCUCCAACAAGGUGGACCUUGGGAGAGCUUGUGGCUAAGGUGAGGUUUUGGUAUGAAUAGGUCUAGGGUUUGGUUUUAGACCUAAGAUCUUUGGGUUUUGAUCUCUUUGAAGGCUUAGAAACCCUCUAAUGGCUUUGGCACCAUGAACAUCUUGGAGUCCUUGAACCCCUCUCAUGGUGGAUCUCUAGGUCUCGAAGUAGAUGCCCUAGGGUUGAUUCUAGAAGCUUAAAAACUUCAUUAGAGAGCUUCCCAGUAAAUUCUAAGCUAUCUUUUGCUUAGCUACAAGAUCAAUCUAGGAGCAAACUCUAGAAUGUCAAAAUUAGGGUUAAGUUUGGGGCUUUUGCCCUAGGAUUUUUCGGGGACGAAAUGAACCCGUAGAAACCUAAUUAGGGGUGUUCCCAACGCGGUGGGAAACUCCAUUUCGCGAAACGAAAAUCGUAGCGUAAGGUUCAUAUGCAAAAGGCCUAAAAUGAACAUUCUUUUGGGUUGUAGGUCGCGGCUAGGGCGACGGUUGGACUUGGAAAGUGUCGGACUAGCUUUCUUACACCUCACAAGGUGGGGGGUGCACGCCAGAAUCACCGGAUUCCUCAUUAUGUUUAUUUUCACCUUUUUUGAGCAUACUAUGUAUAGAAUACUCAUGCAUGAUAGGGUAGUUGGUGAUUGUAAAUGGUUGAACCUCAAUACUUUGCUUCUAACGUAGUUGAACUUAGUGAUUGAAAUGGAACCAUUCGAGACAUGCGUAAAGAACCCUAUACUUGCAUGAAAUUGAGACACGGACUUGACAAUAGUUAACAAAGGUGACAUGAACAUUAGAAAUGAGAUUGGCCAUGAGCAAGUGAAUGUUAAAUAUAGGUUUAACCAAGAGUGACAUUGUGGCAAGAAUAAUUUAGAGAGUUGACAAGAACAAUAGGUAGAAAACCUAUCAACAAGUGGCAUUGUGACAAAGUGGCUAAGUAUCCUCAAGUUGGGGGAUUUGAUCGAUACUCAUAAUAAGUCUUGGCUUGAGGGAGGUCGCUCCCCCUCAAGCGGUAUGUUUCCGGAAAUCAUCACCAAGAGAGCGCGGUCCCUAAGACGGUCCCUCGGGUUGUAGUGCAGGGCCUCCCCGGUUAUAAGGGAUUUGGGUUAUGAGUGCUUGGGGCUAACGAAGUUAACCAGUAAGAUUGGGUAAGGAGCCACAGUAAAGUUCAUUUAUGACUUGAGCAUGCAUGCAUUUCUUUUAUAGCAUUGACUAUAUACCUUCUGACAGAUUUCUUGCAGGCAUAGUAUUAGUUGCAUUAGUAUGGUUAUUACUUCCAUUUCUUGAAAUACUUAUGCCUGGAUAAACCUAGUGGAUAAGUCGGCGAGGUCGCUUGCCGAACCCACUGGGAACUUUGUUUAGUUCUCACACCACUAACCCUACAGGUCCUAGUACGAGCGGGGUAGCGGAGGACCGAGGUAAGGGUAUAGCGCCAUAGCUAGUAGCCACCCGGACUCUUUUCAUUUGGUAGUCAUUCCAUUUUUAAGUAUCAUUGUAUCAACUUUAUUUUGUUGAUUUAGGAAUGCAAAGUUGUAAAUGAAUGUUGUAUUUUUGGUGAAUGGCUAAAUUGUAAAAGAAUUAUGAAUGAAAGAAAAGGAAUGUAAUAGUUUAGUUACUUUUAUUUGAUGCAAAUGCAAUCAAGUAUCAUGUUUGUUUAUGUUCAUAGCUUAGAGCUUCCUCUUUCGUUGUUGCUUGUCCUCGUGCAAGUCUUGUAUAAUAGCUAAUCUCCUCAUAUGAUUGCUUCAUUAUACCUGUCGUUAGAGCCUCGGGCGGACAGGGGAGGCUCUGUCCGUUUGGCGUCUAUUGACGUGACCCGAACCGGACCAAAUCGGCGGGGAUUGGGGCGUGACAGGUUCGGAACCCAUCAAGACUUGGUUUGAGUUGGGCGACAUCAAGUUUGUUAGGUCACUUCGGAUUUGGUUUGGGUUGAACCGUUAUGCUUUGGUUCGGGACCCAUCAAGACUUGGUUUGGGUUGAACCGUUAUGCUUUGGUUCGGGACUCAUCAAGACUUGGUUUGAGUUGAACCGUUAUACUUUGGUUCGGUUCGAGUCAGAUCCUUUACGGUUCGAUUCGAGUCGGAUACUUCAUGGUUUGGUUCGAGUUGGAUUCUUCAUGGUUUGGUUCGGGUUGGACCUACCUUGGUUCGAGUCGGACCCUGAUCAGGUUGAACCGAAUUCAGCUAGAGUUGAUUCAAGUCGGAUCUUGUUUGGUUCGGAUUGAAUCCACUUCGGUUCAAGUUGACUCCUUCUUUGUUCGGUUCAAAUCGGAUCCUUUUCGAUUUCGGUUUAAGUUGAAUGCUUUAUGGUUUGGUUCGAAUCGGCUCCACUUCGAUUUGAAUCGAAUACUUCCUAGUUCGGUUCGGAUUGGAUCCACUUCGGUUCAAGUUGACUCCUUCCUGGUUCGGUUCAAGUCGGAUCCACUUCGGAUCGUGUUGAAUCCUUUAUAGCUUGGUUCAGACUGGAUCCGAUUCGGUUUGGAUUGGAUCGGAUCCGCUUCGGUUCAAGUUCAAGUCGAACCCAUUAUGAUUUGGUUUAGACGGGAUCCGGUUCGGUUCGGCUCCGGUUCAGUUCGGCUCGGAUCGGAUUCAUUUCAGUUCAAGUCGAAUCCAUUUAGUUUGGUUCAAAAGGAUCCUGUUUGGUUCAGAUAGGAUCUUGUCCGGUGUGGAUCCAAAUCUGCAUGUGGGUUAAGAUGGGUGUCGGGCUUUAUAUGCUCUAGGCCUUGGACCCGAAUCUGCGUGUGGACUUGAAUUGGUUUUGGACUUUACANCAAAUUUCAUAAUUUUUUGAUUUCGUUUGUCUAGUGAACGAGUAGCCUCAAAAUGAACGGCUGAAAAUGAAAAUCUCAUAAAAAACAGUGAUAAAGGAUUCAAAUUUUAAAUCGGAAGUAUUGAUCUUUCUACUGAUGUUAAGUAGAAUUUUCUAUUAAAUUUUCAUGUAAUUUGGAUACUUCUACACCGUUGAACUUAAAAAUGUGCCACAUCGACCGUUAAAAUAGUCAUUUUUUAGACCUUUUGAUCGCUUAGUAAAUGAUGUCAAAAAAAUCUAAAAUUUGGUUUCUAGAUAGUUCUAAUAGAGUAGAUCAUACCUAACGGAGCCGAUCGUCGAAUCGAACGUCCUAUCAUCGAAAACUACUUACAAGCACGGAGCCUCCCGUACUUUCGAAAGUACGGGAGACGGACUCUAUAUAUAUAUAUAUAUAUUGAAUGCUUAUGAAAUUGAGCCCAUAAUGGAUUGAACCAUUUUCAAAAUAAAACCAAGUCCAAUUCUUCAACUUCUUUUCUUUUCUUUUCUUUUUUUUUUCAUUUUCUUUUCUUUUCUUUCUUUCUUUCUUUUUUUCUUUUUUUUUUUGACUGUCAGAUAGAGAGAGAGAGAAGUAGUGCCCAACUUUUUCUUUUCUUUUCUUUUCUUUCCUUUCUUUUCUUUUUUUUUUAUUCUUUCUUUCCUUUUUUUGUAUUGACUGCCAGAUAGAGAGGAUCCCAACUCUUUUUUUUUUUUUCUUUUUCGUUUGUUUGCUUUUUUUUUUCUUGUCCGAAUAUAUGAAAUUUGGUAUCUUUUUUGUCUAGACGAAAUUUAUCACGUCGAAGAUGACGAAUCAGAACACGUCCAUUUUUUUAUUAUCAUUUUUAUUAUUAUUAUUUUUUUGUCACGUCUUAUUCAAAUACGCGGAGUUUAAUCGUGUCGAGCCUAUCGCGAAGAUGGCCCCACGGUUUUCGCUUUCGAACAUGCCGAGCCUAUCGCGAAGAUGGCCGCACGUUUUUUUUAUACCCAUUUGGCCAUGUCGAGCCUAUCACGAAGAUGGCCGCACGAUUUACAUAAUCCGGUUCGAUCAAUUAUUUUGACCGUGUCCAGCCUAUCACAGAGAUGGCUGCACGGUUUAGAGAUUAAGCAUGCAUACGUACCGUGGAAGUGAUGAUUUGAUGUCAGAUUUGAUCGGUUCGAAACCUAUCACGAAGAUGGUCAGGUUGAUCAAACCAACAAAAAUCGCACGUAUGCUUUUCGGAUGCAUGCGUAUCCCUUAUCGUCGUAGAAGUCGUAUUGUCGCGUCGUUGUCGAAGUCGUCGUUGUCGCGCCGUCGUCGAAAUCGCCGAAUAAAAGAGCCAAGCUUUUUUUUUUCCUUCUUUUCUCUUUUUUUUUGUACUGGGGUCGGAGAGGGGUGUGCACACAGCACACCCCCUCCCUGCUUGCUGCCAGCGCGUAGAGGGAGGAGGGGGGUCAAAUCCCCCUGUCCACUAGUAGGAAAGAAUCAACAAAAGGAAAAAAAAAUUUAUUUCCUUUUUUUUUAUUCCUUUUUUUUUUAAGAAUCCAAAUAAGCUAGGAUUAUAUUGGAUUCUUUCUCCUUUUUUUUUUGAAUCUUUCCUUUCUCUAUUUCCUUCUUUCUAUAUUCUCAAAUUUGAAUUUUAAAUUUCAAAUUUUUUUUUUUUGAUCCCAACAAGUACUCGAUAUAUAUAUAUUGUUUUAGGAAGAAGAUAAGGCAAUUACAAAGUUAUCAGUGUUCCAAUUUGCCAUUUUAUUAGGAUUUGAGUGAUCUCAUCAUAGCUAUAUUACACAACAAAGAGCAACAAUGUUGGAUUUAUUUUUCACAAUCAAAAUUCUAAGUCUAAACAGAUGUACUAAAACGGCUAUCCACAAGUCCACCACAGAGGUCAACAAGGACGUCAACAGACCCACCGAACGGACAGAGUUUUCACUGUCCGAACGAAGCGUCAACAAAAUCGACCAGUACAAGACAAACCAUUGAGAUCAAACAUGAGGGGUAUCCACAACACAUGAAUCAAGAAGAGGUACCGAAUAAACAAAUAACAUGUAUCAGAGCGCUAUUUCCAAGCAAAGUUGCCGUACAAUACGAACAUCACCAAAUGAACCUCAAGCUCAAAAGAAAAGUACACGAAAACAACCCAGACCCUCGCCAGUGCAGGUAGAUUGUACAACAUAGCACUCUAUCUGGUGGUCCUCUACUGAAAAGGCAUGCUGGUAGGAGAUGCUAACUACUGCGCGAUCCUCUUCACCUCAAUCAACCGACAGUAUACGAAUCCCUGAAAAGUAAGCCACCAAAGGGUGUGAGAACUACUGAUUAGUAGUUCCCGGUGGGUAUGGUCAACAAUAACCACGACUUUCCCACUAGGUCUACUGGAAGCCAGAUUGAUCAGUGAACAGUAGAAUAUAUGGUAAAUCAGUAGUUGAAUGCAAGUACAUAGGAAAAUUAACUGAACAGGUAAUUGAAUGACCAUAGGUAAUAAUCAAGGUAUUUAGCUCUAAGCAUUACAAAUGAAUGUCAAGUACAGUAAAAGACUAACUGGUUAUGACCUGCAUAGUCAAAUGUAAAGUAACAAUAAUCGAAUAACUGCAUGUAAUAUAAACAACUCUCUAUACCUGUCUCUAUACCUGUCUCUGUGCCUGCUGUACUAUCAUGUCCAUGUAUAAGUAGCGAGAGAAAAAGAAAGAAAUUGAGUACUAUAUGGAACAAUAUAACUACUACUAAACAAAUGCUGCAAUAGUACCCAAUCACAACGACCGACUCAUACGUCCGGUCAAGCUUGCGCCUGCCUAGUGCCGGAAUCGCACUCCCGCAAGUGCACCAUCGACACAUAGGCUCUACCCCCAGCCCGAACACCACUCCCGCAGGUGGGUUGUCUUCCCAAGGGCACACAUAUUUCUGAUAUAACUGCCCAGCAUCCUGAGCGGCACUCGAAGGGGAGCGACCCCUGCCGAGUCUAAUAGUACGUAUCUCUGUCCAACUCAAUAUGGCUUUGCAGGCUAUGGUCUACGUGAUGGUCAAAAGAUCACAAAAAACCCAAUCUAAUACCCUCGACAAUAUCAAAGAAUAUCAAAUAAUGCAUAUAUCACAGUAGCAUGAUCAUAUACUUCUCACUAUCCAAAAUCUGUUCAUUCUCGCCACGCUAAUCGAUGGUAUCUACCAAAUACAUCAUAAAAUGCAUAUGCUCUUGCUAUGACCAAAACAUCAGCAUACUAUCGCCGCGCUACCCACGGCCUCUAUCACAUAAUAAAUGGCAUGCACAAUACAAAUGAGUAAGAGACGACUCACUAAAAUGCAUAAAGUGUCAUCUGGCUUCCCACGACUUACUAAAAUGUCUAAAUAAUAUACUGCUAACAACCACUAUUUAACGGUUAUUCAGUAGAGAAUUCGCACAGAAUGACCUCAAGUCUUAGCAAUAUGUGAUUGAAUGAAAAUCCUUACUCACUAUGCAAUGACUCAUCCCACGUGAUAGAUAUAAAUAUGAAAAAGUGUGACAUGGCUACUGGAAACAAUGCAUAAAUCAUCCUUCACGGUUGCACGUACAAGAAAGCCAUUCUUCCACUCAGUUUUAUACUAACACAACCCUUAUCAAUAUUAAAGUCCAUUUAUAUAUAUAUAUGCAUAUGCGAGGAAAAUAGACAUAGAAGAAAUUUCAUCAUUUUCAACGACUCGGAACCCACCUCGAAGCACUAAACCGGCCAUGGUAAGAGAAUCCACCUCUCACGCACCUUUUUCGUGGCUCACGUUUGCAAGGAAUCUCGAAAUCCAGUCGAAACAUUCCAAGGUACUAAAAAAUGGUAAAAAAGCUCGACCGAGAUCUAGUAGUGCUCCUCCUCUAAUUCGAUUAGCACAACCUGUUUGUGAACAUUGCUAUUCUUAUUCGAACCUGCAAAUACCAAUUGGAAUACCAGAGGCGCGUAUUGCGCCAAUUCCUCUUCAUUUCACUAUCUCUUUCUUUCCCUCUCACCUUCUUUCUUUUUCUUCCUCUAUAUAAGUUGCAGAAACUUUCCUUUUUCUCUCCCUCUUUCUCUUUUGCUGCCCCCUGUAGCUGCUCUGCAAUUAGCCGCAGCAGCUGCGUGCUCAGUAGCAGCAGUAGCUUGCUGCUGCUGCUGCUCUGCUUUCAGCAGCAACACAUAGAGAAAGAGAGGAAAAUAGAAGAAAAGGAAAAGGAAGAAGAGAAGGAAGAAGGAGAGACAAAUAAAAAUUAAACAUACUUCAUAUUUCGAUCGAUACAUCGGAUCGAAUCAAUUUCCAAAAAUCUUCUCUUUCAACUCUUCCUUUUCUUCUUCUUUCUUCUUUCUCUCGUUUGGUUUUCUUCUCUAUCAGGCUGAGAGAGAGAGGNCGGAUCGAAUCAAUUUCCAAAAUCUUCUCUUUCAACUCUUCUUUUUCUUCUUUUCCCUCUUUUGUUUUCUUCUCUAUCAGGCUGAGUAAGGUGGGAAAGAGAUAGGGAUGGAGUUAGUGGAAUUCCACUAAGUUGCCUAUUUGUAACUUAGUCCAACGGAAAGUGGUAUUUGCAGUUUAGUCAUCCAUAGAUGGAAAAUUCGACAUAAUAUCUUUGAUUUCGCGUCAAAACUUUUACACCUCAUUCAAGCUCUGCAUUUACAUGCUGACCAACAUCCUACACUGAAUCCCAUAGGCAAAAUCAGUAUUCUACAUGAUAUCUAAGCAAUGUUAGUUCCCACCACAUCCAUUUGUUAAUUUUUUAUUUCAAAUCCCUUAAUUCUUCCAUUGCCUUCUUUGGCAUCUACAUUGUCCAUGCCUCUGGCAUGAUAUAUAAGGAAAAUAAGCAAUCAAAUCUAGUAAAUUUAAUAGAAUGAGAAGUUUGGAGAGGAUAGUCAUGUACAGAUCAAACAACUACAUAGCAACAAUCUUCCCAAGGAGAGAUUGAUUCAGAACUAAGUUGUAUUAUUUUUAAGGAAACAACUGAUUCAAUGAUGCAUUGUUCUUUUUGGAUUAUAAAAAGAUUUCAAAUCUGUACAUGGACUGCAAUAGAAUUCUAGCAGUACAGCAAAUUAACUUAAUAAAAGUAUGUUUCACCUUCAACCCUGGACAAUUAUCAUUUGUUGUGUACAUAUAUAAAUUUGUGACACCACAUGUAGAAACCAAAUACUUCCAAAAAUUUUUUUUUUCACAUAAAUCUAGUAACUGGACAAUUCUCAUUUGUUGCAUACAUAACCUUAUGACACCACUUGUAGAAAUCAAAUACUCCCAAAAAAGAUUUUCUUAUAUCAAUUUAGUAUAAGAAUGAUUUGAAAUGGAAAGAAAUAGAGAUUAAAUAGAGAUUAAUUUGAAUGCUUGUGAUGAUACCAUGGACGGCGAUGUCAUUCUUAAGCGUUAUCGCCUCCAUCUCGUUACUCAGCUUCAUCAAAAACCUAUAGAUGCCAAAAAAUUAUCACAAAAAUCACAAUGAUUAAGGACGUCACACACACAGUGAAGGCAAAAAAAAAAAAAAAAAAAAAAAGAGAAAAAAAAAAGGCUUGCUUGAGAGUCAGAGAAGGCGGGGGUUGUAGCAGCAGCUUGUAAUGGCAGGAUCGGUAAAAGAAGCCUGCUCAAGAGAGAGAGUAUGCACAAUACAAAAGUUACAAAAAUUCCUUCCCACAGCUACUUACAUAAUAAGGAAUCAAAACUCCCCCUACUUUAUCACUCUUUCUUUAGAUAUCAAUAAUCCAUAAAGAAACCCGAGGAACCUUGAUUAGUCACCAUGCACAACGAGUCAAAAACAAACAUAUCAAGCCCAAAUGAAUGCAACUUCACCAUGAGCGAAUCAUAAACAAUGGCAGAUCAAGCGGAGCAUAAUAAUCAAUUCGAAAUCAAGAAAAAUAAAUGUUGAACAACAACCAGAAGCAUCACAGGAAGAGGUCCAACCUGUGAUCUCGCAAGGCGGGGGGUCGUCAGAGUUGGGGGGGAGAAGGAGCGUGCCGGCUAGCGAGGGCGGGGUAUGGUGUUGUUGGCAAAUCCAUUCAAGGAGAUAGAGCCCUCGCUCGCAUCCCAUUGUCGCUUCCUUUAUGCGCGUGCUCUCACUCUCUCCACAAUGUGAUAGGAAACGGCAUCGCGUAAUACCAUAGGGUGGAAGAUCAAAUGGCAAGGAAAGAAGAAGAAACAACAAAAACUCCAAUCUCAGAUUAAUAGCUGCGGACCGCAUUUUUCAGUUACAAAGAAGAAGGCUAGGGGUCCCCACUCCAUCUCCAUUCAAGGAAAGACUGCCAUGUGGCUAUAUCUUUGGGGAUUAAUAUAUAGAGUAUUUUAUAGGACUAUUUCAAAUCCCGAGAUGUCAUAUUAUUAUUUAGUUUAUUUACUUAUUGAGUUAUAAGAUAUGAAUUAUAUUUUGAAUAUUCGAUUAUUAAAAGCAAUGUUGGAGGAAAGUCACUUUAAUUGCGAAUUCCCUCAUUUGUAGUAUUGAAUUCUAUGAUCUUGUGUGAUCAAACACUUUGGAUGUUAUUUUAUUUCAUUCUUAUGCUCUAAUCAUAACAAUUUGUGUUAGGAGAAAAAACUCGUUAGCUUGUACUUCAUCGAAAAUGUAAAAGCUAAGUUCUUACUUGUUCUCUUUUUUUAUUUAUACGAAUGUUUAUAGGCUUUGAAACAAAGUAAAGGCGGCAUUUUGAAUUUGAUGAAUUUUGUAAUCACUUCAGUAAGCAAAAUUUUUCUAGAGGAAUCUCUUUUCCUUCUCCUCUAGCUCAAUGGCGAUCAAGGCAUGGAGCAUUUGCAACGACGUGACCCGCUAGCAAUAAUAACUCGUUGGGCCCAACUACCGGCCCAAAAUGCUUAAGCUAAACUGAUUAGAAUCAGUAUUCCAUCCGAUGUAGGACUAUUGGGUACGGGUUCGUGGGACUAUUGGGUACGGGUUCAAGAGGUGGCUCCCACCAAAUUCGUUGGUGUAACACUUUGUCUGUGCUUAGCUUUUACACUUCCGGCUGGUAUUCGUCUCUAAUACCAAUUGCAACGACCCGACCCGCUAGCAAUAAUAACUCGUUGGGCCCAAACUACCAGUCCAAAAUGCUUAAAUCCAGUUAUUAUUGCUAGCAUGUAGGCUUCAUAUAAACUGAUCGAAAUCAGUAUCUCAUCCGAUGUGUAACUAUUGGGGACGUUACAACAUUUUACUUUUUCUUUGGGUUGAUAAAUAAAGUUCUAAAUUAUUUGAUUGCUAAGAUGUGGGGAAAUAAGGAUAGCUUAAAGCAUCUGCAACAGAAAAAGGUUAAUUACUAUUUGUGGGGAGAUAAGGGAGAUUUGAUUGCUUUUUGCGGAGAGAUAAAAUAGGUUUGAUUGUUUUUUGUGUUCAGGUAAAAGGGCUGUUAAUAUAUUUUGUGAAAACUAAAUCAAUUUUUUUUGUAUGUUUUUAUUUAUUUUAUAUGUGUAUAUAGAAUUGAGCUAGAAUAUUUUUAGAAGUAUCAUCCCCAUGGUGCUAUUAGGUUUUUAGCCAUUGGAUCUACUCCUUGAUUACUAAUAGCUCUUGGAUCAAAUACUAUUCCACCUACCACCAUCAUUUCAACCUCACGUCACUCCAUCCAAUGACUAAAAACUCAAAAGCACCACCCUCAUAGUGCUUUUGAGAGUAUUCUAGCUCAACUCGUGUAUAUAUAUUAUUAUCCGAAUAAUAUCGGAAUAUAAAUCUGAUCCAUAUUUGAAUUCAAAAUAAUAUGUCUACAUCCGAAACUAUUUUUAGUGGAUAUGAUAAUAAAAAUUUAACAUUUGACAUAUAUCCGUAUCCGAAUUCGUAUUCGAAAAAAAUAUUGAUGCUGAUAUAGUUUUGUCCAAUAUCCGACUAUACUUGAUUUGUUUUCACCCCUAAUUACAUUGACAAUCUGGCGCACACAAUAUAAAAUCACUCAACCUAGUCUGGCACACACAAUAUAAAAUCACUCAACCUUACAAUAUAAAAUCACUCAACCUUAACUCUAAUAACUCAUUAGAUCCUAAACCUCCGGUUCAAAAUGCUUAACCCAAUGAUUAUUACUAGAAUUUUCUAGCAUUAUAUUUCCAAUCAUUAUUCUUUUUCCAUACAAUGUGUCCUAUUUGAUACGAGUACUAUUGAAGUAUUAUAGAUUUCCAUCAUUUAAACCCUUAUGUCCUAGACAUAGUCCAAUUCCCUAGCUAGCCGAAGAUCCUCAUGUAGUUUUGAGAUACAUCUCACAUUUCCGGCUUGCAAACCGCCGGUUUUACAAUCCUGUACUACAAUCUUGUUCUCAUCUAACAUAGAGCUAUUGGGGUGUGAGAUACAACUCACAUUUCCAGCUAGCGACCUGUCCAAGAUUGCCCGGCAACGUCCAAGAUCAUCAAGCGAUGUGAGGCUCACCUUACACUUCUGACUUGUGAACCGGCUUUGGUACCACAUGUAAUGACCCAACUCGCUAGUAAUAAGACCUUUAGAGCUCAAACCACUUGUGCGCCCCAACUUCCCAGGGGGUCAUCCAUCCUAAGACUAUUCUCGUUCUAGCACGCUUAGCUCUUUUAAUCUCUUGAGUCUAAUCACUAUCCAAAAUACUUAAACCGGAUUAAGAGCUUUAACAUAUAUAUAUAUAGGAUUAACUGGGGUCUCACAUUCUCUCCCUCUUUUAAGCCCUGACAUUCUCAUGAGGCUUAGACUCAUAAGUAUCAAGCGAUGUAAGACUCGUCUCGCUAGCCUUGUCAUUCCGACCUUGACUCAGCUAAGACUGAUUUCACACUUUCGAUUGGUAAUUGGAUUUGAUACCAAAUAUAAAGCCCUAACUCCUAGGACUACUUCCGUCCUAGUACGAUUAACUCUCUUAACCCUCUUGGGCCUAAUGUCACGCCCCGGGACCGGCGGAGGCCCUCCCGGUAGCGUGCCCAGACCCGCCAUAUGUCUACACAUAUAAGGCGUCUACAAUAAAAGCGGAAGUAAAGGCAAGUAGUAGAACAAAUAGAAGAAGUGAAAUAACUAACAACUAAUGAUAUCAGAGCGAGUAAAGUUCUAACCUCUACACCAAUAGUAAUAGNCUUCUUCUUCUUCUUCUCUAUCAAGGAUGUAGAGAGGGUUGAGAGGAGAGAAAUGAGGAGAAGAGAGAGGGGAUGGGUCAUAUAGACCCUCUAUUGUAACAAAAUCCCAAGAGGCCCCUCAAAAAUCCAAUAUUACAUCAGCCCGAACUGGGCAGUUUUCGCCCAGAGGGACCGGUCUCUCCCCAGCAGGGACCGGUCUCUCGCUGCGAACCCGAAAAACCAGCGUUCGGGAACCGGUCUCGCCUGCCAGGGACCGGUUGCCUCAGGCUGCCUCAACACUGCUCACUGAGGGAACCGGUCUCUUCUUCCAGGGACCGGUCCCCGAGAGUAAAAACUCUCAGGACUUGGCCAAAAUUUCAGUUUUCGAACUUUUUAGGUCGGAAAACAUUCUACGACCCUCCACCAAGCGUGGAAAAGCUCGAAACACAUCCAAACACUCGAACCUUGCAAUUUGCAAAGGUCCAGUGUGUUACACCUAACCACCACCCAACAUACUUAAGCCGAAUUAAGAGCUUUGGUCCUAUUAUAUCUCAUAUAUAGGACUAACUGGGGCCUCACACCACUGACCUAAAAUACUUAAGUCCGGUUAUUAUUAUUGAGGUACACAAUCUCUUAUAUAUACAAUUACAAUCCUAUUUCCAUCCGAUGUGGAACUAUUGAGAUGUCACACAUAAUGUGCAAAUUUGUGGUAUUUAUUGAAGUGUCAAUCUUCUCACUCUCUAGUUAUAUCUUUUGUAACUUCUGUUGCAUCAAAAUGAUAAAUUAUUGUAGAGCGAAACUAAUGAUCAAACUUCUCAAUUUCAAUCUUCGUCGACGUCUUAACUCUCAAAUGAAUAAUCCGACUCUGAUACGAGUUUGUUAGGAAUCCGCCACUUUGAUAUCAUAUUUAUGUGAUACUAGGUUGUUAUGACAAAUGUGAAAUAUAUCUAAUUCGUCAGGUACGAAAAUACCCAAAAAAAAUAUUGAGAAAGAGAGAAAAAAUAAAGCACACAAGUAUUAGGUAAUUCGGCCACUGACCUACAUUCACAGGCGAAGACACAAUAGAGAUUUUCAUUAUAACGAAAGUGGUGUAUAAAAUAUGAUUCUCUCAUAAAACUCUAAUCUCAAAAAUACAUCCAUACUCUUUUUAAUAUAUUUGCUCCACUAAAUCAAUAAAAUAAAAAAUAUAUUUUUAAUAGUGGCUAAAUACUAAUUAAUAUAACUAGAAAUAUAAAUCUACUGAGACUGAUAAUAGUUACCUCAAUAAAAUUAGGCAUAUUUUAACCUUAACUUAAUGAGAUAACUAACAUGCAUGCUGUAUGCUGAAAAAUUGUAUAUAUUGAAACAUGCAUGAUGUCACAUGAACAUCCCUCCGCAGCAUUUACUAUAGAUAGAUAUUGAUAUAUAUAGAUGCCCAUUAAUUUGGAACGUACUCUAAACUUUACGUACUAGUGCAAUAUAAAAAUUCUCCUUUUUGUUAUCUACGUAAAAUAACAACAUCAUGAUCCUUAUCAUAUAAUAAUCACAAGCUCAUCACUACAUGCGCUUCGUAACCUUUCCAACAAUUAAAGAGUCUCUCCCUUAAUUAAUCCUCCUCACUAGUACUGUUCAUCUUAAUAUUCUCUAGUAACUCCUCCAGAUGAUCAUUCUUCUUCAUCUCCUUCUGCAGAUGGAGAUUGAGAUCAUUUAUAGUCUGCUGCAGGCUGUUGACGUACUGCAAAAGCAGCUGCUCUCUCUGCUCCCUCACCUUCAUCUCCUCGUCGCCAUCCGCGCACCGCACGCACCGCGCCAGCAGAUUCAUCACCAUCCCUCGCUGCAGGUCCAAGCUCCCGAGCAGAGAAACCAAGUUGGGAACCAGCACUUGCUUCACGACAGACGCGGUCGACGAAGCGGCAUUCGGUGCCGCCGUCGACAGAGCCUGCAGCAUCUCUCCUUCCUCCUUGCCUUCUUCCUGAUCGUCGUCAUCAUCAUCGCCUUCUUCGCCCUUCGUCGAUUCGUCCUCGCACUCCUCCCCCAGGUAAAUCGGAUCCAGUUCGAAGCCUUCUUCGUGGAAAUUCCACCCGCUGACCCGUCGAGUCUUGUUCGGCGGAGACGCCAGUCCGACGGUAACAGGGCCUUCCUUGAACCUCUCCUCCACUGUCGGCACUGCCUGCAGCACGUUCUUAACUAGGUAGUCGGCAGACUUGCAGCUCCGGAAGAAGGGAUGGCGGAGGAGCUUGUCGGCAGACGGCCGCUUCGACGGGUCGUGCGAGAGGCAGGAGGCCACCAUGUCCUUGAACGCCUUGGAGAACUUCUUCUUGCUGCUCGUGUGGUCGGGCGCGUCCUCGAGGCGCAGGCGGUUGGUGAUCCGCAUCAUCAGCGACUUCGAGAGCGGGAGGUGGGAGAGCGGGGGGCGGCCGUGGGCCAGCUCGAGGGCGGUGAUGCCGAACGACCAUAUGUCGGCCUUGAUGCCGUAGCCGACGUGGGAGUGGAUCACCUCAGGCGCCAUCCAGUACGGCGUCCCCGCCAUUUCGUUGAAGAAGGUGGACAGCGACGACGACGACAAGUUGUACAUCGGGUAGGAGGAGCAGGAGGACGAGGAGGAGGACGAGGAGGAGGAAGGGGGCGACUCGUAGAUGGAGGCGGAGACGCCGAAGUCGGCGAGCUUGAUGGAGCCGUCGGAAUCGACGAGAAUGUUCCCGGCCUUGAUGUCGCGGUGGAUGAGGCCCUGGCCGUGGAGGUAGGAGAGGGCGUGGAGGAUCUCCUUGAGGACGGGGGCGAUGGACUGCUCGGGAAGGCCGUCGGCGAAGGCGGAGGAGACGAUGGACUGGAGCGAGCCGGCGGCCAUGAAGGGCAUGACAACCCACAAGUGGCUGUCGACGAUGAAGGAGCAGUGCGCGCGGAGGACGUUCGGGUGGUUGAGCAGGGCCAUGGCCUUGGCCUCGCGCCGCACCUCGUCGAGGUUCGCGCGCGACCGUUCGAGAUCGAUGGACUUGAUCGCCACCACCGCCGAGUCCAGCGGCAGGCACACAGCCUUGUACACCACCGCGCUCACGCCACUGCCGAUCUCGUACAGGAGCCUGUACGAUUUCGCGUCCAAAGGAUACACCAUUCUUUUCGCUUCGUCCAUUGCCUCAAAUACGUACUAUAUAUCAAUUUUUACGUAUGAUUGAUGGUGUGGGAAUUAAAGAUUAACGAAAACUUACUAACUCAAUAGCCAACGUAUUUAGAAAUCGAAAUUGAAUCGGAUUACUUGUUUUACUAUUCUGAACACACCUGCAGAUGACAACUGAUGAAAAUUUAUAGAACACAUGUAGAAGGACGUAUCAACUUUUUUGCCAUAUUUUUGCUUUCGUGCAUGUGAGGCGAGAGAUAAAAAAGGGAGGGACGAGGAUGCACGGGGGGAGCAGUUAGAGAGUAGUGAGUGUAAAGGUCAGGUGAGAAUUCCCGUGAAGUCAUUUUGGGGGGAAAUUUUUGUUGGGAUGGUAGGCAGGUUUCAGUUGCUUGACAGAGACUAUAUUUGGAAUAAAUUAUGUUAAAGAGUCUGCAACUUUAUAUGCAUAUUGUUAGGAUUGUAUGAUUCUGCAUUUCCCUGUGAAAGAAAAACUAGUACAGGACUCUUAAUUAGAUAAGCUAAAAAUUAAAGGAAAAAAAAUAAUAAAAUGUAGAAAAAUUUUCUGUAAAUUUUUUAUUUUUUUAUUUUUUUUUCCUUCUUACUUUUAAAAUUUUGUAUUUUAUUCUCUUAAAAUUUUAAAAAUAUUUUUUCGGGAUUACGACGUUAAUGAAGAGAGCGAAAUAACCAAAUAGCCAUUAUUUAUUUUAUAAACAAAUAUUUUUAAUAUAUUUUUAUCAUUUUUAAGUAUUUUGUCAGUAUAAAUUAUAAGAUAUAGACGGAAUAGUGACAGAAUCCUGACAGAAAGGGGCUAAAAUGCAUCAACUUAAGGUAAAAUGUAGAUAUUUAAAAGUCAAAAAGAAAAAGUAAAAAAAAUAGGUACUUAUAGAAAAAAAUAGAUAUAUUUUAGCAAAAACAGGAGGUUACUGGACUGCUGAGUUUAAUUCAAUGCCCUAAGGUACGAAAUGGGAUGAGAUUGUGAGGAAGUCUUCUAUGUGGCGAUCACAUGCGCUCAUAUUUCAGCUAAUUUUUCUUUUUAAGAAAAGUGUAUAACAAAAAUAUUUUUUAAAAGUUACAAUAUAUAGGAUAGUUGAGUCCUUGGAGCCAAACGUGAUUGAUUGUGAUUAUCAUAUUUUUAGACUUUUGUGAGAUUUGGGCAUGUCAAAUUCAAAACUCAGUUGGAAGACUCAUAGAGAGACAAAUGUAAUAGUCAGCAUUAAAUUCGACUUUAUUUUGAUUUUUACACUAUGGAAUUUGGAUGGAUUGUUAUUAAUUUGGUCGGCUCCUGAGAUUCUAGUUAGAGAGUUUAAAAUUCAUAAUUAAGUAUAAAUUAGGGAGGUUAGAUCUAAAUUUUAUGAAAUUUUGAGCACUUGGUAAUGGACAAAACUUAAGUGGAGAAUUUUUCAGCUAGAUCUCAUUAAAAAGUUCCCCACCUAAUGCCAUGUGUCUAAAGAUUGUAAUCCUAUCCCCAGGGUUUAUGCAGAUUUUUUUUUUGAAUUUUAAUAUUGAGAAAAAAGGAUAGAAAUAUGCUGAAGAACUUGAACUUUGGAUCAGUGGCAGAUCUACAAUAGCUACAGUAGGAUUAAUUGACCCUACUGACUCCUCCCCCAGUAAAGUCCACACAUUGUUAAAGUGGAGUCCAUUUGUAAUUAAUUUUACUUCGUUGAUUAAUUGAUAAAUAAAUGAGUAAAGGUCACCAUUUGCUCUCAUGUGACACUUUUUUCACUGUUAUAUUUUGAAGAGGCAAUUAUUUAUAUAUUCCUAAAAGUUUCUGAUUUUCUAAUUUACCCAUCUUAGAAAAUUAAUAUUGAAAAUACUCUUUUUACGUUCCAACUUAUUUCAAAUAUAUCCCUAUAAUUAAAUUCUGUUAAUGAACUGUUAAAAUAGUUGUUAUCUCUAUGAAAUUAUUAUUUUGCCAUUUCAAAUAUAUCCUUCUACCUACCAUCACCGACUUUUCUUAUUUGUCCUUAAGUUAGGGGUAUAAAAAGUAUUUUGAUUUUUGACUUUUUCAAAUAUACCCUUCUACCAUUACCAACAUAUUUUAUUUGCCCUUAAUUAAGUUAAGAACAAAAGAGAUAUUUUGAUUUUUUUUAACUCUAGUAGAUAUUUAACUCAUGUUUAACCCAAGUUAACUUAACAGGUGGUAACUGCAGGGUAUUUUAGAAUAACAGAGGAACAUAUGAGGGGUAUAUUGGAAAGAAAAAAAAGUAGAAGUAAAUAAGAUAUUUCUGAAGUUUUGAAAAGUAUAUAGACAAUUAUUCCUAUUUUGAAAUACCUAUUAAAAUAUAAAAAAAACGUUACACUUAUUUCAAAAUAAUUGUGGUUUGAGCGAAAAAAAAAUUACAACAACGAUAUCAUCAAGCAUCGUUUCAAAAAUAUAAAAAUACAUAAAAAAUAUUAUAAUUCAAAAUGAUACAUAUGUUUGCAAUAUUUCUUGAGAAUUGUAUAUAUUAAUUUUUUUAAUUUUUAUAAAACUAUAUGACUGUUUCUUACAAGUCCAUCUACAGUGCUUCUAACGGACAAAAAUUAUAUAGGCAUCGUCCCCAAAAUAUUUAGUUUGGGGACGAUGCAGAUGGGUGUUGUGUGGCCCAUCCGACGGGCACCCAUGGAGGCGGAAAAAAAAAUUGUACCCUAAGUUUUUAUAGAGAGAGACACAAAGCAGCAGAGGAAGAGAGGAGGGCGCCCAUCGGAAGCGGUGCCCAACCAUAUUGUCCCCUCAAACUAAUAGUUUGGGAACGGUGCCUAUAAAAUUUUUGUCCGCUUCUAACACAUGAAUAGUAUAUGCUAUAAACUUUUGACUUUUUGGACAUACAACAGUACAAUCACCAAAUAGUAAACCCUAGGUAUAUAUGGCUUAAAAAAUUUGUAGCAUGUACUAGAAUAAUCUAUGCUAUUCAAGCUAUCUAGAAACUAAAUCUUAUAAUUUUCAACAUCAUUUACAAAUGUCACGCCCUCGGAUCCAGCGGAAGCCCGCCCGGUGCGUGCCCAAACCCGCCAUAUGUCUACGACAUAUUAGGCCUCUACAAGCGAUAAAUAAAGCAAUAAUAGAUGAGCAUUUAGGAGUAUCAGAGUAUACAACAACUAGAUUCUAGAAUAAGGAGGUAACAUAAAAGAACUAAUCCACUAACAUAAAUUAUAAGGUAGUACAUCAUAAAAUUUCAAAAUACAAGUACUAAAGAUACAAUAGUGGUGGUCUCUAUACAUGAAUACAAAAACUCUCACUCUCUACAAUAAUACAAAAAUAGAGAGAUGAACCACCUAGAUCAAGUACUCCUCGCUAUCUAGCUAGUAGCGAUCCCUUUACCGUCAUUCCGAGCAUCUCCCGAGGUGGAAGGCUUUAUAAAAAAACAACAAAACAGGAGGCGUAAGAAUUAUUAAUCAAUAGUUCUCAGUGGGCAAUUGCUGACCUCAGCGAAAUGCACCACUAGGUUAAAAAGGCAAAAGUAGUAUGUUCAACUUGUAAAUGAAAAGAACAACAUGUAGAUAAAAUAUGAAUAAACUUACUAACUACUAUGCCUCUACUCUAGCAUGAAUUUCGACAAAUAUAAAUGCUAUUCUAACAUGAAUAUGCAUAAGUAUAACCAACAUGAUAUCCACAAGUGCAACUAGUAAAAUGUCAUUGUUUACUAAUUUGCGUAAUGUUCCAUUUACAUUUUAAUUCAAUAAUGUUCCGUUCAUAUGGGACCUAUUCGUGGGUAGUCCGGCUUGCGCCGUGCCCAAUGGCCCCGUGGUAGUCAACAUUUCCACCCUAGGAAUGAGCCUCCCCGACGGCAUCCUAUUUCGGCGCUCAAUCCCGCACAAGCGAGCAUAUGUCGCGAUGGAUAUCUCCGGAGUGCCGGCUUGUGGGGAGCGACACUCAUAAGCACGUGCGAAUGAGCACAAUGGCAAGCAAGCGUAAACAUUCGUCUCAAGUCCAAUGUCAUCAUAUCUAAAAUAUGGUAUAAGAGCUAGUGACCCCAAAGGCCUAUCACUAUGUCAUCUUGUAGAAGUUAAACAUUUACUAUGUUGAAUGCCUCUUUAUAGCAUUUUUGUCCACUAUGUCACACAAGAGUUUUAAGUUCAAGAGCAUCUUAUUCUCGUCAUGUUCAUUACAUGAAACAUGAUUCCAAACCAUAAAAUAGAAUGUUAACCACAUGCAUAGCUACAAUGCACAUAUCUCUCUCUACUAUAUAUAGGCAAUUUUUUAUAAAACAUAACAUAUGUAUUUUAAGUAUUUUAAAAUUUUUAUAUGCUCUAUCUAGCAUGAAUAUAUAUAUGAAUUUUUAUUUUUAGAACAAGAAAAAUAACAUAGGGGGGAUUUCACCCAUUUUGGUGAGGUCAAACCUACCAAGAGCUCCUUGGACCCCUUCGUUUGCGCAAAAGAAGGUGUCGACUAGCCUUCUAGCUCCCUAAAGGAAAUUCUACAAGGGGUUAGACGGAACAAACGAACACCCCAAAGAUCAAACAUUAACCAACCCAAGAAGAAGGCAAAAAUUCACCUUGUAUGGUAAAAAUCUCUCUUAAUCUCCAAAUGAGAGAUAGAACCUUUCUAAUCCAACCCAAAUGAAUGUUCUAUACCUAACAAUUAAGCCCCAAAAGGCACAAAUCAAAAAUCUCCAAUUAAAACCCUAGAUUCCCAUUUCUAGAUUUUCAUCUCAAAAACUCUACCAAAAUAAGAUCUAAAGAGAAGAUCUAUGGUACUAACAUCUCAAUAAGCUCCAAUCCAAGCUUGGAAUGAGCUAAGGUUGAAGAUUGAUCAUCUAGAAUGCUCCUCUCUUCAAUCCAAAACUUCUCCAAUGGUGGAAACCCAACAUGAAGCAAAGAGAAGAGGAAAUGAGAAAUCAAACCAAGCAAAAACCAAGAAAAAUGGGAGAAAAACCAAGGGAGAGGGUCCUCACCUGUGUUCUCUACGAAUUAGGGCUCAAAGGAGCCAUCUAAGAGCUGUGGGGGGUUAAAUAGAGAUGUAACAAUCUCAAAAAAGCCCUCCAACAACGUGCAGUCUGCACUGCACUGCACUGCGUACCGGUACGCGGGAAAAGUACCAGUACCAAGUAGCAGUUUGUGUAAACCCGAGUCUCGGGUUGGCGAGAAAAUACACUGGGUACCGGUACCAGCCCGAUACUAUACCGGUACCAGAUCCAAUUUUGGUACCAAGUCAAUGCAGUACCGGUACUCAGCCCUGCAGAGGCAAACCCGAGAGCAGCCCAAUUUCCUGCACUUUAGAGGUUUGGUACUAAGUUUUAAACCUCGCUCCUCGGGAUGCAAGCCAUAGGUCGGAAGACAGUCUAUGACCGUCCAGAAAAUUUGGAAAAACUCAAAACGCAGAUCAAACACUCGAACCUUACAAUUUGCUAAAGUUCAGUGUGUUACAACAAAGUGAUUGUCUCAAAAAUAACUAUUUUAACGAUCCAUUUAGUAGAUUUUUAAGUUCAACAGUGUAGAACAAUUCAAAUUACAUGAAACUUUAAUAAAAAAAUUCUACUUAACAUCAAAAGCAAGAUUAAUAAUUCUAAGUUGAAAUUUGAGUCUUUUAUUACUAUUUUUUAUGAGAUUUUUAUUUUCAGCUGUUUAUUUUGAGGCUACUUGUUCACUAAGCAAAUGAAUUCAAAAAAUUAUGAAAUUUGGUUUCUACAUAGUUCCAAUAAUAUAAAUUAUGUCUAAUAGAAUCGAUCGCCGAAUCGGAUGUCCCACCAUCGAAAUAAUUUACAAGCAUGGAGGUCUGUACUUUCGAAAGCAUAGAAACCUACCGCUCUCUCUCUAUAUAUAGUCAAGUUACUAUCUUUUUUGGAGGAUGGAGGUCUUCAUCCUCGUGAAUUUUAAAAUUUAUUAAAUUUAGUUUCUAGACACUUUAAAUACUCUAGAUCAACUUUAACGGUUUCGAUCAUUAAUUCGAAAUUCUUAUCAUCUAAAACGACUUAUGAAGAUGAAGGUCUUCAUCCUCCUAAAAGGAUAGUAGCUGAAUUCUAUAUCUAUAUAUAGAGAGAGAGAGAGAAAGAGAGAGAGAGUUUAGCUAUGGUGCAUUUAAAAGCACCAAUUACUUGGUACUUGUAAGUUUUCCACUAUUGGAUCUAUCCCUCUGACUAAUUCCACCCCUUAGAUUAUGCUAUUCCACCAACUGCCUACUCAACUCCAGGGAACCAUUAUUAUCCUAGCCGGUCAAAUUUUCAUCCAAAAGUCAAAAACCUACUGUGACACUCCAAUAGUACACAUCGGAUGGGAAUGGGGUUGCUAUUGGAUUUAUAAGAAACUUUGACACUAGUAAUAAUAACUAGGCUUAAGUAUUUUUGGCCAGUGGUUGGACCCAACGAGUUAUUAUUGCUAGUGGGUUGGGUCAUUACAUUUGGUAUCAGAGCCGGUUCACUAGCCGAAAAGGUAUGGCAAGUCUCGGCUGAGCCAGGGUCUGGAUGACAGGCUAGCGAAACGAGUCGCACAUCCCCUGGUGAUCUUGGGCUGUGUGUGUUGGACUGACGAGGACGUCAGGACCCUAACGGGGGGAGUCUGUGACAUCCCAAUAGUCCCACAUCGGAUGAAAAUCGGGUUGCUAUUGGGUUUAUAAGAUACUUAGACACUAGUAAUAAUAACUGGGCUUAAGCAUUUUGGGCCGGUGGUUGGGCCCAACGAGUUAUUAUUGCUAGUGGGCUGGGUCGUUACACCUACAAACCACGAACGAUAUAUGCUUUUAAUAGCAUAAGAGCACAAUUCUCUCUCUUUAUAUAUAUAGAAUUAGGCUGGAAUACUAUCCAUAGCACCAAGCUAUUUGUGCUAUUAGUUUUUUAACCCUUGGAUUGAAAAAUGUGCGGUUAGGAUGAUGUGGGUCUUUAGGGUUGAGUGAGUGGUUGGUUUAAUAUAGUAUAAUCUAACGGGUAAAAAUAAUCAAAGGGUUAAAUCUAACGGGGGAAAACUCGAUAGCACCAAAUCUUUGGUGUUAUCAAUAGUAUCCCAGCCGAACUCUCUCUCUCUCUCUUUCUCUCUCUCUCUCUAUAUAUAUAGAGAGAGAGAUAGAGAGCAGAGUUCGGAUUAUGUGCUUUUAGAAGCAUGGAGGCUCAUGUGCUAUUCGUUUUUGAUGAUAUAUAUACAGUGGAGAGAGAGACAGAGAGUCGGGAUCCAAUUACAGUAUUACGCACUCUAAGUUACACUUUUUUUUUCACAUAAGCUAAAAUCAAAUUAUGGAGGUAUUUAAAUGAAGAUCUAAAGUACUAAAUAUGAUUUACAACAUAUAAAUAACCUCCUGCCAAAAAAUUAUAAUUUUUUGAAACCUAUAUCUUAUGUUUCUAAACUUGCCCUUUGUUGAAAAUUAAACCAUUGCUUUUAAUAUUACCUAAUGGUCAGGAAAUCGAUGAUUAAGUUGAUCUUAGUGCUUGUGUUUGCUGUCUGGACACUCAAAUGGAUGUGUUUUAGGGCAGCAGGUGACUCACGAUAUGAGUCGGUGUGUUUUGGGAUGUUUCGUGGGUCCCUCAAGCAUCUCGGUGCCUUUUCGGGAUUCCCAACGAGUUUGGGAAUCGGUUUUGAGAAACCUAUCCCGCAGGUUGUUUUGGGUUGUUAGUGAUGUCUUUUGAGUUAGUAGGUUUGGUUUCUGACUCAGUGAACCUGUCGUAGGUUUGGUCUAUGGUUCUGCACACUGCGGGAUAUAGGUGCAGCUACGACACAGGUGGUUACUUUGAUCCGAAGUCGGUUCAAUGGUGCAUGCUCUGUAAUAUUCCCUCCACCUUUUCCUCUUACUUCCUACAUAUAUCUUAUGCUUGUGCCUUACACCACAUGACUUCGACUCUAGCUGUACUUAGCAUACUCUUCUCUUAUUUGCCAUGACAUAGAAGUAGAGCGAUAGAGUUUCCCAACAUACGAUAUACGAUUUGAUUAUACUCCAUACUUAGCAUAGAUAUACUUGUGGAUAGUAUAGUGUUACUCCAUUACACCUGUUAGCAGAGGCUUAUAUGUGGUUCAUUUGAUAUUCUAUACCUUCGAAUUUUGGAUAUUGUAAGAGGAUUUUGGAUGCUCAUGGUUUUGGACAUUCGUGGUUUUUGAAUACAUGUGAAUUGAUGAUUUCUAUCCCUCAUGAUAGCAUUUUCAAAAUUAUGGUUUUCAUGUCAGAAAUAUUUUUAAAUAAUUUUCUCGAGAUUUUUCGCAAAGUUAGAGUUUUAAAACGGAAGUUUUCGUGUGGGAGACAAUUUCAACUUUUUAAGAUGAAUGCGAAUGAAUGUGGAAUGACUAAGCAUUGCUAGCUGUUUGAUGUAAUAUAAUAAUCCUUGUACAUUCUGUUGUUGAGUAUGUGAGUGGAGAUCUAAUUAUUAAAUUGUAUUAUGUGCUAUGCUGUGCAAAUAUAGGAGAGACUCUGUCCGUUUGUUCAAAAAAUUUCUGUAUUUGCGGGUCUUUUGCACGUCUUUGGGGUCUAAAUUUUAAAAAAUAAAAUAAAAUUGCACGUAUUUGCAAUUUUUUUUCGCUUACUCUGAUUUAUAAAAAUAACCCGUUUUCUAAUUGGCUUUCAAAAAAGGACCCCGAGGUGUGACAUACCGUUAAAUAUAAUCUACAGUAUUUGUAAUAUCUAAAAAUCAAAUUUCAUAAUUUUUUGAAUUUAUAAUAAAUUCAUCAAAUAGGUAUAAAAUAAAUGAUCAAAAUCCAACGAUCUUCUAAACAUAGGGGAUAAGAGUUUUUAAUUUGAGAUCAAAAUUAUUGAUCUUGAUCUAUAUAGUUAAUAGAUUUUUAUUAAAAGUUCAUCCAACUUUAAUUUUUGUACACCAUUAAUUCAGAAUCGCUACACCGGCCAUUAAAAAUGCAAUUAUUCUUCUAUAUUGUUAACUCGAAAUCACUCGAUAUUAGCAAUUAAAAAUAUCAAUUUUGAGGUGCUUUGAUCAUAAAGUAUAGUAUGCCACAAAAAAAAAAUCGAUUUCUAAAAUAUUUAAAUAUUCUAAAUUAUAUUUAACAGUAUAAAUCAUCGAUUUGGAAGCUAUAUUAUCGAAAAUGACUAGUAAGUACGAAGGUAAUCAUACUCAUAAUAGUAUAAUAGUCGCUCUCUCUAUAGCUAUAUUUUGAUUGAAUGGAAUUUUUUAUUUGAAUAAACAAUCGUCAACAAUUAGUGUGAUGCUUGACGCAGAAGGAUAAACAACAUGUAGGCAAUAAUUUCGGAGUUUUUGGGCGACAAACCCUACAUAGUUUUUUAAUUAUAAAAAUAUGCAUUAAAAAUUUUUAUUUGUAAUAUUAGAUUUAAACAGUAAAUGAUUUAUUUUUUUUAGAAAUUCUUACUUUUAUCCAACAGUAAAAUUUUUACUUUUAAACAAUAAAUUUUUAUUUGUAAUAUUAGAUUAAACAGUAAACUUUUAUUUGUAAUAUUAAAAAUUUUUAUUUGUAAUAUUAGAUUUAAACAGUAAAUGAUUUACUUUUAUCAAAUUUAUAUAUUUUGUACAUCUAAACUCUAAAAGAUGUACAAUAUUAAACAAUAAAAAUAAUUUUAACAUUUUAAAGUAAUAAAUAACAUACCGUAUUUAAAAAAGGGUAAAUCAUUCACCGUAUAAAAUUAGUUUUAUAAACAACUUUUUAAAGGAUUAAUUGCAUACCGCUCCUUAUAAACAUAGCAAAUAGCAAAUACAAUUAUACAAAGUUCAACUUUUAACUUUUAUCUCUACAAAAGUCCAAUGAUAUUCAUAUUUAUCCCUCUGGUUUGUUACCGUUUGAGAAUUGUUUAUUUUUUAACAGCAGAUAAGUGAAAUGUCAAUUUUGUGAUCACAAAUAUGUCCUUUCAAAAGCCCAAACGACUAUUAAUCGUCCAAAAAUAUUUCCAUAAAAAAUUUUCAAUGGGCAUCUUCUUUUUCUUUAAAAUCCAACCCAAUCCAUCAUUAUUGUAACCUCUUCUCUCACCUUUCUCCUAAAUAUUUUUUGUGGAGCAAAAUAUAAAAAAAAUCAUAGAGAAAAAUUGAAUGGAAAGCAACACACGUUCGACAUAGGCGAAGUAACACGCGUUGGGGAUGAAUUGGAGACAGAAAAAUUUUAGUUACGGAUUCGAAACUAGCAUGAAGGAGAGAGAGGAACAGAAAGAGAAAGAGAAAAAGAAAAGUUUCUAUUGCUAGAGUUUUAAUUUAGAGAAAAAAAUAAAAUAUAAAAAGGGUAAAAAUGUUAAUUUAUCUUAUUAACUAAAAUAAGAUUAAAUUUUUUGGACGGAUCCUAAAGGUAGAGAUAUAUAUUUAAAAAUAUUAAGAUUUUUAUAGCAAUAAUAUAAAAAAAUUGAACUAUAUAGAAAUAUAUUUGUAAUUUGUUAUGUUUAUUUUAGAGCUGGAUGCAAUUAUUUUUUUUUAUAUACUAAUUUUAUAAAUUAUAAUAUUUUUUUUCUAUCAGCAGGGAGCCACUGGCCGAGACCGCUCCCCGACCGCUCCCCGACGCCCGACGGCUCCCCGACGGCCACGCCCACGCCCACGCCCGACAGCUCCCCGACGGCGGGCGGGCGGGCGGGCGUGGGUCCCACUCGCCUUCUUCUCCGUCCCUUUCCUCCACCCCGACCUCCAUUUUCCCCGUCUAGGGUUUCUCCUCCCUUCCGCCACUCUAACAGAAGACUAAAGCAUAUUUAUUCGCUUCUUCCUCGAUCCGACCACGGUGCGUGCUCCUCCUCCUAAUCUCUCCGUGAAAAAAUUUAAUUUAAUGUAUAUUCAGAAUCAAUUUGUUGCAGUAUCUGUAGGCAUGAUUGCCACUGUUUCUUUGGCCAAUGUAAAAGUUAUCUGCGGCUGGAAAAGCGAGGAAAAACAUAGGGAAAAUGAAUUAUGUAGCUUAUUCAGUAUGAGUAUGGAGAUUUUCUUGUUUGAUUGGAAGUGUUAGGACUUCUUUUUUCCUCGAAAGGUCUUAAUAUUCAUGAUUUUAUAGGACCAGCAUAUUUCACUUCACAAAAAUUAAGACAUUUGAUUAUAAUGAAUUUCUUGAGUAAACCAAAGAGAUAUGUCGAACAAAAUACUUAUGCAUCCAAAUAGGGCCUAAUGGUGAUACUGUUUACAAUACGUUUGUGUCCCACGAUUCGAGCAUGAUUGGAGACAUUUGGCCCUUCCUCAGGCUCUAAUUUAGUUGAGGUAUGUCUCUAUAUUUGUGGUUUUAGUAUGCGAACAAUUUACUUGGUUCCUAGCUGUUCGAGCAUUUGAUGGGGCUCUAAGUUAAUUGUAUGUUUGAGCGUUAAAAUAACACCAUGACUUGAUUGUCCUUUUACCUUUGUAAAAUUUAUACCGGGAGAGCUUAACACUUCUUCUCCUCAAGGGCACAAGACAAGAUAUUAGACGACGGUCAUGCCGCCGAAAAACUUCUUUUAUAUAGGGAGUUCUUAUUGCAUGCUAAAACAAAUGAACAACCAAGUGUUAACCAUGAUGGGAAAUCUUCAUUUGAAAGAACCGAACCUCAACUAAAUAGAUAUCAAUUACUGGUUUGUUUCUUGAAAAAGGAAGCUUAAUUGUCUAAAGAGAGAAAUGAUAAAGAGGAGGUCAUGAAUUUGCAGGCAGGGUCUCAUUCCUUUCUGAUACAUAGUGGAAUGAAAUGUGCAGUGCUAUUGAAUAGGAUAUAGGACUAAAAGAAGUUAUAUGCCUUUUGGAUGGAAUUGCUACAACAUAAGCAUUCUUCAUAUCAGAAUUAGUGCUCACAAAAAUUUGAAUUUAUUCAUAAAUGUGAGCACCAUUUGCAAUGUCUUGUUUGACUCAGUUAAACCUUGGUUUUAAGAAAACACAAAGGAAAACAAAUAGAUAGAAUCAUGUAUUAUUGUAUCUUGAGGCAAUAAGUGAUCAAGUAAAUCCAACAAUAUUUUGUUAAUGCCUUUUUGGUCGCUUUUUCAUACGUGUCACAAUGAGCUUGUCUGGUCCAGGUGGCUUGCAAUUAUGAACAUAGGAAAUCAAGUUACGUUUCUAGUUUUUAACUUCUUGGCCUUAUCUGUCUUGGUUGUAGUGUCCCUUUUGUUAGGAAAAAUCAUUAGCGAGGAAUUGUAAUGAAGGAAAGUAAGAACAAAUAAGGAAAAGAUAUUGGGUCUUGACCUCAGCCUAGUAAACCAAAGAGGCCUAUUUCAAGCUAAGACCAAUGAAUGCUCUUCCUACUCCUUAUCCUGGGUUGUGGGUUUUAGGUUCCGUGUACAUGUGUGAGCCUUUCUUGGUCUAAUAACACCCCAAACUUGGAAUUGGGAAUUGCUUUACUAUGGUAGAAAGGUGUGUUGGCUGAUUGUUGGCAUGACAGAUAUACUGGCAUGGCAAUAUUUCUUUCAUUUUCCUAGCAUACGGCCCAGUUCCAUAAAAUCAUACAUCAACAAAAUACCAAAGAUGGUAGCGAUCGAGCAAGCCCUUUUUGUUUUGUCCUGCUAUUUUUCCCCUACCCCACUGUGCCCUUUUCCUUGCUUUUGUGUUGAGGUUGCCCUUGGGAAUCUACCCUAUUUAGGUAUUCGGAUUCCCUGAUCAAUUUUAUAAGAAAAAGAGUACUUUGGUUUGGAAAAAAACACCACCAUUUAAAUAGUCAGAGUUAGCCAUCUGUCUCUGCUCUUGCAUUUCAACCGGUGUGUACAGUGAAUCUCAUUCAAUAUGCAGUGGCACUAUUCUUUUCUAUUCUUUCCUUUAUUUAUUGAUUGAUUGCUAUAUUAAACUAAUAUAAAUAAACAACAAUGGUCUUUCCCUUGAUAGUGGAGGGAUGUAAAAAAAUAAAAAAUAAAAUUGCACUUGUGGCUACAAUGAGGCUACUCAGGAUGUUGCUUUUGGUGGUGUUGGGACCGUUUCUUUGCUUGCUUUGCAAUAUCUGCUUAUGAACUGACAUGGCACCCUUAAUUCCGAGGACACAUCUACGACAUUCCUUUCUUCUAGUCCUUCCUGGUGUUAAAAGGAUUUGCGUUAGUUCAUUCCCAAUUGGAACGAGAAAGAUUUUGGAGAUCACAUCGGAUGAAAUUAAAUAUGUUUGUUUUUUCUCCUCUUCCCUUUCUUUAGCUGACCUUCUCUUUAGAGAGAGCUUUACUAGUGUUGAUCUUAAUUUUACUUUUUUGAUGUUUUGGGGUUGCAAAUACCGAAUGGUGUUUUGGUGCUUCUCAAUCAUUGUUAUCUCAUCUCGUUGUUGGAAACUUCUACCCUGUGUUCCCAAGAUUGACUCCUAUUUCACCUUCUUGCUAUCUUCUUUGAUAGUUGUUGACUCUUACGCCUGUUCUUUUAUCUUUUACUAAUUAAGAACCCGUGCUUUGCUGCAAGAAGUUCUUAUAGUUGUUCUGAAUUAAAACAAUAGAGACAACAUAAAAAUAAAAGUCUACGUAAGUUAUAUAGGUAAAAUUUGGAUCAUAACCUAAUUCUAAAUAAGUUCUGUCAUUUAGAUAUGGAAUACGAUAUUAUUUAACAUUUAUUACUUUUAUGUAUGUCACCUUUUUAAUUCUAUUUAUAAUAUACAGUGCGAUGUUGUAUCAAUAGUUAGUUCACAGCGAGGCAUCUCCAUCUCGAGCUUCUUAGUAAUUACACGUAGUAAUUUAAUGUAAGAAAGCUCAAUAACCGUCAUCGUGGAGCUGCAAGGUAACAAUAAGUACAUGGAAGAAGACGAGAGAUGCAAGAAAGAUAAGUAUCCAUAGAAGAGAAGGGUGGAAAACUAAGUAAGCAAACAACUACAAAAUUGGGAAAAAAAUUAUGUAAUACUCUUUCAUAGGACUUUCAAAGAGGCUCAGAUAGAUCACCGAUAGAUCACCGCCGAAGGAAAACAUGCGUCUUCAAUAAGUAAACAGAAAAUUCGCAAAUACGUAAACUAUCUCCGUCAGUAAAUCAUGGUAAAGUUAGAGAACAAUACAGUAGAGAGUAGCUUGGGAAUAAAGAGGAGCAAAGGAAAAGCAUGAAGCAAAGGAGAAGCCUGUAGGAGAAGUGUAAGCUCACUUUGAAAAAUCUUAAGUAAUUGAGGGAAGGACAUUAAUCAAUUAUUCUGUUCUCUUUCUCCAUGCUCUUUCCCUUCAAAUCAUCAUUGCCUCUUUCAUUCAGCUUACACAAUGAGAAAAGAUGCAAAUCGUAAAGUUGCAAAUCGAAAAAAAUGUAAAACGUAACCAUGGGUAAAUCCCACUCUAAAGCAGAGGAAAAGGGUCAUAGUAAACAUUAUGCUCGUAAUCAGCGAGAAAAGAAGCAAUCAGAGAAUCACUAAAGAAAACAUGUAGCAACAGUGGUAGAAUAAGACCAUGUAAAAAAUCCGCGGCAAUGUAGUGGAGGGCAAUUUGAAAUUUCUAUAAAGGAUAGGCAACCAUAGGGAGAAAAGAACAAAAAGAGGAGAGCACUUUUGCAAAGGCUCAGGUAGUUCACUGCACAGUAAUACAUGCAUCUUCUUCAGCAUGAAAAUAAUGAAUUCGCAACUACAUAAGCGUCUGCAACAGUACAACAUGGAAAAACUAUCUCAAGCAGUAAUCAUAUAAAAAUGAGAGCACACAGGAGGAGGAAAAUAUAUUAGAAAUAGAGAGAAGCAAAAGGAAAACACGCAGCGAAGGAGAGGCAUGCAACAAAAGCAUAGUCUCGCAUAAAAAAAAUGUAAGCUACUUCAAUAGAGGGCAGUAAUAAACUAUUUCCUAUUUUUUUGUUCUCUUUUGUUUUUUUACUUAAAAUCAUCAUUACCUCUUUCGUUCGAUUUAUACUAUCUAGAACAUUAACCAAACAGAUAGAUCAUCAAUGAAAAGAGGGGUAAUAAAGCAUAUGUUCGAGAAAAAGAGAAGCAAGAAUAAGGCAAAGCCAUUUAUUUAACAAACUACAAGUAAAUCGUAAAAUUGUUAAUCAUAAAUUUAAAACACAACCACUAGUAAAUCCCAUUGUAAAGCAGAGGAAAAGAGGCAUAGUAAACAAUAUGCUCAUAAUCGGUAGGAAGAGAAAUAAAUAGAGAAUCAGUAAAGAAAACAUUAAGCAAAAAAAUGAAAAAAAGUAUGUAACGGAAAGAAAAAAUUAGUGGAAGAAUAAGACCGCUUAAAAAAUCCGGGGCAAUGUAGUGGAGGCAAAUCAAAACUUUCUAAAAAGGUUAGGAAGGAAUUAAGAAAACAGCGAGAAAAGAGCGGGAUAAAAAGAGAAAGCACUUUCGAAGAGAAUUAGAACAGAACAUGGUAAUACUUGUAUUUUCUUCAGUAUGAAAACAGUGAAUUCACAAUUACAUAAGCUAUCUCCAGCAGUAGAGCAUGAAAAAACUACCUCUAGCACUAAAGCAUGUAAAAAUUAGAGUACACCGGAGGAGGGAAAAUAGCUUGGAAAUAGAGAGAAGCAAAAUGAAAACAUGCAGCGAAGCAGAGACACCAAACAAAAGUGUAAUCCCACAUAAAAAAAAUGUAAACUAAUUUAGUAGAGAGUUGUAAUCAACUAUUCUCUAUUUUUGCUUGUUCCUUUUAUUAAAAUCAUCAUUGUCUCUUUCAUUCAACUUAUGCCUUCUAGGACAUUAACCAAACGAAUAAAGCAUUAACGAAAAGAAAGGUAAUAAAGUAUAUGUUCAAGGAAGAAAGAAGCAAGAAUGUGGGAGAGCCAUUUAGAGCCAUUUAUUAAUCAAACAGAAAGUCGACAAAUGAAAUGAGGGGAGAGAGGCUUUAAAUAACAUCAUCAAAUCUAUUAAACAUAGGAUAAAUUCAUUUGUAGAGGCAAUUUUAGUAAAAGAGUAAAUAAUAAAUAGGAACAAGAGAAGCGAGCCUCAUCUCAAAGGAAAAAAAAAUCCUAAAGUUCAAGAGAAGACAACAUCUAUGAGAAAGGACGUAGAAAGUAAGGAAUAUAUAUGGGAAACAACAUAUUCCACACAAUAAAACAUUUAGCACUAAUAUAUAAGGAGUGGAAUUUUACUAAACAAAGUAGGGAACAAAUCGGCAACACAAAAAAGGAGGAGAGCAAGGUGUGAUUCGCAAGGGGUUGCCUGUAGCUACCUAGCAAACAAAGAAGAUACAAAAUGUUAGCAGAAAUUCAUACCCACGCCAUUUUUAGAAACUGUCACAUAAGUAAAGGUAGAAGGAAGAAAACCUAUAGGAUCAAAGGGUAUUCGGAAGAUGUUAAUUAGAAGUUACCUACCAAACACAAAAAAUUCAAUAUUUUAAUUGAACAUACAAAUAAAAUCUUGAAGACACAAUAUCUCUAAGAAUUAUUAUUAAAGAACUAUCAAACCUUCGGAUCCAAGGUUGGGCCGCCUUGUGUUCUCUCUGAGAAGUACCACCUCUAUUUAUAGCAUGAGGCCUCCGAUGAGCAUAGCGUAGUAGAGAUAGAGGGUGGCUGUGGGAGGAGAUAGAAGGAGAGGGAGGAGGUGGCAAUGUUGAGGCAGUGUCGUACGAUCUAAGGACAUGCUAUUGUAUAGAGUGAGCAGAUUGUGAUUAUGGCGGUCAAUCCCAUCAUCGUUGACUACCAACACUUCUAAUGGGAAGGGGCAGAAAAGAGAAGGCCUCGCAUGACCAGAGGGACACAGGGAGGAGCUAGAGGGAGAGAGAGGGGUGAGAGAGUACUUUGUGAAACCUGCUCAUGCAUAAAAGCGAGGAGAGGCUAAUGAUGGUUGCCAAUCCCAUCAUUAUGGGUUGCCAACAUCUCCGAGAGAGAAGGGAGAGAGUACAAAAUAGAAGAGAGGCAAGCAAGAGAAAGAGAGAGGGAAGAGUGAGAGAGUACUGUGGCUGUACAAACCCGUUUAUGCAUAAAAAUAAGGAGAUGUUGAUGAUGGUGGCCAAUCCUAUUAUCGCACAUUGCCAACACCUCCGAGAGAGAGGAUAAUUAGUACAAAGAGUAAGAACGGGAGAGGCAGAAAAAAAUACAGAGAAUAGAUAAGAAUGGUGACGAAUAGUAAUUCCAUCGCCAUUCAUUCCCCAUUGGCUCUACCGUCUAUGGCGGAAGAGGAUAGUAUGCAUUAAAUGCAAGGAUGAAGAAGGACCAUAGGCAACAAAUGUGGAAACGAGGGAGAUAAGGAGCUGUACAUCACUGGACCGACGAAAGGGGAGGAAAAGGGCUUGGAACGGGACCGUAUAGCGCCGUACAUUACCAUGGCAACCAUCCCACCAAAAAACGGCCGAGGUCCCUAUUGGCGCAUAUCACAGAUUGCACUCAUAAAGAGGGGGAGUAGGCGAAAGGGUGGACAACAUAUGUGUUUAUACCUCACCAUUCAAGUAGAGGAAAGGACGGUGGUGGGGGUGGGAGUGGGAGAAAGUGCUGGAGACGGAAUAGAGGGGGGGGGUAUUUGGUUGGGGUGGUUGGGACGGUAGGGCGGAUGGAAAGCGUAGUAAGGUGGGGGCUGGGGAAUGGAUAGGGCGUACUGCAGGGGAUGGGUUUGACGGAGGGGGAGGAAUGCCGAGGGGAGGAGGCGAAACGGUAACAGUACAAGAAAUCAACAUACAUACAAGAAAUCAACAUACAUACUGUUUAGAACUCACGAUUCAUGUCUUUUUUAUAGAUUCGUUACCUCGAGAAAUUUUCCUACUGAUUUUUUUUUUUUUUUUUGGGUUCUUCUUCCUCUUUUUCUUCUUGCCUGCACCUACUCUAGGGGUUUCUCUAAUUUUCACCGUAUGAAGCAAUUUUGUGAUGCGACCUUGUCUUUGAUUUUUGUUUUUGUAGGUAAAGCCGGAUCAAGAAACAAAAAAUGUCAGGAAACCUCAAGUUUAUCAUUUCUACAGUACUACUAUUAUUUGGUAUGUCGUACUUUAAUCUUUGUCAUGUACUUUGUGUUUCUACAAGCUUUACGUCUCUCUCUCUCUCUCUCUCUCUCUCUCUCUCUCUGUUGCUGGAAUUUUUGGAGCAUUUUCUAUGUUCUUCAUGUCAAUCUUGUAUUCAUUUGAUACUAGAUUUUAUCAUAACUGACAUUAGCAUUUACACUCUUUUGUAUCUUCACCCUUUCUUCCUUUAAUCAUGAAUGAAUUAAAAGUCUUGCAGGUCCUCUGCCCAACCAUAAUCUCUCAAAUCCUCUGGUUUCUCAGUAGUUUUGCCUUCUGUACACAGUACAUUGCUCUAAUUUGUUUUUACACUCUUUCAUUUAUAGAACCGAGCUUAACAUCACCUAUUUAUGUCUUUCCAACCCUUAUCCUACUUGUUGGUUAUUGGUUUAAGUCCUUUAUCUGAUUUAGUAAUUCAGAUUUCACAAAGAAUUCUUUUACAAUAAGUCGAAACCUAUUCUUCAUUGUCUUUAUCUUCUGAGUUGAAGUGUGAUUUGAGAUGUGGUUAUUAGUUUCAGGGUAUUCUUUCUGCAGCAUUUGCAGAUGUUCUUUUAGCUAUUUCAGAUAGCUCAUAUGUCAUAACUUCUAUUAGCAACGUUUUAUGUUCUGGCAAUAUUUCUAAUUUUCCAAAUGCAUACUUGUUUUGCUUUGUUAGUUCAUAGAAUACGGCUUCUCUAGUUACUUGAAGUGUCCUCACUAAUCAACAAUUUGUCAUUGAUAGUGUUGGCACAUGCCUCUACUGUGAAUAACCUGACAGUAAUUUUUUUUUUUACUAUUGGUUAGCAAUAUCAACACCUGUCUGCUCCAAUGAAGAUAAUUAUUUGCAUUGUCAAAGGGUUGUUAAGAAUUGGGUAGAAUCUUCCCGUGAGAGUGGACAAGACAGAGAUAAGUUAAACCUGAAAGAUUUAUUGUUCUUUUUACAUGUUCCUAGAACCGGUGGACGAACAUACUUCCAUUGGUAAGUAUGUCCAAAGUUGCGCUUACAUAAUAAAGUCACAGUACAUUUUUGUGCCACCGAACUUAUGCUGACAGAUAUUUUUACUAUUGGCAGCUUUUUGAGAAAGCUGUACACCAGUGCUCAGGAAUGCCCACGCUCAUAUGACAAGCUGCGUUUUGACCCCAGGUGAUUGUCCUUUUUGGCUGAAAAAUAUAUUAGAUUGUGCUGUACCGGUGCCACUUAGUUCUCUUAUGCAUAGACUAUGUGAGAUACAAAUGGUAUAUGGCGCAAGCAUGUAAAUGUUUGCUCUGUGUUUGUUGCAAGUUUGUCGCUCUCAAAAUUUCUGACAUUUUGAUUCUUAAAACAGUAAGAAAGAACAUCAUUCAUCUACCUUUGCUAUCAUUUGGUUUAGAAAACAGUAAUAGUUAUAAAACUUUUAUUGAAAGUAGUAGACGUUCCUCUAUAAGUGCAUUUCGAGAAUGGAAACAGCAGUUAUAAUGUGUAGUAGCAGUAACCACUGGACCACUUACCAGGAGUUCAUUAGUGUUGUGCGAAUUUUCUGUUUGUGCUGAUAAGCAAUCUGAAAUAUUUUUCAUUUGUACGUACUAAUUUACUAUUCAACCAAUAGAAUUUCAAACGCAUAAUUUGACAAUUUAUAAGCAUAUUUGACCAAUUGGUAUUUGUGUUUUUUGACGAUUCUUUCAUAGUUCUGUGAAACCCGAGGAAUUAGAGUAUAUUGAUAUUGUGCAUUCUUAUUAGGUAACAGAGUACACAUGAUAAAUUUAUUCGAGUGGUUUUAGUUACUUACAUCUUAACUUUGGGCAGCAAACCAAACUGCAGAUUGGUUGUUAGUCAUGAUGACUAUAGUUUGAUUUCCAAACUGCCUGAAGAUAGAUCCUCUGUGGUGACAAUAUUAAGAAAUCCACUUGAUCGCGUAUUUAGCACAUAUGAAUUUUCUGUGGAAGUUGCUGCUAGGUUUCUUGUGCAUCCAAACCUAACUUCAGCGAAGCAAAUGUCUAGUCGAAUACGGCCGAAAUCUCGUGGUGUAAGCACGUUGGAUAUCUGGCCUUGGAAAUACUUGGUUCCUUGGAUGAGAGAGGACCUCUUUGUUCGGGUAUUUUUCUCAACUUUUUUUUUUUUUUCCACCUGUGUUUUGUGACAAUGCUUUACUGUGAAUUGUAACCAAGUUUUAGUAAAAUUAUGGGAACAAAUGCAUCAAAGACGGAUUUCCUAAUUCAUAUCCCCCCCAAACCAUUUUGCAUCUUUGAGCCUUCCCCUUUGUUAGCUAAGCUUCCCCUCAAUUCUGGAAUUACUCUUAUAGUUGGAAACAAUUAAAAUCUAAGAAAAAGUUAGGAAAUGUCCCAGAUUCUGAAAGGGAGCCUGAAACUCAAAUUUUCUUUUUCCUGUGUAUAUCUAUGUCUAUCUCAUAGGAGAAAACAGAUAUCUUAUUGCGAUUUUUUCUAUUUUUUACCUUGAACAACAGCUGUUGGUAGUUUGUGCAGCUUACAAGUGGAAACGGUGCUUGUUUUAGAUACUAUUGGUACUCUUCGUUGUGUGGAGACUUGAUUAUCAUCUGUUAUUUUCUGAGUCUUGUUAUCCUAAUUCCUCACCAUCACAACAAUUUAUCUUCAUUCACUGGGAUUGAACAUAUGCCUUCCCAAUUUUCAAUUUCUAAUUGGUCUUUAUAGUUUGAAAUAUUCUCACAUUGUAAAAACGUAGAUGCAUGUUAAAGUUGAAGUUACACAGUGAAUGUAUAUAGAAUGUCUUAUUAUUCUUUGUAACCAAAGACUAAAGUAAAUUACUGUAUAUCUGAAUGGAAAAGAUAGUGAUAUAAGUUAUUGUCGUGCCAAUUUAGAGUCGUAACUAAGUGCCUCCACAUUCGUCAGUAUCAAGCUUGACUGCCUUAGUCAAAUAAUCCUUAUUUUUUAAAAGUUAUCAGUUUUUCUCUCCUCCGAGUCUACUGUAACUUGAUCGUCUAUCGGGAUUUUUAUUAUGAUCCAACAACUUCUUUGCAACUUUCCUAAAAGAAAUAGUCGCUACCGUUUAUUGUAAUAGACGUACCAAAUGUGCAUGAAUUUUAAUGCUUAUGUUGAGUGGGGUUGCUUAUCAGAACUCUCCAUUCCUCCCUUUCUCUCUGACUCCUUCCCUGCGCCCUCCUCGCGCCCCUUCCCUACAUCGCCCACCCCCUCUGUCACUCUAAUCCAGUAGGGUUGGAUCUCCAUGUGCUCAAGAUCGUGGGUUUUCUUUUCUUCUAUUCUUUUCUCCGAUUUAAGAAAAACAUAAAGUGGGCUAACAGAAACCUACCACAGUUUUCUUUCAUUGGUGUUCAUUGGUGUUGGGACAGGAAAUUGCCUGAUUAUUUUAUGAUGUAACUGUUGCAAUGGAACUUUUUGUUUCUUCUUCUAUUUCUUUCUUCAUUUACCUCUUCUCCUAAUUUUCUUUUUUCUUUGGAACAUUUUACUAGAGGGAUGCAAGGAAACUUGGGAAACUUAGAAGGAUGAAUGAAAUAACUGAUCCAUAUAACAUGGAAAAUAUGGUGAUGCCUCUACAUGACUUCAUCAAUGAUCCUUUAGCUCAUGAGAUCGUUCACAAUGGAGCGACUUUUCAGGUAUAGUAGCAUGUUUCUUAUGCCUUUCUUUUUCAUUACAUGGGUGUCAUGGGGCUGAAUUGCAUGACAUUCUAUCUGCCAGCAGUAUUAAGGCUGAAUAAAAUUUGUGCUACUUGCUCCCUUAAGUAGUCAUUAGGCAUUGAGCUCUAAUUGACAUUUAAACUAAUUAAAUUUUCUUGAAGAAGCAAAGAUUGAUUCUUUUCAAUUUUCAUCCCACUUUAUCUAAGCCUUUUGUAGUAUUGAAAGCUAGUCUAUAUGUAGAAGUCAUUUUGUUCUUUGCUCUUUCUAUUGCAUGUGCUGAUUUUCAUUUGAAGUAUUCAAAUUAACCACCGCCAGUGAAAAUGUCGGAUCAUUUAGCUGUGCGUGUACUAAUAAUGCAAAGCAUCUACGUCAUGAUUCUUCCUUUUUACUUAAUUGAACUUGGAACUUUUGAACACGAGAUGAUUACAUAUUAUCUAAGAAAAUGUUCCAAACUUUUGUGUUCCGUACCUGUCAAAGGGCAUGGCUACUUAUUUUUGAUUCAUUCGAUAGAGAAGACAGAAGCACGAUUCCCGUUGUUUCAGCUGUAUUGUACAGUAGGACGUUGCUUUCCUUUUCUUUUCUUUGUUAGCUUUAGUAUCUAUGAUUUUCACACCAUUGUCACAUUUUUUUUUUUCCAGGAGUUCUUGUAAGCCAUGUAGUUUUGAUCUUACGCAUGACUUUCUGAAACCCUAUUUGGGGAUUUCACCUUUGUGAUGUGUAUGACAGAACAUUUGAAUUUUUCUGUUGCUAUAGUAGGCGUUAUUUGCUUAAAUUUUGGAUAUGAUCUCCAAUUCUUAGUAUUAGAUUCCUUUCUUGAUUUUUGUCGAUACCUUUUCCCUUCAAUUGAUAGGUAGCAGGACUGACAAACAAUUCUUAUUUGCCGGAAGCUCAUGAAGUGCGUGAAUGUGUGAGGAAACACCCAACACUUGGCCGUGCUGUACUUGAGGUUGCAAAGGUACAUAAAUAAUCAUACCACACAUAUUUUUUCCGUAUUUGCACCUCCUCCUCAUUUUUCCCAUUAGACGGCAGUGACUUUGUUUUCUUAUCAUACAGAGUAGGCUGGAUCAAAUGCUGUAUGUUGGACUUACUGAGGAUCACAAGAAGUCUGCCAGAUUGUUUGUUAAUAUGGUUGGAGCACAAGUCCUUUCCCAAUCUGAAGCCUUGAGCUCCUCUGAUGUUCAGGCUGAGGCAUCCAGGAAAACUGGUAUUGCUGCUUUUUAAUUUUUAUUUAUACUUUUUUCUGUAUCUUGCCUUAAGGAAUUAUAGACCAGAUAUUCUCAUUCUCACUGGGAACAUCUGAUUCAUCUCUGUGCAUAAGUGAUGCUAACUUUCUUAGCUAUGCGGACAGUUUGGUAUAUUAAAUGUGAGAUAUGGAUAAUGAAAGUGUCGUUUCUUGUGAAUUUGCGUUCGCAGAAUUAAGCUCUUCCUUUCCAGAGAGUGAGACCGGAGAACCAGAUCAAAUUCAGGUAAACUGUAACUGGAUAUGAUUGUGCAUGAAAUCCUGAUAGCCCUCUUGAACCAUUAGCAAGGAUAUCCCCUCAUGCGUUUUCUUUCUUUCAUUAUAGAGUAGCAACUACAGUCAACUAGGCACUGAAGUUUCUUCUCCUACAGAUGCUACAUCAGUUGAAGCAAAUGUAAUACCAUCGAUUUACCUUUAUCUUUAUGCUUGAAAAUGUGUUUCUGAUUUCUUGAAAUUAAUUUAUAUAUAAAAAAAACUAUCUUCUCAUUAAUUGCACCUUCUUACUUUUGACUGAUAUCAGAUGACUGUUGAGAAAUUGAUGGGAGCCUAUGAAGAAUGCAUUUCCAGCUUGCGAAAAUCUCAAUCAACUCGGCGUAGUAUGUCUCUGAAAAGGAUUGCUCCUGCUAACUUUUCAAAGGAGGUAAGGUGCAAUAGGGAGUCGGAUAGUUUGCAACAGUAAUUAGCUUACUUAAUAAUUUUGUUCCUUAUGUUUAAUACACUAAAAAAUAUGUGGCUUGUAUCAACAGAAUAGGAUUUAACCGAGGGCCCAAGAGACAUAGUGCUCAAACUUUGCUAUCUUUCUUUUUUUUUUCUUUUUUUUUGUCUUUUUUUUUUUUCAGUUUAGCUAUGCCUGUCUCACUAAGUUCAAUGUUGUUUGUGAAGCGAAGUGAUCUGUUUUGGUCAAAUUCUAGAAUUAGAAAAGUAGGCAAUCUUCUUUUCUGUUGUUUGGCCAUUCAUCUAAUCUAUUAUCAUUUUAGGCUACCAUUUUUGACAUGCUAUAUAAUUCUGAGAAAAGCUUCUUGUUACUUUUUUUUUUUUUGAUGCAAAAUGUAAUAACUAGCCUAUGAAGAUUGCUUCCUUGAUUUUGGAUCUGUUUUAAAUUUGAUUGGCUUUACCUGCACAUUAAAUUCUUCAUGACUAACAUCCAUGGUGAGACUGUCGGAAUUCAGAAACGUGAGCAGGAAGUUGCUUUGUAAGUAUGUGUCAAGCAUUUUGCUGAUGCACAUUUACAUUAACUAAAUUGCAAAGUUAUUUUGUGAUUAUGCUCCUUGAAUAAUGGCAUUGGAAAGACUUGUUACUAACUGACGACAAAUGAUUAUUUUGGAUUUGCAGGCACGCCUCCUGGUCCCAGAAACAGUUCUGCAGCAGAUCAUCUCAUUGAACAGCCUUGAUAUGGAACUAUAUAGGCAUGCAGAGAGUAUCUUCUUGCAACAAGAGCAUCAUAGUCUUAAGGGGCGCGGUGCUUUCAUGGCGCAGCAACAGCAAAAGAUGAUAAACACUGUUAGUCCUGGUUCAUCCCUUCAUUUACAUGCAAAAUCUUGUCAGUUUAUCAAAAAAGAAAUAAUUUCAUACUUAAAUUGAUGGCCAAAUCACACUUUUGACCCUCAAACUGAGGCGGUUGAGACUUUGGUCCUUAAUCUUUUGGCCUUGUUUGGUAUUGUGUUUGUUUUUUAUUUUUUUGAAUAGAAUUUCUGUAUAUCAAAAGUUUAGGAGUGGACAGUGGAUUGCUUUCUAUCCUUUCAUCCAAGGUACUUGACAAUAAAACACAAAAACUUUAAAAUAAUAUUUUGUUAAUUCCUUUUUUUUUAAACAAAUUAUUAUCUACCACUUAGCCGGAUGGAUUGUAAGCUAAUCAACUAUAAUAACAGAAGGUCUUUCUUCCAAUAUGUCAAAUUAUAUAGAUUAGUGUUUAAAAAAGUGAGAAACAACAACGAUACCUAACGAGGUCUUAAUUUGUUGCAAUUUCUAGCUCGCACUUUCUAGAUUGUUGCAAUCAAGUUCCGCUGUCCAAAUUUAGUUGACUAGAUAAUAAUAUGUCGCUGAUGUGGCAUUUUAGUCAUUACCAUCUCAUUAACUACAAUACUGCAAGUCACUGCAUCAUCAACGACACGUUACCAUUUGGUCAACUAAAUUGUACUGUGGAACUUGAUUGCAACAGUCUAGAUUGUUCGAGCUAGAACUUUGCAACAAAAAUUAAAGUUUUGAGUACCAAAGUGUCACGCGUCUCAUACCGCCCCAUAGUUUGAUGACCAAAAGUUUAAUUUAAGCCUAAAUUGAUCUUUUAUCUUAAAAAAAAAUUAAAAGCUUUGGCUUGGGCUCCCUUGAUGUUCUUGUUGGCAGGGAAUUACAUCAUGGUAGUAAAAUAUGUGCUAAUGUUUGUGAUGUUUCUCUUACUUUUUAGGAACAUGAAAGCUCAUGGAACAACUUGUAUAAUGGGUACUCUUCAGGGAAGGUUUUCUUGUUAACCACCACUCUAACCAUUUGCCUCAUCUUAUUUGUUAUAACAAAAAGGAGGAGGACAUCUAAACUUAAGGUUUGAACAUGAUAGCUGCUAUAAGUAAUGCUCUUGUUACACAUAUAUUCAAACUUAAAAAAAGAGCUUUUACACCUAUGUUUGGAUCUGUUGACUUUGUUAGGCAACAUGCAAAAGGUUGAAAAGCUGAGUUGGAUCACUGACUCUCUGUUGAUGGUUCUGGCCAUUAUUAUUAUUAUUAUUAUUUUUUUAAAUACCUGUUAGCAGCAGAAAAGUUGGUUAGAGUUUUUGGCCAAAGCACUGAGCAGUUGGAAAUGCGGCAAAUAAGUUUUAUUUAAAAAGGUGAUUAAGGUCUAGUUUGGUAAUGUGGUGACUAUAUAAAAACACUAUUUUUAUACUACAGAAGGAUAAUUUUAAAAGCGAUUUUAACCUUUUCUUCUUUUAUACUUUAAAAUUGCGGUUGCAAUUGUUGUGUUACAUGCUUCUCCGGUGGUAAUUGCGAUCGCAAUUUUACAGCAUUAGAAGAGAAAAGAUUGUAAGCGCUUUUCUUAAAUAGGUUUCAGUAACCUCUCGUCUAAAGUUAGACUCUUCCAUGCGGGAAAUGCGGCAAAUUUCAGUGUGGUUCCAUUGUAACAGUAGAGCCUCUUUGUUAACAAUUUCUGCAGCAGUUGGAUGCUAUUACAGUAAUUUAAACAGGGAAAUUGAACCCACCUGUUGUUACAUCUAUAAUGCAGUAGCAAUUGCAUGCAAAUAUGCAGAGUCUAAAUUUCGUUGAAACUAUUGUAUAUCGUGGCAGUGAAGAGACAAAAGCAAUAGUAGACUAUUCAUGAUUGUGGGGAGAAUGCGACGUACAUGUGAGAAAGUACGAUCGUAAAAUAUGUUGUUUCUUGUCAUAAAAAGUAUUAUACCACGUGAAUAGCAAUGAUUCAGUUAAGAUAUAAUUUUGAGUCCCGUUAGAAAUUUGAGAAAUAUUUGAAAUAUAUUGCCUCAACUAGGGAUGUCAAUAGGUACUGAUAUCCGAAGUUUUAACCGAAUUCGAAUGGAGUGGAUUUAUUGGCUGCUAAAUGAAUAUGGUUUUGGAUAUGGAUAUUAAAAAUAAAAUUCCGACGGAUAUGGAUUUUGAUUGUACCUGACCCAAAACAGAACCUGACCCGAACCCAAAUUUAUUUUACAUUAUAUAUAAUAUAUAUAUCAAAAUUUGAUAUUAUAUUUGAAUUUGCAAUUUAUAAAUUUAGAUUUAAUAUAAUAUAUUUUGAAAUAUUGAAAAAAGAGAAAUAGUUGUUUUGGGUCAGAUUUUUUGGUUCGGGUGUGGGUUCGGAUUUCGGAUUUUUGGUCGGAUUUGGAUAUGGAUUUAAAAUCCGUUGGAUUCGGAUUUCGGGUGUUUGAAAAUCUGACCCGAAUCUAACCGGUUGACAUCUCUAGUCUCAAUUAUUGUUUGCUAUAAUAGUUGAUAGUUAAAUCAUACUCUGUUUAGGAGCAUAUUACAUCUCUAGUCUCAAUUAUUGUUUGCUAUAAUAGUUGAUAGUUAAAUCAUACUCUGUUUAGGAGCAUAUUACAGUUAAAUCAUACUCUGUUUUAUGAUACAUUCAUACAGAGUUCAAAGAUGAAAGGUAUGAAUGGUUUUACAAAAUAUACUAGUGAAGGUUGAUUUUGUAGAAACAAAUAAAUAAAAUAAGCUGAAGAAAGAAAAAAUAAUAAAUACAUAAGGAAAAUAAAAGAAGGAUAAAAGAAGAAUAAAGGCAAAACUAUAAAAAUAAUAAAUACAUUUAUAGCAGUUGUAAAAGCAUUUGCAAAAGAAGAAAAAUUAGCAGAAGCAACAGUAAAAGAAGAAGAACUAGCAGAAGCAACAACAGUAAUAAAGUUGAUCAAUGAAAAAAGAUGAAACAAAAAUAAUAACAAUAGCAGAAGAAGAAGAAGAAGAAUCAGAAUAUUAGUAGAAGCAAAUGGUGUAUUUGUUGUCUUAUUUUACUGUCCAUCUACUAUUGUUAUUUUUAGACGACUGACUGUAUAAGUUUUUAUAUAUAGACUUAAUAUAGUGUAGAUUGCAUAUAUUAUAUUAGAUUUUAAUUUUUUGAUAUCAAUCUUUCAAAACUAAGUUUAGUACAUGCAAUGCAUCAAUAAAUAGGUGAUGAUAAUAAUUCAUUAUAGUUGACAAGGAAAAAAUAGAAUGGUAGAGGAAAAAUGUUUUAUGCACCGGGCAUAAAGUAAAUUUUAUAUACUGUAUUUUUAAAACCUCAUUAUAAUAUUUUAAAUUCUAUAAUUUUUUACACAGUCUUUCGUAUGGUUUAGGUUGAAUGCAUUGAAUAGAUUUUAGAUUUAGAGCUUUUUUGCAUUUAGCCCUCUAGCAAAUUUUUUCUUUGCAAAUAACUUUAUAAAAUUUAUAUUUAUAAAAUUGGGCCUAUCUUUGCUAUGCAAGCGCCAACUCCCGCCAUACUGAUUUGGGGGAUUUUAGUUGAACAGGGCGAAUGGUUCAUCAUGUAUAAAUACGAUAAAUUAUUUAUUUUGUCCAAACACGAUGAAUAGUUUUUCGUAUUUAGACACGAUAAAACAUUUGCUAUGUCUAAACAUGGUGAAUGGUUCAUCAUGUUCAUGUCGUAUAUACCAGCCCAAACCGCACAAUCUCUCUCUCUCUCUCUCUCUCUCUCUCUCUCUCUCUCUCUCUCUCUCUCUGAUCUCGGGGGGUUUUAGUUGAACAUAGUUAAUGGUUCAUCGUGUACAAAUACGAUAAAUUAUUUAUUGUGUUCAAACACAAUGAAUAGUUUUAUGUAUUUAGACACAGUAAAUCAUUUGCUAUGUCUAAACACAGUGACUAGUUCACCAUAUUUAUGCCUUAUAUACUAGUCCGAACCGCACAAUCUCUCUCUCUCUCCCCCUCGAGCUUCCCCACCCUCUCCUAUGUCACCUUAUCUCCCCCCGACCGUCGUUAUUGUGUUGCGACUGCUGUCACUACACUUAUCCCCCUCUCUCUCUGCUCCUCUCAUCGUGCUCUCUGCCAUCGCCACCGUCGACAGCAUACUCUCUAUCUCUCUUUCUCUUACACGCACACUUUCUCUCUCUCUCUCACCCUUCCUCAUCUCCAGAGCCCUAUCUUUUUCUUACCUCCCCCGCCUUCUAGAGCCCUCGCUCUCUCACUCUUUCUCUCUCCUGACCCUUCUCCCUCUCUCCCAACUCUCUCCAUCUCUAUUUCAAACUCCCCUUUCAGAGCCAAAACCCUCACUCUCCUUUUGUGUGUCAAACCUCCCCUCCUUCCAGAGCCAAACCCCUCCCUCUCUCUCUUUAUCUAUCAGCAAGCCCCCUUCCAGAGCCUCCAUCGAAAAGAAUUCGUGCCGAUCUUGUCCGCAAAUUACUAAUUUCAUCUUUCAUCCAUUUCCUUUAUUAUAUGUUAUAUAUGUCACCUAAUAAAAUAUGGUGAGACUCUUAUAUAAAAAUUAUUAUAUUUUGCCCAAAACUUAUUUUAAGUUUUUAGAGAUUUUUAUAGAUAGAGACUAUUCACCUAUAUAUUUGGUAAUAUUGUUUACACUAGAACAUUAUAUUUGGUGAAUAUGUUUUAUGUUGUAUCUAUUGGGACAAAGAUUUAGUCAUGAUUGAUAAUGUACCACAAUACAUUGGUGGCCGUAAUAAUUGGUUGGUAUCCGACGUGAUGUCACAUUUCGAAAUUUCAAGACGAAAAUAUAUAAGGUUACAAACUAUGAUUGAGUGGAAGCAUAUCUCCACAUAACAGUUUGAUUGUCCAACGAGAGCUAAUGAAUGGGAAUUACUUGUCAUAUCAAGUGACAACACAAUUGUUGGCGUGACGAGUUUUUACCUAUUCAUGGUUGCAUAAAAGUAUUUCAAAAAUCUAUAUUUUACUCUCUUAACAAUUCAAGUUAUUGCAUUUAGUCUCCCUCCGUCAGGGUUCCAUUACUAUUUCGUGUUAACGAUACAAGACUGUCCAUGUCACGCCCCGCGACCAAUCGCCAAUUUGGACCGGGUCGCGGCGCCGCCGACAGACCGCCGAACGGACCGGGAAUUCCCCUGUACGCGGACAGAGUCUCCCCAGUACGUCCAAGGCGUCGCAAUCCAAACAAUCAACGAAUGUUCCAACAAGGAACGGAUAUCAAUCCAGAUUGCAUAAGGAAGUAUCAAAUACAUAAUCUACUUGCUAUUACAAGAAUUCAUUCACAAUCACGUUAUACAUCACAGUUUCAGUUUACAUUUUUACUUCCAAAUUACAAUCUUACUAUUACAUCAGAGUUUGAUACAUUUUCUUUUCUUGUCUUCUAGACCCCUAAGCUAGACUGGUUCAGGUAUGCUAACAUCGGUCUCUGUGUGGGGCGCAUCAACUGCAGCCUACGCCUCGCUCGCGCCGCGCGCCGCACAGAACGAUCCUGCAAAACCCAAAACAACGUGGGGGUGAGACAACUCCAUGGUUUCCCAGUUGCGGUACGGCCACCCAAAGGAAAGCUCGACAUAGGCCUACGUAGUCCCUGCAUCAUGUCAAGUUCAACAAUUAUACGAUUAGCAAUAUAUUCAAUUGAAACAUUGUUAGACUAACAAUAGCAAAUAAUGUAUCUUUUAUGCUUUUCUCAUUACAUUACUAGUAGAUGUGCUUGAUUCUACUAUGCCUACUUUAGCUCAUAACUUACUCUAAGGUUUCUAUUACCUCUAGGAUCACACACUAACCACUGGCUUCUAGAGUUCGUAUUACCUUUAGCUCAAUGCCUCUCAUCUCUAGCUCAUAAGGGUUCUACUACCCUAUCAUAGCUAACCACCGCUCGGCCUUCGAGUCAAUCAUCCGAGGAUAGCCGCGCUCCGCUGGCUCAGUCAAGACCUACGCGCACGUCACUCUCGACUCAGCUCCUCAGCGGCGAAAUCGUCGCACACAGCUGAAUACGCGCUCGAGCACAAACUUAACCAUCGGUGGCGAUCGCGUCGCACUUACCCAGCAGAGAGUCGAGACCUGACAUACCAUCGGCGGGCGAACGAGUGCGCACCACACCCCACUAACGGUAUUAGUCAGACUCAGUCAUGCGAGGAGCCCGCAUCGUACUUACCAGCAUGGACGCAAGUCUGGCUCUGCGUCUGAUCUCUCAAAUGGCUUACCACUACUUGGGGCGAAAAUCGUCGCACAAACGCCGAGCACAAUGGUUCAAGCCCCGGGCGGUAUACUCAUGGUGAUCGCCCCCAAUUGAACACUCGGGUACAAGAGUCAUCGGGCGGCGAAGUCGUUCGGACGACAGCCCUAGCCCGUACCAAGGAACAUAGCAAAGUCCUGGGAUUCCCGGAAAUCACUUACCACAGGUCGAGGGUUGCAUAGCCACCUCUACUGUCGACCUAGCUCAAUCUAGUGGCUAUACCACUAUACUCAUCAACCUAGGUUCCAACACUCUAGGUUCUAUGUCCACAUCACUUAACCUAGAUACACUUGCUAGGUUUUUAUCAUCUUUGCCUAGAUGUCCACUUCUAGGUUUAUUAGUUCAACCUAGGUUUACUAAUACUAGGUCAAAUGCCACACACCUAGAUUGUUCGACUCUAGGUUUACUGAUCGACCUAUGUUCUUUAACACUAGGUUAGAUGCCACUCGAUCUAUCUGACAACCUAGUUGUCCAAUCAACUCUAUUUACACUAGAGUUAUCAUGUCACUUACUUAGCUCUCAUGAUGCUACUUUACAUUCUCUACUUUAACUAGCAUUAUAUACAUGCUAUGCUCAUUAUGCUCUCUACUUAGCAUUUCCAUCUAUGCAUAAUUAGUACAUGCAUUCUUUACAUCAACUAGCAUUAAUUACUUAGCAUGCUUUCCAUUUAGCAUUUGCAUCUUAUAUUAAUCACGCUCUCUACUUAACAUUUACUAGCAUGGCUCUAUGCAUCAUUAUUUAACAUGCAUUUACACUAUGCAUUAUUAUCAUCAUGCAUUCCAAUUACUUGCUUGCAUUAUCUAUUUAUCAUGCUCAUCAUGCAUUCUUUACUUUUCUUGCAUUUACUCUAUGCAUUGUUAUUAACAUGCAUUUACUUUACAUCAUGCAUCAUUUAGCUUGUCUACAUGCACAUGCAUCAACGUGAGAUUACAUUGCUAAGACAUAAAGGGCGACCUAGUCGCUUCGGUAAGCACAACCCACCUUAACUCGCGUUCCGAUUGCUUGUCGUCACUUGCAAUCGGCCUCCCGCGGCACUCGGCACCCUUUGGGCCCGACAAGAUCUUGCGCCUCAACCGUGUUCCGCUUUACAAAUCCGGAAAUUAUAGGUCUUCGGUUAUGUGCCACGAUGCCUCAAAUCCAUUUCCAUGAUUUUACGACGUCGCAUCGGCCCUCCAGGCGGAAACGAAGCCUAAACGUCCGUUUCUUUAAUAACUUCUCACCGGCUCGUCGAAUCGACAAACCGUCGCUUCCUGCGCGUUCGGAGACAUAGCAAUUAGGUUUCUGACCACUCAAUUUAGAUCAAAACCCCUCAUUUACAAAAACCCCAAUUUGGAGCUCUAAUAUGCUACUAUUGCAAGAAUAACCAUAUUAGCCUUUAAUUCAAGCAAAUAGCUUCUACUUAGCAUCUAGGGAGUCCUCUAAAUUCAUUUCUAGGAUAUAUAUAUAUUAUUUCCUAGCAAUCCACCAUUAGAGGUUCAUGAAGCUUACCUCAAACACAAGCUUCCACUUAGACCAAGAAAGGAGAAGAUAAAGAUGAAGCUUCAACUCCAAGCUACUUCAAUUUCCUUCAAGCUUGCCUCAAUUUUCUUCUCCAAUUCUUUCUUUGGUAGAGAGAGAGAGAGAUUUCUCUUAUGUUGGCUCAAAUAGAGAGAAUGAGGGAAAGAGAGAAAAGGCUCAAUCCUUCAUACAUAUAUAUUGGCAUAUAGGAAACUUGACCUCCAAGUUUUCCAGAACACUAUUCACAUUCAGGCAGCUCGAAAUCUGAUAUCUUUCGCCGGAGCCCUCUGAAUAUCCGUUGAGCUCAAAUUUGACAUCAUGUUCGUUUAACGUACUGAACAAGAAUAUAUAUUAAGUUUUCAGUUUCGACAUCCGUUUGGUCCACCGAAAACUGUGCCGAACUGCAAUUCUUAUCAGAUAGCUUUCGAUUUUAUUUCUCACUCUAACGUGUCAGAAAAAUAUGAAACCUAAAUCUAGCCUCAUAAAAAUAUUUCUGACAUAUCCCCCAAUUUCAUGAAUUUUCUGAGACUGUGCAUUCUGCUAAUAUUAUCGUCCGUUUCCAACAGAAAGAUUCUAGAUCUUCUGUUUCAUCCCGAUUUCAGCACAAGUCACUUCUGACUUAUGUCUUACUUCUCUAAAUCCAAUAAAAAUAGUAUCUCACACUAUUUUUAUUUAUUUUCACUUUUACAUUUAAAAUUCGGUAUGUUACAUUCCACCGCAACCUUACCGGAACCUUUUAAAUGUACACCGUAACUUCAUAGUUUUAGAAAUCCGGUACCUUACAGUCCAACUUCUGUUUACCAUAUGAGAAUGCUCAAUAGUGAUUAUCAAAGAAAUUAUAUUGAUCUCGAACGAAUUCCUACAUCAAGGUGUAUAAUAAUGAUCUUUAAAAUUGUUUUCACACUUUUUCCUUCGUUAGUCCAAGUACAAAAAAUUAAUAAUUUAGACUUUUAGCUAUUACAAAGAGUUUGGAUUCUUAUGUGUGUUGGAAAAUUUUUCUGAUCUUUUAAUAAAAUAUUCUUUAAAUAUAAUUCGAAAGUUUAAUUUCAAUUUUAGAAAAAUUUUGAAAAGAAAUUAAAUAAUAAAUACUAUAGAGAAAAGGAUUAGAAAAAGCAUGUGGAUCGAUGUGUGCAGAGCAUUGUCCUAGAAGUGAAAUUGCUCUUCCACGUGCAAGGCUUUCCAACAAUUACUUCCAGCGAUACAACGUCCACGUUCCACCCCGUAGGCAUGCUUUCAAGGUGGCGCAAGAUGAACCCAACAAGCUUUAGGAGAUCCAGCAAAAUACUAGAAAGCUCAAUGAAAAUCAAUGCAAAAGAUCAAUGGCGAGAAAUAGAGGCAGGGAUUAGGAUUUUGCUCUCAGGUAUGCCUCGGUUCGGGUUGAGCUCAUGCAACCUCCUCCAAUAUAUAUAUUGAAGGCAAAGAUCUUGCUUCAACAUAUCAAUUUCGUGUAGCGCAAGACAAGCCUAAGAUAUACGGCAUAUGGAUUAGGAUAAAACCCAAAAAUAAAAAAAAUAAAAUAAAUCGGAUGCAUGAAUUGCGCACGCCACGGCCUGCCCGGCCCGGCUCGGCUCAUGCUCGUGUCGUGCAUGCGUGUGUUUAGUCGAGAGCAUAACUCUCAUUUUCUCCCAAGCAACUAGCUUGAGAAUAGAGUAUAUAAAUAGCAACGACAUACUUUUCGUUUCCAAUGUGAGACUAAUCUUCACAUGCGAAAACCUUAGUUGGGCUCCUAAGCACGACCCAUGAAGUAUUGUGCUACCCAAGAAGCAUAAUAAGUUUUAAAUCACUAAAAAAUCUAAUAAAAUCUGAUAUUCCCCCACAUGAUUUAAAACUUCAAAUAAAGAAAGUAAAUAAACUGAAAUUCAAAAUAACUUAAAAGAAUGCUCGAUCUCUUAUACCACGUAUUCAGCAAAGAUACCUUUUGGGUUGGAACCUUCACUUCUUAGUGCUUGUCAAUAUACAUCCGAGGGCAAGAUAGUGGACUACACCUUGAACUAAGGCCAAUGAAUUGGAUUUCCACAAACUGCACACAUAGUACAACUGUUUAGGUUCUAAGCAGGUGAGCGCUAUUAUAGCCAUGCGCUAGUAUCGCUUUAUGUGUGUUUUAGGAAACUGCCUUCUUCCCAUAAUCACGGCUGUACAACUCCACACAUAUAAUAGGUUCUCAAAAGGUAUCUGUAAGGUUACACCCUGCCUUAUAGGUCUCGGAGCCAUUCAGGGCCAACGCCCUUCCUAUCCACUUGCAGAUAUGAGCACCAUCGCAACAAGGAUGAGGAUAUAAAAUAGUGCUCCUCACAACUAUUUAUUCGACUUGUUUCUAUCCAUUGAAUCUGCAACAGGUUGGGUUGCUGUCGUCGGUAACUUUUAUUGUGGGCUGAGCCCCAUCCCACUCGACGACUCUAGGAUUACUGUCCUAGAUAAUCCGUUCGUAAGUUGAUCAGCCAAAUUCUUUGUAGAUUUCAUAAAUUCCAAUCCAAUCACAUUUUUCUUUAAAUUCUGCCGAAUGAACUUAUGUCUUACUUUCAUGAAUCUAUUCAUCUUAAUCUCCAUAUUCUCUUGGGCACACUUAUCUAUCGCAAAUCUAUAAUCACAAUAAAUACAUAUAGGUGCUAAAGGUCGCUCCAUCACUGGCAAAUCAUAAAGAAACUCUCUAAUUAACUUAGUUUCUGCUACAGUAGUAUCUAAAGCUAUGAGUUCAGAUUCUUUAGUACCUCUAGCAAUAAAAAUUUAUUUAGUUGACUUUUAAGAAAUAGCUGCUCCUCCUAGGAGAAAAAAAAUUCAGUAGUCGACUUUACAUCAACUGUAUCACUAAUCCAAUUAGCAUCACUAUAUCCUUCCAAUACUGUAGAAAAACAAGUGUAAUGCAAUCUAUAGGAUAUAGUCCCCUUCAGAUAUUUCAAAACUCUUUCUAAGACAUUUCAAUGCUCUCUAUUUGAAUUAUGGGUAUAUCUUCUCAAUCGAUUUACAGCAUAAGUCAAAUCAGGUCUAGUGUAAUCUACUAGAUAUCCUAAGGAUCCAAUAAUUUGUGAAUAUCUGUUUUGACCUAUUGGAUCUCCUCUAUUCUUCUUAAGAUGCAUACUGGAAUCAUAGGGUGUCACUGCAGGUCUGACAUCAAAGUAUUCAAACUUCUUCAAUAACUGUUCACUAUAGUAGAAUUGGCUCAUAAUAAUUCCUUUCGAUUUUCUAAUGAUCUUCAUGUUGAGAAUUACACCUACUUGUUCAAGAUCUUUCAUAUCAAAAUUUUCAAUUAGUAAAUUCUUUACAUCAUAUAUCAAUUCAUAUUAGUACCAAAAAUCAAAAUAUCAUCAACAUACAAAUAUAAGAUCACUAUCUGUCCAUCAUAUUCCUCCGAAUAUACAUAUUCAUCAGACAUGUUCACAUAAAAACUAUUUGAUACAAUCAAAAAGUCAAAUUUCAAAUGCCACUACUUAGAAGCUUGCUUAAGUCCAUAUAAAGAUUUAUUCAAUUUGCACAUUUUGUUCUCAUGCCCAGAAACUACAAAGCCUUAAGGUUGAUUCAUUUAAAUCUCUUCAUCUAAAUCACCAUUCAUGAAGGUUGUCUUAACAUCCAUUUGAUGAAUAAUCAAAUUAUGGAUAGAGGCCAAGGCAAUCAACACUGUAAUAGAAGUAAUCUUAGCAACAGGAGCAUAAACAUCAAAGUAAUCACCCCAGGCUUUUGUGCAAAUCCUUGUGCCACUAAUCUGGCCUUAUACUUAUUAUCAACAGAUCCAUUGGGUCUCAACUUCUUCUUAAAGAUCCAUCUACAACCUACAGGUUUAUAUCCUAAAGGUAAAUCAAUCAACUUCCAAGUAUGAUUCUAUAAAAUAGACUACAUCUCAAAACUUUAUAGCUUGGUCAAAGGUAUAUUGAGUAUCUUCUACUAGCAGGACACAAAAUCAUCUCCAAAAGUUUUCUCUACUCUAGGACGCGUAUUUCUCCUAAGUUCAGUCUCUCCUAUAGGUUCACUUAUUCUAGAUCUACUAGAGCUAUCUAUAGGUUCAGCUGGAAUAGGUCUAUUUACUCUAGUCCUAAAAAAAAAAUAUCCUCAAAGUAUACUGCAUCUCCAGCCUCAAUAAUAGUGUUGUUAGAAAUCUCACUAAUUUCAUAAUUUACCACAAAAAAUCUAUUUAUAUUGCUAUCUUGUGCAUAACCUAUAAAAACUGUAUCCACAAUUUUAAGUCAAAUCUUUCUCUUCUUAUUCUCAGGUAUCUUUAUUUUAGCUAGGCACCCCCACACUUUAAAAUAAUUCAAAUUAGGCUUCCUACUUUUCCAAAGCUUAUAGGGAGACACAUUAGAAUUCUUGUGGUGAAUUCUAUUUAAAAUCAUACAUGCAGAAAUUAAAGCUUCCGCCCAUAAGUUCUCAAGUAUACUUGAACUAAUAAUCAUCGAGCUCACCAUAUCCAUUAAUAUCCUAUUCUUACGUUCAACAACUCCAUUAGAUUGAGAUGUAUAUGGAGCAGUCACUUAAUGCACAAUUCCAAACUCUUGACAAAAUGCAGCCAUCUCAUUUGAAAUAUAUUCACCACCUCGAUUAGACCUCAAAAUUUUGAUUUUCUUAUCUAAUUGAUUUUCAACAUCAGCCUUAUAAAUCUUGAAUCUGCUUAAAAUCUCAUCUUUUGAUUGAUCAAGUAAACACAACAAUACUUUGAAUGAUCAUCUCUAAAUGUCACAAAAUACUUAUUUCCACCUCUACUAGGUUUGCUUCCAUCACAAACAUCACUGCGCACUAGUUCUAAAAGAUCACAAUCUCUAUCCACAAAUUUAAAUGAUUUUCUAGGCUCCUUAGCUUGCACACAUAUUUCACAUUUAUGAUCAGAUAAAUCAGAUUUAGGAAUCAAAUUAAGAUGCAUCAAUCUUUUGAUAGUAUUAAAAUUCACAUGUCCCAAUCUUUCAUGCCAAAUAUUGGGAGAACUAACAUUCAAAACAUGAGCAUUUUCAUUAAUGGAAGAAGAAGAUACAGAUAAUUUAAAUAAAUCAUCACUCAAAAAUUCCUUCCCUAUAAAGUUCACACAUUUUGUUAUAACUACCCUAUUACAUUCAAAAACUAACUUAAAACCUUGCUAAACUGAAAAAGAACCACUAAUCAAAUUCUUCCUAAGGUCAGGAAUAUGGUGGACUCCGUGCAAGGUUAGGGUCUUCCCGGAGAUUAGAUUCAAGUCCACUCGACCUGUCCCUAGCACGUGAGAAGAGGCAGCAUUCCCCAUGUUCACCGAUCCUCCACAUGAGUCCUGAUAAGUGGCAAACCAAGAGCGAUCAGAACAUGCAUGAAUAUUUGCUCCGGUAUCUAUCCACCAAUCAGAAGAACUAUAAGCAAGGUUAACAUUAGAUAAACUAGAUCUAACCUGAUAGUGGAGUCAGAAGGAUCAGACCCAGCAGUCAGCAAAUUUAUCAGGCGCUCAGGUGGAGCUUCUUUCUUUUUUUUUGGGGUAUGGAAGGUCGAGUCUUGCGGAAGUAGCAAUCUUUCGCAAAGUGGUUCGCCUUCUCACACACAAAGCAACCAGAGUUGCCUCCACUUUCCUCAGGCUUAGGUUUCUUAAAGUUUGGGUUGAACUUUCUAUGAUGGAAAGGUUUUUUCUUAAAGUUCCGGUGAUACUGAAAGUUUCUACCCUUAUUUUUAGGAUGCUUUACUAGGUUGUCUUGGGUUGUAGGUUUACUGGGCUUCUUAUCCCUAACUCGGUUCGACUCUUCUAUCCUAAUGGAUCUAUAAAGGCAUAAUUCAGGGAUAGCUUUCUCUGAUUGUGGUUAAGAUCGUUUGCAUGGUUUGACCAAGAGGGUGACAACUUAUCUAUAAGGGCGGCAACUAAGAAACUCUCAUCAAAAUUUACACCACUAGAUCUAAGCUGCUCAACUAUAUACUCAAAAUAAUGAAGCUGGUCAGACAUAGACUUACUAUCUACUAAUUUAAAUUUAAUUAGAUUUGACACCUGGUAUCUCUUCUGGGUUGGAUCAACCUGAUCAUACUUGUCUUCUUAGAAUGUCCAAAGUUUCCUAGCUAUUUUAGCACUACAGUAGAUGUCAUACAAUUUGUCAGAUAGGGUACUAAGAAUUCGGUUUAAACAGUGAUAGUUGAUAAUGUUAAGGUAAACAUGAGGUAUAUAUAGUUCUUGAAUGUUUCUUUUAUUAUUAUAGUAAGAUAUUUUAUUUACUAUAAUAAUAAAAGAAAUAGAAAGAUUAAAUUAAAAAAUUUCGCUUCUAGAAUGUUGGAAAAUCUUUCUGAUCUUUUAGUAAAAUAUUCUUUAAAAAUAAUUCGAAAGUUUAAUUUCAGUUUUAGAAAAAUUCCGAAAAAAAAUUAAAUGAUAAAUACUGUAGAGAAAAGGAUUAGAAAAAAGCCUGUGGAUUGAGGUGUGCAGACCAGUCUUAGAAGCAAAAUUGCCCCUCACGUGCGAGGCUUCCUGACAAUUACUUCUAGUGAUGCAACGUCCAUGUGCCACUUUGUCGGCAUGCUUUCAAGGUGACGCAAGAUGAAGCCAACAAGCUUUAGGAGAUCCAGCGAAAUACUAGAAAGCUCGGUGAAAAUCAGCGCAAAAGAUCAAUGGCGAGAAAUAGAGAUAGGGAUUAGGGUUUUGCUCUCAGGUAUGCCUCAGUUCGGGUUGAACUCAUGCAACUUCCUCCAAUAUAUAUAUCCAAGGCAAAGAACUUGCUUCAACGCAUCAAUUCCGUGUAGCGCAAGAUAAGCCUAAGAUAUACGGAAUAUGAAUUAGAACACCCAAAAAGAUUAGGAUAAAACCAAAAAAUAAAAAAAUAAAAUAAACCGGGUGCUUGAACCGCAUGCGCCGCCCGCCCGCUCGGUUCGGCUCGGCUCGUGCCGUGCAUGCGUGUGUUUAGUCGAGAGCAUAACUUUCAUUUUCUCCCAAAACAAUUAGCUUGAGAAUGAAGGAGUAUAUAAAUAAAAACAAUAUACUUUUAGUUUUCAAUGUGUAACUAAUCCUCACAUGUGAAAACGUUAGUUAGACUUCCAGGCACAACCCAUCAAGUAUUGGGCUGCCCAAGAGGCCUAAUAAAUUUUAAAUCACCAAAAAAUUCAAUAAAAUCUAGGCUAAAUUACAAAAAAACACCCUGUAAUAACUCGCUUUUUCACUCCCCCCCUGACAUUUAAAAAAACCUACACUUUGCCCCCUCGUAAAAUGAAAAAUGUUCAUAGGGGAGUUACGGUGUGUAAAAUGUCCAUUUUGCCCCUCGCCAUUUUCGUCUUCUUCCUCAUCUUUCUCAGCCGCCGCUUCGAUCGGCCGCGAUUCCCACCUCAAUUGGCCGCGAUUUCUUUCCAUUUUCUUCUCCACCUACUCCCCUUCUCCUCCUGCACCCUCGCCACCCCUCGAUUUCGACGAUAGUAGGGAGGAAAUCGAGGUGGGUGUUGAUGGAGAGGUAGGCAAGGGCAACGAGGGCGAAGGCGAGGCGGCGGAGGAGGGCGAAGGGGAUGUGGGCCAGGGCGAGGCAGUGGAGGACGGCAAGGCGGCAAGGCGGCGAGCCGGAGGGAGGCGAAGCAACAAGAAAGAGGGCAGAGGGGUAUUUUCGGCAUAAAAAAAAUAUUUUAUAACGGAACCCUAACGGUAGGGGGUAAAGUGCACAUUUUUAAUUUUACAAGAGGGCAAAGUGUAGGUUUUUAAAUGUCAGGAGGAAAAAGUAAAAAAGCAGGUUAUUACAGGGGGGUUUUCUGUAAUUUAGCCUAAAAUCUAACAAUGUGUGCCAAAGAGUGCAUCAUUGCCAUCUAUUAUUAUGGAUCUCUCUCUAUUGGUUGGACUUGAUGAGUGGUAGGUGAUUGUAUGAUUUAGUUAUAUAAAAUUUGAAUCAGUACGAAUAGUUAAUCUUAAAUAUCUUUGCAGGUUAACUAUCCAUUAUAAUUAAAGUGAAGGUUCAUCAUCUAGUGUUCGAGAACAUACUGAUUGGGAAGUAAAAAAUGCGAGUGAUAAUGAGGAUGUAACUAGAACUGAUGAUGAGCAUGUAAUUGAAAGUGACGAUGAAGAUGUAAAUGGAACCCAUAAUGACUCUACAUAUGACGAUAUAAACGUUGUUUUAUAAUAUGUGGAUGUUGAUUAUGAUGGUGGUUUGAACACUCUCACAUAUGUCAUUCGAAAUAAAGGUGUCAAAUGGGUUAAAAAUUCAAAUGCCAACAAUGAUAAUAUACCAGACUCAGUGGAAUAUGAAGAAUUUGAAGUUUAACUAACUUAAUAUUAAAUCGUUGGAUUUCAAUGUUACUUAAUAAAUAAUCCAACUGGUUUAAUUAAAAUCGGACCACUUCACCGGUUCGAUAGUGGAACCACCGGUUCGAACUUUCAAAGUAAUUUUUAAAUUUAUCCAUUUCAAAGGAUUAAAUUGAAUCGCUUUAUAAAUUCGGAUCAGGCAAUUCCGCUGGUUUGACCCAUUUUUAAACGAUUGUUUGUCCGGUUUGACCUUUUUUGAAAUUUUGAAUUUUAAAUUUAAGAUUUGAAAUUUAAUUUUAAAACCUUAAAAUUUGAAAUUUAAAAAUUCAAAUAUAAAAUUAAAAAUUUAAAAUUAAAAUUAAAAUUAAAAUUUGAAUCUAAAAUUAAAAUAAAAAUUUAAAAUUUGAGUAAAAAAUCUGAGUCAAAUUUUAAGAAGCAGGUUUCAACUGCUUCCGGUUUGAGCCUUGAAAAUCAAAAAAAUAAUUCUAAAAAUCAGAAUCAAAAAUUUGAAAAUAAAAUUAUCAAAUACUCAAUUGAGGUAAAAUUUAUUUUUGAGCUAAAAAUUCCUCUUCAAAAGUUAGCCUAAACAACCACUAAUUCUUUAACAAAAAAAUUGAUUUGAAGAACUGACGGUCCUAAUGUAACUGGCAAAGGACUCGGUCGUUGAUAUUGAAAGUUUCAAAUUCGAAUUCUAAUUCAUUCAUAUUUUCAGCUAAAUUUAUUUAUUUUUUUAAAAAAUAAACAAACCGGCUAUCUUGCUAUCUCUCUCAAAAAAGAAAAAAAAAUACGGUGAAUGAUUUACCGUGUUCAACUUAACUAACUGGCCCUAACCCAGCCCACAUGACGCUGACGUGUCGCUAGCGUGACAAGAUCGUGACUUUUUUUACAAAUAUAAAUUUAUUUUUAAAAUUAAUUGUUUUCAUAGGGCCAAUUGCCGAAAAAGCCCAGAAAACGAUUUGAAGAGCGCGAGGAAGAGGGCUUUUUCUUUUCGCCAGGGAUGGAGGGUUGGGUUCGCGGCCUGGUGGAAGCCAUUCAUUCAAGCCCCACUCAGGCCGUCAUCGUCCUCGCCGGCGGCGCUUCCCAGGUCUCUUCUCACCCCUCUCUCUCGAACUCUCGAACUCUCUCCUUCUUCUUCUCUCUUCUCUAUCCUCUCACUACUCUUCUUGAUCAUCGGAGAUACGUAAUCACAAGUGUUAUUAUAUAAACAGGCACUGGGAUGGCUGAUGUCGGUCCCAGGCGCUUCUAAUACUAUUCUUGAAGUCGUCGUGCCCUACUCUAAGAUCUCCAUGGCCCAAUUUCUCAGCAAGGUAUUUAUAUUUUUGCUAUUUAUAAACAAAUAAUUAUACAUUGCAUUAAGAAUAUUUCAAUCUAGCAUAGUUUUAUUUUCAGCGAGUUGAGCUAGAAUGCUAUCAGUAGCAAGCGGGUUCCGUUGCCACCCAUUUAUUUUCGAUGAUGAUGGAGUCUCCAAAUCGACGAUCGGCACUAUUAAACAUGAUCUGUACCACUUGAAGCAUUUAGAAACCAAAUUUUAUGUUUUUUCGAUAUUAUUCUCUUGUCAAUUAAGUGGAUAAAAAAAUGAACGGCUGAAAAUAAAUAUCCUUUAAAAAGUGAUGAUAGAAGUCUUGUAAUCAAGAUCAAGAGUAUAGAUCUCGUUCUAAAGAGUUUAAAGAAUUUUCUAACCAAAAUUCAAUUGAUUUGGAUAUCUUUACGCUGUUAAAUGAGAAAACGUCUUAUAUCGACAAUUAAAAUUACAAAUUUUGAAACUCUUUGAUCGUUAGGCUAAUGAUGUCGAAAAGAUUUGAAAUUUGGUUUUUAUAUAUUUCAAGUGGUAUAGAUCAUGUUCAACGGUGCCGAUCGUCGAUUUGGAGGCUCAAUCAUCGAAAAUAAAUGGGUGGCAACGGGGCCCGUUUGUUAUUGAUAGCAUUCCAGCUCAACUCUAUUUUCAGCUUUUGGAACUUACAUAUGCAUCUGGCUUCUAGAUUCCUACUCAAUUCACGAGCCAACAAACUGCAGAGGAAAUGGCGUUGGUGGCAUACAAUCGUGCUCUGAAGCUUUCUAGACCAGGUUUGCAUUUGUUGUCUGCAUUAUCAUAAUCUGCCUGCAUUCAUCAUUAUCAUAAUAGCAAAUCAGAUCAAAAUAAUGCUUGCCGUGUCGAAGUGUGAAGUGAUGAUUAUGUAAUGUAAAGCAAUUUUCUCAUGGUAAAAUGAGCGUGUUACGCUCAUUUUAACUUAAUUCUUUUCAAUCAAGAUUAAAGGAGACCAAAUCCUGAAGGAAUUGAAACAUUAAAACGCUCAAAGAAAAAUAGAGAACAGUAUCUUCGUUAGGAAUCAAUGGAAAUUGUACUAACUGCUACUUAUUGAAAACUGAACUGCUAAAAUGACUUUUUUUCAGUGAUUGGUUGUAGUAAGAGCCUAAGGUACAUCACUAUGAUUUCUAUCCUUUUCAUAGAUAAUGAUGACAUGCUGACAACUAACUGUGGAGAUUGAGUUAUUUUCAUCCCGUGUGCUGUUAUGCUGAAAGACUGCUCUGCGCUUCUUGCUGCGUUAAUUGUGAAUUACUCGUGGGAUUCUAUGCAAACUAAGAAAAAAUAAUUUUCUCUCAUUAGGUCUACCAGUUUUGGGUGUUGGAUUUACUGGGUCAUUAGCUAGCACACAUCCAAAACGUGGCGACCAUAGGUACACUUUCCCUUUCCUCUUCCAAUUGUUUUGUGAGGUGCUAUGGAUUUGACCAAGUGUAAAUUCAUCUCAAACUGGUACAUAUUUCAGUUAGAUUGUAGUCAAUUCUUUCUAAUAUGUUUCUCCAAAUUCAUACAUAAUUAUAAUUUCUUAGUUUGGCAUUUCCACUCCUAUUAUAAAUCUAACACCUCAAACAAUAGUGAAAUUACCGUGUAAUAAGGUAAGGAAACUUGUUUGUACUAUGAAUAGUGACUGUAACAUAAAGAUCUGAAAUGCCAAACUCUUUGAGAGAAGUUAAUCGAUCAGUCCACAUCACAAAAGUUAUAGGAGAAAUUCUGAGGAAAUAAGAUGAAAUACAAAAUGAGAAUUUCUGAAAGAAUGAGAUGAAAACGAUUGAUGUGAUAAUUAUACUAUGUUACUCGAUUGAUUAAAUUAUGAUAUCCUCACUGACCUACUUAUACCACAUUAUACUCCUCAAUAGACUGAUUCUGCAUAGGCUUGCCAGGUAUUGACUGAUGCAAGCAGUAUGCCAAUGCUUGUUUACCUACCCACCCUGCUGCUAGCUUGUAGGCACCUCUCUGUGCUGAUUGGUGCGAAUUUUUUAGGCACCGCUCUACAAAGCAUGCCAAAUAUAAUUAUUCUCUCAUAAAUAAUGCAUAUUGAAUUAGCUUUUUAUCAAUUAUCAUGAGAUGACAUGUUUUGAGAUAGCGCAAGGUUAGGUUCCUCCGAUUAAGGAAGGAAUAAUAUCAUUGAUUGGUGGGUGUGACAUUCUUACAUUAGGUUGGCACCCACGUGAAGGUCGUACAGGGUUUAAAGUUUUGUUGAGGGCUUUGAAGAGCAUACCGGUAAUUGGCAUAGUUUUUGGGAAGAACUUCAAAUGGUGUGCUAUAGGAUAGGUGUGUUCCAUUAGUACAGUUGAUGUGCAGCUGGACUUGAUAGAGAAAUCGGCUAAGAGGAAUACAAGUUUUAUCUUUUACUAGUAUAGUAACCCGUGCAAUGCAUCGGGUAAUUUUUUUUUUAUUUUUUUAGAAAAUAAUUUUGAUUCGAAAUGAUUUAAUAUAUGCGAAGAAAAUUGCAAGAGAAGAAAAAACUGCAUAUUAGUGCAGAACUGAUUCAAGAUUUCAAUUGGGUCUCAGACAGCAAAAUACAUAUAAAGUAAUAAAUAAGUAUAAGCAAAAAACAAAAGUAUUUGAAGACAAAGAAGCCUGAAUAAACAAAUAUAUACAAACGACAUACAGUUUCAAGACCAAAACUAAGUUUGGAACAGUUCUGAAAGGCAACAAAUAUAAUCGCCAGCAGCAGAGAUUAUAUUUCUUCGGCAUCUGAUGCGGCGUCCUCGAUGCAACUGCAUAUUAUAGGAAAGAGUUUAUGAUGAUUUCUUUAGAACUGGUGCACAUGAUAAUGAACUGAUAUACGAUUAUUUUUUUUAUUACCUAAAAGGUCUUUUUCCUUUUCAAAUUUUUUGGUUCUCCCUCACCCACCUCCAUGUCAACAUAAACACUAAUCAAGCCUUGUUCGUCUUCAUCCGGGAUACCGUAUCUUGGCAUCGCGAGAGAAAAUUUUUGGCAUACCUCAUGGAGCAGUUCACAGAAAUAAAUCGUAACAAAUACUGACGACAUAACUGCACCCAAAAUCGAAGGCUAAAUAUCGAAAGUAUGCAAGAAACACAAAACCCAACCUAAUAGGAAACACAGGCGAACGUAAGCAGGUAGGACAACAGCCCCAAGCAAAAAACCAAUUUAUUACCUCACAACACGAUAAGCUAUCCCUCAGCCACAGGACACCCACAAAUAGCUUCUGCCAUAUCGAACACAAAACAGUAAAAAAUAAACAAAUAUGCAUCAGUAGGGAACAACCAAUUAAGUUACAGCAAAUACAGCAUUGCUGCCCAACAAUCAAUAGUAAAAUUCAUACCUAUUUUUUCAACCAGGGAAAAAGCAUCACAGCAGGUUAAGCAGCAACAUAUUGACGCCACACCGAAUUGCGUACAACCACAUGCAAUAACACAAUUAUGAAUUAGCAAAAUUGCAGAAUCCAUUUAUAUUAAAGUGAAUAUCAAUCAAUUUGCUUCAUAUUUAUAACUAACAUUCGUUUAUUUGCCCAUAACAAAAGAAUGUAAGAAGAUAAUAUUAUAUAGAUAGAAUGGUCAUGAUAAAGAAGGAAAGUAAAUAUUAGUUGAUCAACUAACCAAAAAGAUGUAAAUUAUCUAAAUUUUAAAUAUCUGAAAAAAUAUACUCAUUAGUUACAAAUUUUGAGAGAUAAAACUCUCAAUUCUAUACUUUGUAAGAAUGUAUGUAAAUUUUAUUUUAUUUAAAUAAGGAAAAUGUAUAAAGGCCUUUAAACUUUUUUUUUGGCGACAAACUCAUGAACUUUUAAUUUUGAUAAUUAGACCGCUUAAAUUUUAUAAGAUUAUUGAAUAGCCCCUUUUCAAUCAAAGUAACUAAUUUUGCCAUUAUUUUAUUUGGAACUCUUUCAUAUAUUAUUUCUUCUAUUUUAGUACAUGAACAAAAAAUAGUAGAAAGAAUAGACUCACUGUAUUUUUUUAAUUCUCGUGCUUAAUUAUCAAAACUAAAAAAAAGGGUAUUUGAAAGUACUCUUACAAAAUUAUAUAUAAAAUAUACGUCGAAAAUAGCUAUGUAAUAAGUAAUUUUGAUUGGAGAAAGAGACUCAUAAAACUCUUUGAUGAAGUUAAAAAUUAUAGUUGUAAAAAUCAAAAGUUUGAAUGGUAUGCUUAUAAAAUAUUAAGCGUAUCUUUAAAAAAGAAAUUUCAGUUAGAUAGGGUUAAGAAAAAAAAGAAAAUUGGAAAGGAAGAUGAAUUAAAUUAAUGGGCACAAUAAAUAGUUUUCUCUCCUUCGUCACUCACAUAAUAGGAGAGAGAAAAUAGAGUAGCACUCACUGUGGAGGAAGAGGAGGGUAACUUGCAGGUAGGUCCCAUCAAGGAUUUAAGUGCCGUGGCACAGGGUCGUGCCGGAAACUUGUCGGCACGGUGCGUGCCGAGCCGUGCCGAUGCGUGCCAGUCAAAAAAAUUCUUGUGUGCCGACAUAUAAUAACAUGAAAUAUUUAUUUUCUUUAGCAACAAAAUAUUCUAACUAUUUAUUAUGUCUUUUAUCACAUCUUUUGAACGUCAUUGAGGAAAUUACUUACUAAUUUAAAGAAUAGAGGGUUUUGAGCUGUGUCAUCGGCACGGGGUCUGUAUUGUAACGGUAUUUUUGUUGGCACGGUACGGCAUGGUGGAUACGGCCCUUGCCGAUGGGCACUUAAAACCUUGGGUCCCACACCCUUUAACAGCAAGAAGACAACAUCUCCACACCUAAUUCCCAACGCCAGCAAGAUAGAAAUCCACAGCAAAUUUGCAGGCAAGAACGGAGACAAAGAACACAAAAAUACCGAGGGAAAACCAUAGAGAAGAGUAAAGAAGGAGGAAGGAAGAAAGAAUAUGAAGAACAAUACUGCUAUUUAUAACAAACCGGCCAUAGUAAUGAGGAAAGACGAACAGUUUAACUGGAGCAGAAGAAAGUAGAAAGUCCUAAGGUCAAAUCAAGGACCUAUAUAGCCUGUCAGCACCCACCACACCCUCCUAGUCAUCUUCAUCGGCGGCCGUAUUUCACGCUGCCUCGGCGAGUUGUAGGAGGGCACGUCGGCCUGCCAUCCCAAGUAGAGGGCAGGUGUUCCGUACAACCAUCCACCAGCCAUGAUGUAGACAGCGACAAGGCCACUCCGCGGCUGUCCUAGCAAAUACAGAGGUAACGACCAUCGGCACGACGACGUCGGAGAAGAAGAAGAAGAUGGGGCGAUGGAGGGAACGGAAACGGUAAAAAUCCAGACGGAGUAGGUUCGUAUUCAAGCGAAUAGACACAUCGGAAAUAUCGCAUUUAAUGCGCAACAACAGCGCAUUUAAUCGGCAACAACAGCGGGCCCCACAGGCGCUAGAAGCGGAGAAGCCUCGAACAAUUGCCAUUCGUAUGUAUAUAAUAAUAUAUAUAAUAUACCAAUAUAGCGGGGCUCACAGUAUCAUUCACAUUUCAAAUGUAUGGCGGGCCCCACAGCAUGUAUAAAUAUAUAGUAGACCCCACAGCACCAUUCUUUAUAUCUGUAUUGCGGACCCUACAGCAUAUAUACAACAUGUAUAAAUAUAUAGCGGCCCCAGCACCAUUCUUUCUAUGUGUAUAGCGGACCCUAUUGCAUGUAUAACAUAUAUAGGGGGCACCACAGCACCAUUCUUAAAAACUAUAAUUAUUCAUAGAUGCCUUAAGGUUAAGAUUCAGUCAAAAAAUCAUCACAUAUUCUAUAAAUCUAUACAUAACAUUUUUAUCCUAGCACAAAUUUAAGUAGGUGUAAUAAUUUAAGGUUAAUUAAAUGAUCAAUUUUUAAUUUUUGAAUUAUAUAAUAAUUUAACAUUCUCUUUAAAAUUUUACAAUUAAAGAUCUACAGGCGAUUAAGUGUAAUAAUUAAAUCUCAUUAUGAUUUUUCGUUUUUAAAUUAUACAUAGCUGUAAUGCAAUUGUCCAUUAAAGUAUUCAACAUUAAUUAUUUCAAGAUUUAAUUUUUUUAAAUCUUAUUUAAAUAACUCACAUAUCUCACAUAAUAUUUUGCUAUCAAAAUUCUUAAUAUUAGAGUAUUUCUUAUGUGACCCACUCAAACAAAAAAAAAUUAAGCGAAAGUUUAUUGUCAACAAUACAUUAAAAAUGUAUGAAGAACCUCACACCUGUAGCCCGCUUUGAUAUGGCCCUAACUUGGAUUUUUUUAUAUAUAUACAUUUACACCCUCUCAACCUAAGGGUUUCUUUAAUUUUAGCAAUUGAGCGUUUUUUCCCAACUAAAUUAAAUAUUUUAUCAAAUUCUUCUGUGAGGGAUCUCAAUUGAAAAACUUUUAACCAGGUAUAGCCAAAAAAAAAACUAAAAGUUCAAGGGCUCUUAAUGUUAAAAAAUUAAAGUUAAAAGGUCUAUCUGAAAGGGGUUUCCAUAUAUUUUUACCCACUAAUAAUUAGUGCUAGAAAUGUUAUUUUUAAUUAAAAGAGUACUCAUAAAAUUGCCUCUUAUUUAUCUACUGCUAAAAUAACACCCUAAUUUUUUAGGGGUAAGUCAGUCAUUUUAUAACUUAAUCUUUAUUUAACUAAACUUUAACUAUGAUAAAGUAACAGUUCGUUAGAAGGAAGGAUAAUCAUGAUAAAUUUUUUUAUUUGAAGGAAUACAUAUUAUAUUUUUAAUUUUGCAGGGGUAUUUACAAUAUUUAUAUAUUUGAGAGGGCUACUGGUGAAAUUGUCCUUCUUCAUAUGUAUAGUGGGCCUACAGCACCAGAGGGUCCCACAGCACCAAUCUUCAUAUGUAUAUUAUUGUGUAGCGGGCCCCAUAGCACCAGUGUUUAAAAAAGUCCAAGGCGCACCUAGGCGCAAAGGCCUGUUGGAGCCUAGGCGCAAGGCGCAAGGCGCAAGGCGCAGGCGCGCGCCCGAGAGAGGUCAGGCGCACAAAAAACUAAAAGAGAAACUAGAGAGAGGCCAAGGGAGAGACAAAAAACCUUAGAAGAAGAGGCGAGCGAGUUGAAGAAGCAAGGAGGAAGUGCCGGAAGCAAGGACAACCGGAGAGGGAACGCCGGAGAGAGAGAGAUGGUCGAGCGGGCGAGCGGAGAGGGAGAGGGGCCGAGCGGACAGGGAGAGGGUCGAGCGGACAGGGAGAGGGAAGAGCGGACAGGGAGAGGGGAAUAGAGAGAUAAUUGAUGAUUAUUUAGGGUUUAGUUUAGGGUAUUGGGUUUAUUUUAGAUAUUUUAACCCGUUAGACCAAUAAAAUCUGGAUCCAAACCCGUUACUAUAAAUAUUACCUAGGCGCGCCUUGAGGGCGCCUUGCGCCUAGGCCCAGGCGCGCGCCUAGGCUGCCUAGGCGCGCGCCUGAGUCAUGUCGCCCGCCUAGAGCUGCUCUAGGCGCUGGCCUGUGCGCCUAGAGCCUAGGCGCCUAGGCGCGCUUUUUUAAACAGUGCAUAGCACCACUCAUAUUACAUAUGUAUAUAGUGGGGCCCACAACCCGUCAGAUGCGAAGCUUGGCAUGGGUUGCCAAUUCAUAUGUUUAUUAAAUAGUUUUGCAGGUCUAGGCAAACUCUUUCAAGAUUUUCAUCCUUUCUAUGCGAUACUCAAUUUUAAAAAUAUUCAUUCUCUCAAGGCUAAAUUAUAUAAAACCGCCCUGCCAAUACCUGUUUUUCACUUUCCCCCCUAUCAUUCAAAAACCUAUACUUUGCCCCCUUAAAAAAUAAAAAAUGUUCAUAGGGGGGUACGGUGUGACAAAAUGACCAAAUUGCCCUCAUUUUCUCAUCUCCUUCUUCCCAAUUUUGCUCAUCCCGGCGGCAGAGGAGGGCAAGAGUGUGUCUGGGCAUGGAUAGAGGGGUGGGCGAGGGCGAGGGCGAGGGCGAGGCGGCGGAGCACAAGGCGGCCGCUGAGGGCAUGUGUGUGGGUAUGGAUGAGAGUUUUAGAGGUAUUUUGGGUAUAAAAAAUAAGAUAUAAACGGAACCCUAACGGAACACUGAUGGCGGAGGCCGAAGUGAACAUUUUUCAUUUUUUAAGAAGGCAAAAUGUAGGUUUUUGAAUGACAGGGGGGGAAAGUGAAAAAGCGGGUAUUGAUAGGGGGGUUUUCUAUAAUUUAGCCUCCUCUUUCGAAUGCUAGUGUCUUUUUUUUUAAUUGUCUUUCAUUUAUUAAUCUUGUUAUUAUUUAUUAUGCUCGAAUAGGUUCUACCUGUCCACUCGUACAUACGACAGCCUUAGAACCUCAAAUGUUACCCUCUUGAAGGUACUUUAUUAUUUAUUUGGUUUCUUGACUAAACCAUAUUCGUAGAAACUUUGUUUUAUGAUGUUCUUUCUGAAGGGUUUGCGAACUAGAGAAGAAGAAGACAAGGUUUCGAGCCAUUUUUUACUCAAGGUAUGCUAGGAGUUUCAAAUGCAAUUUUUUUUUUUCAUUCCAAUUAUUCUCCAUCGUAAGUUCGAUUUUAAUUUCUACAUAACAUGGAGUGUGGAAUGCUUUGCGAAUUCAAUGGUUCUAAGUUGCCUUUUGGUUAGACGGGGCAACAAAUGUAGAAACUAGCUAAUUACCUGAACUAAAGGGUAGUUUAAGCAGGUUGUAAAAAUAUAUGAUAUUCCUAAUUGCUUUAGUUGUGUUAAAUUUACCAACUGCUAAAGUAGAAUGGAAGCAUAUACCUUUCUCUUUUUGUGUCUUCUCACUAACAAUUGGCUUUUAUCAGAAAAAGGAGAUUCUGUAACUAAUUGUCUCAAAUGUUCUUUAUCCUAUGUAGUUGCAAUCUGCAUUGGAAGUGUUUAUUUUGUUGAUUUUAUUCCAUACAAAUAAUAUUAACCUCUAUGGCAGUCAGAAAUUUGGAUAAGCUCAGGAAAGCAAAACUAUUUUCUGUCAGAUCACCAAGUAUAUUGUAUGGCUAGAAAUCAGAAACUAUUGUCUCAUGCAUAUUUUCUAAUUUCUACUUAGAUCCCUUUGCAUAAUUUCCCUAUGUAACUUCUUACUGACACACACACAAAAAUGGAGACACAAACACACAUAUACACAAAUUAGCUUAAGAAAAUUAUUGGAUCAAUAGAGGCUUGAAACUUACCUGGUGGAAACUUGAGUUUGUGCUUCUAGUGCUUUAUGUGAUCAUCACAUACUCUUUGUACUACAGCUAAGUUAUGUAGGACGGUUGUAUGACUAGAAUUGCAGCUGAAUUGAGUAGUUAAGGUGGAUAACUGAUGCCGUUAGAGCAGAUCAAGCAAGGAUGACUAUACUUGCUGCAUGUUAGAAUGCAUCCUUUGAGAGCAUUUGUGAAAAAACUAUUUAAAUUUGUUCGGUGUUAUUUAGCAGUGACCAAACAGUAAAAUUGGUUGCUGCUAGCUGCAAUUAGGCUGAUUACCAAGGCGAGGAUAGAUAUAGUGGAAUAAUAUACGGUACACCUCAAAUAACUAAUGGCAGGAAGAAUCAAAUCCAGCCAAGUGAAGAAAGAUUCAUGGAGCUGAACCUGAAUCACCUUUUUAAUCAGGAAUAUAAGAUUUUACUAUUUAAUUUACACUUUGCAGUUAAUUACUUGCGAUAAGUUUUACUUGAUUGUUCUUGCGCUGCUUUUGCUUAAAAGAAAUUUCCAGAGCACAUCAAGAACAAAAACAACUACAACAUCAAGACCAACAAGCCUUGAAGUUCCAACUAUUUGAGAUAGUGUAGCUUUAUUAUUUUUCUUUUCCAAACUAAGAGUAGCACAGAAAGAGUUAAUUUUAUGCUUAUUGGGUAUCAUUCAAUUUGGAAUCCAUUAGUUUUUAUUGUUAUUGACUAUUUAUUUUGGUGGCACCUAUUGUGAUUGCCUUUUCUAUCUGUUAUCAAGGCAAUUGCUGACGCCUGCAAAGUCUCUGCAACCUUCAAAUCAGAAUUACAUGAAUCUGAAAUUCCAUUUCAAAGUGAAGAGCAUUUUGAUGAGGAUCAACAGCUUCAGCAGGUUAUUGAUGGGCAACUAUGCAUGAAAAUAUACGAUUUUUCUAAGGGUACUGCAAAAUAUUGUUACUAACUAUUCUUGUCAUCAGAAAUGGGCAAGCUUCCCUUUUUCUCCCCUCUUAUUUUGCUUUUUUAGUAAGCAUGUGCUUCUCCUGGUUUUGUAGAUUCUGACAUAGCAAAUAAGGACAGGAAAGUUAUAUUAUCUGGUUCAUUCAAUCCCUUGCAUGAUGGUCACCUCAAAUUGCUUGAAAUUGCAACAAGGUAUACUUUCAUACUAAAUCUUAUCAAGUGUACAUGGCUAGUUUUCAUUUAGUUUUAAAUCCUUACACGUACAGUUACUCUGGAAAUUUGCUUUUGCACCGGUAUCCAUUGUGUGUGAGAUAAUGAAAUUUCAUGGCUUCUCAUUUUGUUAUAGGAGCCAUGUAAUUGCAACUUUAUAAUCAUUCUUUUGCAGUCCUCUUUUCGAGAAGACUACGUAACAGUAGAAAAUUAAAAAUAAUAAUAAACAAUGAUCGUAGUUCUGGUAUAAAGUUGGAGUCACAGGUCCUUUUUCUUUUAUCGUCUUCAAUAUUUAGAUUCAUGUUUGAAGUUUGAGGGAAGCUGGAAUUCUUGGUUUUGAAGUUUGAAUGUUAUCGUCUUAAUGAGAUGUGUCAUGAUAAAUUAAAAAGUUAAAUGCAAGGAUUAAAAUGCCGUGGCAUGGGGGCGUGCUGCUGUUUGCCUGGCACGGCACGGCACAGGCACGCUUCCGUGCCGACAUGUGGUACGCUUGCGUGUCGAUGGAUACGCAUGACCUCCUAUUGGCACGUUUUGGCACAUACUUAUUUUAUUUUUUUUUAUUUCAAUAAACUCUUAUGAUAUUCUUUUGAAAGAUUUAGUCAAAUAAUUAUGAAUAUAAGCUAUGUAUAGGUUACUAUAUUCAUCAAUUAACAUACUGGUAAGUUUUUUUUAUAUGUAAAGUACAAUUAUAUCUGAUAGAGAAUAGAAAUUAAAAUAUAAUAAUAAAAUUCACAACUAUAAUAAUUAUUUAAAUUUAUAUUUUUACUGAGAGAUGACUGCUUAAUUUCACAUAGAUCGUUGCAGUAGAUCAUAUGGCAUGUUGUUAUCUGCAGAUAUAAGAUUUAUUUGACAAUGUUGGUAUAAAUAUUGCUGGUAUUGUGAGAAAGUCAUAUAUUUCCGGUGCAUCUAAUUGUAUUGUCGUACAUAAUCUGCAUAUGCAACUGGAUUGUGGAUAUAAUGGACAACAGUCAUCUGUGUCAUAUGGACUGCAACAUCUAUUAAUAAACAUUUGAAAAAAAUAUUUUUUUAUUAAUUUUUUUAAGAAAAAUUGUUAAAUCUAUCAAUAAAAAUUUAGCAAUAAAUUAUAUGACAAAUGACAAAUAAAUUAAAUAAGUUUAAGUAUUAAUUAAUUUAAUUUAGCUUUUAAUUUUAUCAGUGUUUUCAAUCUUCUAAUCCAAAAAUAAAAUUUUAUGUUUGAUGUGCCUCAAAAUUUGUUUAUUGAGUUUUGUUCCCUUGAUUUGCCGAAAGCUUUGUGGUGCGACAAAUUUUGAUAAAAUAUUUUGUAAAGAAAAAGUGGAUGUCAGUGGUGGAAGUAGAGGGCUCGGGUAGAGGGGGUGCGGGGACCGAAGUCUCCUGCGUUAUGAAAAUUAUAUAUUUGCCCGUAUAUUGAUUAAAUCAAGUACUUCUAUUUUCAACUUUUUAUAAACUAUAUGUUAAAAGUUGCCUAAUUUUAUAUUUCUUCAAAAAAUAAGCUUUACAAAUAAAAAAUAUUCAAAAUAUAUAAACAAAAAAAAUAAAUUAUAUAUAUUUUUGACUUACCUAAUAAGUAGAUCUUCGAUUUGCAAUCUUUUCCCUCCUUUUUAAGUGACGAAAAAAGAAAAAAGAGGAGGAAAAUAAUUUUAGGAAGAUAUGUAAGAACUAAGAAGAAAAGAAGAGAGCGAGAGAGUAGAGGAGAAGGUACCUAGGCACGGGAGAAAGGGAGGGGGAAGAAAGAAAAAAAAGGGAAAGAAAAAAAAGAGGAGGUGGUGGGGGAAUCUAAAGAAAAAAGUGCAUCAACCCAAAAAACAAAAAAAAGAAAAUGUGCAAAAGGCCAAAAAAAUGAAAAACAAACCACUGUACAGAGGGGGAUGGGUGGGCGGGGUGGGAUGCUUAGAGUGCCCCUCCAAAAAAAAGCAAAACGCCAAAGAAUAAAAAAAACACCACGGCACGGUACCCUGCUGCGAUACCCUUGCAGGUAUCGCGCUGUCUUGCGCUUCACGUAUGUGUAUGUGCCUCCACGUGCCGAACGGCACGAGGCGGCACUUUAAUCCCUGAUUAAAUGUAUAGGCUCACUCUAAACUUUGACGAGCAAGUAGGCUCCUAGAUGUUCGUAUUUCGUAAUUGGGCCCCAAUAGCUUCGUCUCUAACCUUUCCACUGAAGCCACUUUAAAAAUCAAUUGGUUCCCUUGUCACCUCUUGCACAUGCAUCUGGGCAAACUAAUCACAGUUAAAUCUUACCUUUUUAAAGCACCAGUACAUUUGUUGCAUUGCCAUUGUAAUGCCCCAUCCAUAAAAUAAUGUACUGCACAUAAAGAUGGCAUUUCUCCUUGUGUAUCCAUCUUUUGUAAAAACUAGCUUAUUAAGGUGCUAUAUAGCUGGAUCUGUAUUGCGAUUUGGUACAGUUAAAUAUCCUUAAUGUUUUUUCAACCUUAAUGUUUCAUUCUCUCAUGAUAAUCCUGAUAGGUCAAUCAAAUUGUGACAGGUGAAUCACAUUUUUAUAAUAAUGAACUAUUGCAUGUUGCAAUUCUUGUAUGUAGAUACAUUGCAGAAAAUGUAAUUCUGUAAUCAUUUCUUUAGAAUGGGAUCCACCCGCGUAUCAAGGAGCAGAAAAUAACUUUCAUGUUGUUCUUUGAUUUUGUAUCCAGUAUGUGCGAAGAUGGGCAUCCAUGCUUCGAGAUAUCAGCAGUUAAUGCAGAUAAACCCCCACUGGCAGUGGCAGAAAUUAAAAAUCGAGUCGAGCAAUUCAAAAAGGCAGGUUUGUGGCAAAGUUAAAUUUGGAUAAAAUGGUUGGUCACAUUCUUGUAUCUAUAUAUUUUUUUAAAAUGAUGUUUUUCAUGUCUAGUGUAGUCUAAGUUUCUGCCUAAACCAUUAUAUGUCGUGCUAUCCAUUGUUUCAGUUUCUUCCGCUAUUGCUGUUUCACAGUGGAUAAAGGAUUUGUUUCUGUUACAUUCUAUAAAAUCUGCACAGCAUUUUGUCCUAAGCAAAUUGCUGCUGCCCUGUUUGUUGAUUCAAUUAGGUCUGCUAUUUUGUUCUUCCUUACACCUGAAGAAUAGGAUAAAAAAGUGUACAAAAUUCAAUAAUUGAAAUGAGAGGUCAUAAAUCUGUUGGUAAUGGCAGCAGCAGCUUAAUUUAGUAUCCUUGCAAGGACAGAAUCGGAGUAAUUGCAAAGGAGUUUUUAUCACUUUGUAAAUCCUUCUGAAGUUCUUCCUAUUCAAUAGAGACAAGUUAAUAUAGUGAUCGGCCAGAUUCAUUUAUGAGUUAUUUUCAUAGUCGAGAGCUUCAAUUCAAAGAUAUAUUGGUGGGAUUGACAGCUGAUGGAAGUAUGGUGCACAGAUGUAUGUAUUGCACUAGGCAAUCAUUUUUUCGUCUAGCCUUACUGGACCAUUAGAUUAUCCUAACAAUAUACAUAACUUACCUAAUACUACCAACCAAUCUCUCCUUCCUUUGCCAGCCUGUAAAGACAGGAUCUUUCUCCCAUCACACCUCAUCCACUGUGGUGCAAAAGGAAAAGCACUACAUUUUGAGCUCUCCUUGAUGGAACCAGAGUGUCCAGCCGGCAUGCGAAAAUCUAAAUACAUGGCAUAAGUUAGGCCACUUUUAGUCGAAUCAGAUAAUCAAAUUAAAGAAAAUAAAGAAGACCAUACAUUUAUCAAAGAAGAUCAAAAUUGAAACAAAUCUAACUUUAAAUAAAUUGAAUUGAUUUAACAUCAAAAUUAAUUGAAACUUAACCCAAGUUCAUCAAUUGAACCAAAACCACAUCCCAGUCAAAGCUUAAAAAAAAAAAAAAAAACCUGAUUCAAAGAUAAAACUGAAUAUGAUGAAAUUCAAAUUGAAACUUAAACUCAUAUUCAAAAUUAAAUUGUUUAAACCAAGAAUUGGAAUCGAAGUUUGCAUUAAAUAUUAAGUUUAAAAUUUUGAACUCAAAUAAUUAAUUGAACUAAAUUAAACUAUAUAUCUGAAACCAAUCUAUAUCCAAAUCUAACUGUAGCUAAGAUCAAAGUUUCAAGCCUGCCCCUUUAUAAGCCAAUCCAAAAACUAAACUAAAAUUUAAUAUAUAUUUUUUUGAGAAAUAUUAAAGGUUGCAUUCAUUCUUCCUUAGUGAAUGAAGGCUCUGGUAUUUUAGUAUAUUGAAGCCUUUCUCCGCUAUUAACUUACACCGAAUUCAGGAGCUAGAGUAGUAGUAAUACAGUCUAUAAUGCAAAUAUUGCUAUUUUCAUUUAAUAUUUUCUCAACAAAUAUUAAUCUAAACAAAACUAAAGUUUAGUAUUCCUGGUUUAGUUCAUAUAUAAAUUUAAACCUAAACUCACUUAAAUUCCUAAAUGUAAGUUUUGUUUAGAUUAAUAUUUGUUGAGAAAAUAUUAAAUGAAAAUAGCAAUAUUUGCAUUAUAGACUGUAUUACUACUACUCUAGCUCCUGAAUNAACAAAACUAAAGUUUAGUAUUCCUGGUUUAGUUCAUAUAUAAAUUUAAACCUAAACUCACUUAAAUUCCUAAAUGUAAGUUUUAAAUUGAAACUUAAACAAAAAUAUAAUAUUACAGGAUUAGCAAAACUAAGGUUUUAUAAGAGGCUUGUUUAGAAAAUAGUAGCAUACUUGUGUUAAUUGUCACUAAGAAAAUUUUGAGUGGUUAACGGUACGGAUUUUGUUUGGCUUUCAACAAGUCGCAAUUUAUUUUGAGAAUCAAGAAUUCUUUGACAUGAGCAGUUGAGUGGAAUGGUUGGCAGGAAUAAUCCAAUUCUUUUGAUUGCAUUAAUGUAGAUAAAAUUAUUUUUUUCCUCACUUCUUUUAUUUAUGUUGGUAAGUUGCUUCAGAUUUCGUGUAGUAGUUUUGAUCAUUAAUGUUGCAAUUCCCCCAUUAAGAACUUAAGAACUACAAAGUGUGGCUUAACUUUCCUGCUAUAUUUAAUGACUGAUCUGUGCUUGAUGUUUUCUUGAAUGCACUCUCUCUGUUACCGUACAUAAUUUUUUCUUCUUUUUUGAUCCAGGAAAGACUGUAAUUAUAUCAAACCAACCUUACUUCUACAAGAAAGCAGAAAUUUUUCCUGGAAGCGCCUUUGUGAUCGGUGCUGACACUGCUGCAAGGCUUGUUAAUGUAAGAAGUUCAACUUUUUGACUAGAGCAGUUGCAGGCAUAAAAUUUGCGUUGAAAAUUUGCGUUGUCAGCUUUGUAGGCAUAUAAUUAGCUUCGUCAGCUUAGCUUCAUUUGGGAUUGCAGAAAAACUGCGUUUGUGCAGUCGGAAAGUAUGAUGAGAAAAUAUUUUAUUUGUUUCAGUAAGUGAUAUUACGUUGCACGUAUCACAAUGAUUUGAUUGACAUAUUUUCUGCAGUCCCACUGGAAAACCAAAAAGCAUAUCUUUAUAUGUUUUGCCCUCAACAGUUUUUUGCUCAUUAGCAUUAGGCAGCUCUCAACACCUAGUAGGCCCCUAAUAGGCAUAUAAUUAGCUUUGUCGGCUUAGUCAACAUUUCUUGGGGAUUAGGCGCUCUUCUUUGCUCUCUUUGUUUUUCCCCCCCUUUUCCCCUAUAAUAAGUUCAUCUUUUGUUUUGGCUUUCGUUGUUUUUGAUGAGUUCAGCUUGGUACUUUAUUCAUAAUCUCAUCCUGUCAUGGUACUCAUCCUGCAAAAUGGUUUUGACUGUCAUGUCUGCGAAGCUUCCCUUAAAAGAUCACUUAAAUUUUA
rnacentral:lncRNA from 1 species